GGGAAGAGUAGGUGACCUGUGGGUGAAUUUUGCCUUGGGAGUAUUUAUAGAAUAUAGAGUAUAGCAUAGAAAAUAGAAGACAUUCUCACACAUAUACCAGUAGGUAAAAAGACACCCUACCACUACAUCAAAGGAAUAAAACCCAAGGAAAAUUAUUGAUCUCUCACAUGGCCCAAGAUUGACCAAAAUUGAGACGAGAGAGAGAUCCUGGGGAGCUUUCAACCUUCAGUCAUACUAAAAUUAAACUCUCUCUCUCUCUCUUUUCAUUCUCUCUCCUUCUUCCUAUACACUCUCUCGCUCUCUCUCUCUCUCUCUCUCUCUCUCUCUCUCUCUCUCUCUCUCUCUCUCUCUUGCUCUCUCCUUACCUUUUUUUUUUUUUCUCCAUCUUUUCUUCUUUCUUUUCUGGUUUGUAGAGCUUUCCCAGGCAAAAAUUAGGCUCUGAAAUCAGUAACAAAAGAAGUUUCCAACAAACACCAAAUUUAAAUUGAUUCAGGCAGCAAACCCCAUGCAUUUUGACUCUCACUCAACAUUGACUAUUAGCUUCGUCUUCAAACUCCAAGGCAGCAAAACCAAGCCCAAAAGUUUCCUCAUAAAAUAAUCCUCAGUCAUCCCACUACAAGCCCACUUUAAGCACCAGUUCUCCUCACUGUUGGAGCCUGGAGGGAGAUAAGAGAGGCGAUUCCUCUUACAUUCUAGGGAGAGAGUUGCUCAGUUGAGGUGACAGUGCGUAUCCAGCAUCCCCAUGCCAUGAUUUGGGGUCUCAGCAAGAAACAGAUGGGUGUGAGAAAAGAGUUGGCUUGCUUGUCUCUUCUGCUGCUGAUGCUGUUACAGUUAGAAAGUUCAUGUUUUGCAGAAGGGUAUGGCAGAUUCAGCAGAUUUAAAGUUGGGUCUGGGUCUGGGUCUGGUUCUGGGUCUGGUUCUGAGCUCAGUCCUGCUAAACCCCGUGGUGUGUUCAAAGGAAAUGCAGGUAAAGAUGGUGAUGACGUUUUUGCUGCUGAAAAGAGGAGAGUCUACACAGGUCCAAAUCCUCUACACAAUAGAUAAGCACUAGUAGAGAAACCAAGCUUGAUUUUCUCUCCUUCAAGCUAUGAAUUUUCCUUUCCCUUCCCCUUCCCAUCUCCUCUUCCUUUUUCCUUCUUUCUUUCCUCUUUUUUCCUCAUUUUUAUGAAUAUAUAUUUUAUGCUUGAGGCUUUGCUGAACUUGUUCACAGGAUGUUUUUUCAAGUAAUUUUACAAAUGUAUAUGAAGACUUAAUUAGUUUUGAGAUUUUGGUGAUCAGGAAUCACUUUUAUUUGUUAAAAUAUAUAUAAAUAUAUAUAUAUAUAUAUAAUAUAUAUGGCAAGAAAUAUUUUUCAUUCUAAUGAUCUCCUGAAUAUUAAUGCCAUUAAUAGGGUGGUUGGUGUUUAUGAGUAGAGGUCUGCUUUUUGAUCAAGUUGGUUGGUAUUAUUAUUCUUUCCCACUGCUAUUGUAUUCAAUAAACUGCAGCAGCUUUGCCUCCUCGAGCCUAUUCUUUCCCUCAUUUCAAGCUUUGCCCUUCAACUAGCUAGCUCAUCCAUACUUACUUCAUAUGGAUUUGUUUUAUAUACAGACAUGCAUGUAUUCAGCUUGCAUGUCAAUAUGUGGAAAAUUGGCUCCUACAUGUUUGUGAAGUUUGAUUGUCUAUUUGGUUAUUUCAGUUGUUUGAUGAGUGAAAAUCUGCAUCUAUGAUAGCUUCUCUUUCGGCGGAAAUGGCUAUUCUGAGAUGUUUCCUUUUGCAGAAUGUUUGUAUAUUUUACUAUUUUGAACCAAAAUUAAUUAAUUAAUUUUCACCAUAAAGAUGGUGUUGCAGGAUUAAUUUGUCUAUAGUCUUCAACUCAUCUUAAUUUUCCUGCCAUGAAUGAUUAUGAAGGAGGCCCCACUGAUAGGGUUUGAUUCAACCUUUGCCAGCCAUAUGUCCACUAUAGUUAUAGACAUAUACAUUGAGAAUUUUAAUUAUUCUUCUGUUUUUUAUGAUUGUGGAUAGAAAAUUCUUACACCCUUUUGAUGAAUGAUGGAUUACAAUAGAUGGCAAAUUUUUUUAUUUAAUUUCUUUAUUUCUUUAUUGUUUUGUUACUUCAUAGAUUCAUAGGUGAAGUGGGGAAAAUUAUUUUCAAAUUUUAGACCAUUACAUUUUUUUUUUUUGGGUUCAUUCCAAUUUCCCAUGAGGGAAAACAACUUUUGGGUAAAAAAAAGUACAACAAAUAGUGUUUUUCCUUUCUAAUUAUCUUUCUUUGAUUUUUUUAAAUUUUCAUUUUCUUUCCUCUUUUAAUUAAUGACCUAAAAAAUUGUAAAGAAGAAACCUUUCAAAAGAAUUCUCUCCAUGCCCUCUUCCUCAUCUUUCCUUAGAUGGUUUACCCAUGAAUUGUUCUGUAAGAUUCUGGGUUGGAAUCUAUGGUAUUCUCAGACAUAUAGAGUGGAAAAAAAGAAAAGAAAUUAGAAGAAAAAUAAAAAUGAUAUGAGAGAAAAAAAGGUGAGGAGUGGAAGUUUUGAAAAUAUUGCAAGUCAAUUGUGGAGUGAAGAGGAAUAGUGUCCUGGUAGCUACAGUAUAAAAAUAUGUACAAAUUGUUUGUUUCUACAAGAUUGAUAUGGAGAGGGGGAUUUGGUUUUUGUUUCUUACUGAUGAUCUCCAUACACCAUAUUUUCAAGAUAGGGGCCUUCAGCUUCCCGGCUGCGGUCCACUUGGAAAUAGGAAAAGAACUGUUGGAUGCAAGAGUUUUGAAAUGUGACCAUUAUUUAAUCGAAUACGAGUAUGAAUAUACAUAUAUUUUAUGGUUAAUAUUAUGAUUUUUGCCUUUUUUUUUUUAACAUAAAAAAUAAUAAUAAAAGAUAUGUUUGAUAAAUGUUUUUAGAAAAUAAUUUUUAAAAAUAUUUCCUAAAAAAAGAGCUGGUUUUUGUCAGAUAUUGAAGUAUUACUUCUAAUAUUUUUGGAAAUUGUAAAUACUCUAAAAAUAAAAAAUAAUUUAAUUUUUAGAAGUGAAUUUGAAAGUGCUUCAUACCCUCUAAAAAUCAAGAUAAAAUCUCAUCAAUCUCUUACCUUUUACUUUUAUGAUCUAAGUAAUAUCACUAGUAAUUUUAUUGUAAGAAACAGGAAUUUCAGUGAUGAGACAAUAGAAUUUGGUUGUGGAAGAAUGGAGGCCAAUACAAGGGUUUUUGAAAAAAGUAGUGAAUGGAAAUUAAAAACAUAAAUGCAUGAGGAAAAAUUUAAAAUCAAAAGUGGGUGCGAGGAAAACAUUGUUGAAAUAUGCAAUGAAUGCUGAAGGGAGGGUACUCAAGGCAGUUAAUGGGGCUUGAAAAACGAGUCGUCCUUGUCAAGUUCAAGGAAUGAAGACAUGGUUAAUUUCAUGUCCGAAAAGUCACAGUCUCACGAACCAUUGCCCUCUUGAAUAAGAAAGGUGAGGGUUGGAAAGACUAACUGAGACUAAAUAUUAAAGCCCAUACCAGAUUACCAGAGGCUGGAUUGAAUUCAAGGAUAACCAGUAGGACUGUGAAUCCAUUCUGGUUUUGAUAAAAUAAAAUAAAAAUCAGAAAUUAUAAAAGGUCCCAAAGAAGACCACUUCUCAGUGUCAAUGGCGGUAAUACCUGCAUUCACAAACCACCGAAGGCAGUAAGGCCACAAAAUUGAAGUACAGGAAAAUGAAGAAAGGCAGGGCAGGAUUUGAAAAGUCAAAAAACUACAACCCACAACGUAACAUAGAAAACGGAAAAUGUCAGGUAACGGUCAUGUCAUCCACACCAACAAUUUCAAUUUUGUAUCCAUUCAAACCUCCAUUUCAGACUCCUUUCCUCUAUAACUUUCCCAUAUCAAAUUACCCCCGUCACCCGACAACUCCCCAGUGCUAUUAAAGAAGCCAUUUAAUGCACCAGCUUCUUAAAACCGUCCAUUCUCAUCGCGACUGCAGCCCCAUGGCCUACUUCCCUCCCCCCUUCAACUGAUCAAAUUAAGCUCUCUUAAGACGGAUUCUUAUUAUGACAAAAAACAUUAGGGGUUUGAAUUACCCAAAGAAGUUUUUAAAAAAAUUGAUCAUGAAAACAGAAUAUUUUUUAAAACGGAUAAUUUUACAGAUGUGUUUUCAUGUAAUUUUUUAUGAAGUGUUUUGACAAAUAAUCAAAAAGUAUGAAGAAGAGAGGGAGCUAUAAGUAUUUACAUGUUCAUUCCCAAUGCUCUAACUGCUGCCCGGCUCAUGCUUUUCCACUUGAGACUGUAGCUAAUAUAAUAUGAAGAAUCUAAACUUUAAGGCAAGCAAAUUAAAAUUACUUUCUGUAAAAUCUGCAUGGAAACUACAUAUUCACAUGAUGCCUGCAAAACAUAAUUGGCUUCUCUUAAGAUUCUGCUGCUCAGGAAGUCAGGCUAUUGUACUGCACCUUGCUUGAUCAAACCCUACCUUCCGCUAUCGAAGUCCUUGUACGUCAUCAAGCUACUAAAUUUUGGAAACCCUCUUAAUUUUCAAACACACACUCCCGUGCAAUGAGUCCGACCACCCCAUCUAAGAGUUUGAAAAUUUUUGUUUAAAAUCUGUAAACUAAAAUAUCCACCGUUGUACUUUCACUCUUCCAUGGAUACUUAAACUAACAAGCAAUUCUACUCUUCCAUGUAUGCUUAAACCAGCAAGCAAUUCUACUCUUCCAUGUAUGCUUAAACCAGCAAGCAAUUCUAGAAGAACGAUUGAGUAGACAUUAUUUGUAAACUUCAUUCUUUUUUCUACCCUAUGUAAUCACAAAAAUGGAAGGCAGGAAUGCAAUCAUUAGAAGGAUCACACAAAGGCGGAAAUGGAACAACCAUGACACAGUCCAAAGGUAAGUUCAGGUCCAUAAAAGGAUAACUAGGGGGGUUUUUUUACUUUGGAUUUGCAGAGCACCCAAACCCACCCUCAAGAAAAAUAAGAUAAAAUAAAAUAAAUCCAGUGCUAUUCAUGUUAGCCUUAAGAGCAGGCAUUUGCAUAUAAAUAUUUCAAUGUGACAGCAUUACAAUUCGGGAGCAUCACUUUGGUUCAGCCAAAAAUGGACUCUGAUGGUAUUGUUCCUGGCACAAACGCAUGGAACGCAACAGGAAACACACAAUGCAAUAGUAAAACUAAGAUAACACCACAACUUGUGGCUUGUGCACAGUCAUUCUCUUCAAGGGGUGAUUUAAAAAUUUCAGAUGAUCAAUGCUCAAAAUUCCAAUGGGUGGGAUAUAAGAUGAUCUACCCUCCUGUACCUCAUAGCUUGGAGGCAUGACCUCUGAUUCUACUCAAGGCAAUUGCUGUCUUUGAACCAGAUUGUCGUCCCAAAUGCUGACAGAUGAAAUCCCCAGCCAACAUGAGCUUCCCAAGAUCCACAUUUGUCUUCACCCCGAGUCCAUUUAGCAUGUAAACAACAUCCUCAGUCGCAACAUUCCCAGAAGCACCUUUAGCAUAUGGGCAGCCCCCAAGACCAGAUACUGAUGAAUCCACUGUGGUGAUCCCCAUCUGUAUAGAAAAGAGAUAGUGUAUAAAAUAUGGAAUAAAGCAAACACCCAUCAUGAUUAGUAAUGUUGUUGAGCCAAUUUUGAUCCUUAACUGAGUAUGCAAUUCUGAUUUUUUGAAUUUCUAAGUGAAUGAUAAGCACAUCAUUAAAGCAAGCUCAAGAAAGUUCUGCAUAUACUCAGUAGAUGUGAUUUAAAGAUGCAUCAUUAUCUUAAACCACUGAAAAUUCAGUUAUAUGCACCAUCUCAAUUAUAUGCAUCUCUAUGUUCAUGAGUAAUGAUUUUUAAAAUUUUCUAAAUCCAACUGCACCCCCAAGGUGAAACUUUGAUGUUCAUAUCAACAUAAUAUGCAUGGAGAUUACACCUUUUUUGGUACAAGAUGAAGGCAGCUUAUGUUGAAGAAUGCACUCUAAACAGUCUACUAAGCAAUGUGUUAUUAUUACAAUCUAGUUUGAGUUGGGUCAGUGAAAUGUUUCAUGAAAGUUAUAAUAAUAUUAGAUUGGUAUCCAUGAUUGGAAUUAUAGUACAAAAAUUAAGGACAUUCAAUAUCUCAUUACCACGUAUCUUGCAAUAUAUUUGAUCCCACUUGGGGCUGUUACUAAAGUAAUUCAUUCUUCUAGCAAUGCUAAUUUUCUUCUCAGUUUCAAAACAACAAUAUUUCUGAGGCCUGAACUCGUUAAUGGAAUGACCCUUGGCUACCAUCCAAUGGACCCCAAAUAUAUUUUCCUUUUAGUUUCCCAUUUUAUUUUAUGUUUUACCUUAGUGUUUAUGCUAACUGUAUUAGACCCUUAUUUCAAUCUAUAAGCAUUAUAUAUCAUAUAAUUUUCUUUAGUAGUGGUACAGGAGAAAAAGAUUGGGGUUGACUUGUCCAAGUAAGGUGGCUUAGACAAGCAAACAAGGAUUUUUGAGAUAUCAGCCUUUGAUGGUAAGUACUCUUUUUUUUCUUGUUUGACAAAUAUGUUAGUAGCAGCAGCAACAAUGAAUUCAAUAUAAACCCACAAGAUAAAAAUUAAAAUUAAAAGAAUAAAAAAAAAAAUAAUAAUAAUAAUAAUAAAGAUAGCUUUAUUUGAUAGUGUAAACCCAAAAAAGGGACAGCUGUAUGUGAUGGUGAACUCUCUAUUCACCGUUUCUUUUGGCAUAGAGAGGCCUAAAAGGGGAAGAGGAAGAAAACCUAACCACAGCAAUGUAAAAACUAAUGGCAAGGAUCAGUUUUUAAUAAUAAUAAUAAAGACAGCUCUAUUUGAUAGUGUAAACCCAAAAAAGGGACAGCUCUAUGCAAUGGUGAACUCUCUAUUCACUGUUACCUUUGCCCUAGAGGGGCCUAAAAGGGGAAGAGGAAGAAAACCUAACCACAGCAAUGUAAAAACUAAUGGCAAGGAUCAGUUUUUAAGUGUCAUCAUUGUGGGAGAUCUGGUCAAGCUAAAGAGAUAAUUUGGGAAAUGUGUGAUCAUUGAACAACGUUUCCUCAACACCCCAAGCUACUGAUAUUGUUUUGAAGCUGCUUUGAAACUCUAUUUAACAAACAAUCCUAUCGCGCACUCAUAUUAAUUGUUUUAAUAAAGAUUCACAAGUGCACAUGCAUGCAUUUGGUUUUCUCUUCAAGUGAAGUUGAUAGGUAUCUAAUGGAGAAUUAUUAUUGAAUUUCAAGAAUUUCAAGAAACAAGAGACCCAACUGAUACUCGGAUAGCUAUUCGAGAGGCUAUCACUCUCCUACCAGAUCUACAUGAUAUCCAGCCCCUGUAAUUCCCUCCUUUUUCCUAUUUUAACCAUCCCAGCCCGUAUCCAGAUUGUGACCUAGCCUAUACUAAGGCUGUUACAACUAACUGCCAGGUGGCAGUACAUUCCUCUUCCCUUUUCUAGUAUACACAUAACGUGUAUGAGGCCUAUCAUUACCCCCCUCAAUGAGAGACACCUUGUCCUCAAGGUGGAAGUCAGGAAAGUGUUCUUUAAUUGUGUCGGUUGAUUCCCAUGAAGCUUCAAACUGAGGAAGUCCUUUCCAUUGAAUAAGUACUUCAAUAUCAGUCUGAUUGUUAUUGGGAGACAGGUGAAUAUCUAAGACCUGAUCAGGCUCCACAAGCCAUUCCAUAUCUUCAGCAAGAAUAGGGGAAAGUGGCUGACAUAAAUCAGCUGAACCAAGAGCCCGCUUGAGCUGUGAAACAUGAAACACUGGAUGAAUAGUUGCCGAAAAAGGAAGCUCUAACUUGUAUGCCACCAGACCAAUUUGCUGCACCACUUUGUAAGGGCCAAAAUAUCGUGGGAAGAGCUUCUCAUUGGGUCGUUUGGCAAGGGAACGAAGACAAUACAGACGGAGUUUUAUAUAGACAAAAUCCCCAACUUCAAAUUGAACUACACGACAAUGGGCAUCUGCAGAUGACUUCAUUUUAGAUUGGGCACAACAGAGAUGGUCCUUCAGUUCAUUUAAAAUUAGAUCACACUCUUGCAAUAACUGAUCCACUGCCAGAACAGAGGUGGAAUCUGAUCCAUAACGUAGCAACGGUGGUGGGUCUCACCUGUAAACUGCUUGAAACGGUGUCAUAUUAGUGGAGUGGAAUGUGGUAUUAUACCAGUAUUCUGCCCAUGGAAGCCAUGUAAACCAAUGUCUAGGCUUGUUAUAUGAAAAACAUCGAAGCUAUGUCUCCACACAACGGUUGACCACUUCCGUUUGUCCAUCCAUUUGAGGAUGAGAUGCAGUACUAUGGCAGAGAGAAGUAAGCAUAUUUGCUCAAUCAAUCCACAACAACUAAAAUGGAGUUAUAACCCUCAGACUUAGGAAGCCCCUCAAUAAAGUCUAUCGUCACAUCAUCCCAUAUUUUUUCUGGAAUAGGCAGUGGUUGUAGUAACCCAGCAGGCGACAAAGUUAGGGCCUUAUUUUGUUGGCAUACAAACUCUUUGAUGUCAUUCUUCAUGCCAACCCAAAAAAAAAUCUCGUAUGAGUCGUUUGUAAGUCUGCAAGAACCCGGAAUGCCCUCCAACCACGCUAGCAUGGCCCUCUUGAAGAAGUGCUGGAACAAGGGGUGAGGCCUUGGGAAGAACUAGGUGCCCCUUGUAGAGGAGAAUGCCAUGGUCCAAAGAAUACCAAGGAUAAGCAUCUGGAUCAACCAGCAGCCUCUGCCGAAUCUUAGCAAGGUGUGGGUCAGCUUCAACUUGUGAACUAAUCAACGAAGUGUCUAAGCGACUAGGAACUAUGAGGGCAGCUAACUCCAUAGAAAUGGGGAUGUGAGAUAAGGCAUCAGCUGCUUUAUUCUCCAAUCCAGGCCAAAACUGAAUUUCAAAGUCAUACCCCAACAGCUUUGCAACCCACUUUUGGUAUGACUCAUUCACCACCCUUUGCUCUAGUAGAAACUUCAAACUACUUUGAUCUGUUCACACAAUAAAGUGGCGACCAAGCAGGUAGUGAUGCCACUUCUGAACUGCUAAGACAAUAGCCAUUAACUCUCUUUCAUAUAUGGACUUUUGUCACUCCCUUGCUGAGAGGAUUUGGCUAAAAUAAGCUACUGGUCUAUGACUUUGCAUCAAAACGGCACCCAAACCAUACCCCGAGGCAUCCGUCUUUACAAUGAAGAGUUGACUGAAGUUGGGCAAAGCCAAUACAGGAAUCGUUGUCAUAGUUGUUUUCAAUUUUUAGAAGGUUGCCUUGGCCUCUGGGUUCCAACUAGAAGCAUUUUUUUUUUUGAGUUGCUGAGUGAAGGGCCAAGAAAUAGCUCCAUAUCCCUUGACAAAUCAACAAUAGUAUCCAGUCAAUCCGAGAAAUCCUCGUAAUUCUUUAAGGGAUUUGGGUGUGGGCCACUCUACCAUGGCCGAAAUCUUGUUGGGAUCAGCAGCAACCCCCUUGGCGGAAACCAAAUGGCCCAAGUAUUCCAGCUGUGGUUUAGCAAAGAGACAUUUCUUUCCAUUGACGUGCAGUUGGUGGUUCGCCAGAAUGGACAACACACUUUGCAAAUAAUCACAAUGCUCCUUCAAGUCCUUGCUGUACACCAAUAUGUCAUUAAAAAAUACGAGCACAAAUUUCCGAAGGUGUGGCCAAAAUAUACGGUUCAUUAACGAUUAGAAAGUCGUUGGUGCAUUGGUUAGCCCAAAAGGCAUCACCAAGAACUCGUAGUGACCUUCAUGGGUGCAAAAUGUCGUUUUGUGGAUAUCUUGUUGUCGGACUUGAAUUUGGUGGUAGCCCGAUUUGAGGUCUAGUUUGGAAAAAAUGGUCGCGCCAUGAAGUUCAUCGAGUAACUCAUCGAUCACCGGAAUGGGGAACCGAUCCGGGACUGUAACUUUGUUAAGAGCAUAGUAAUCUAUACAAAACCUCCAUUCUCCAUCUUUUUUUUUUAACCAACAACACUGGACUAGAAAAUGGGCUUAAACUAGUCCGAACAAUUCUUGCCUCAAGCAUCUCUAGCACCAAUCUUUCUAUUUCAUUCUUUAGAAUAUGUGGAUACCGAUAGGGACGGACGUUAACCGAAGAUGCUUCCAGGAUUAAUUGAAUGGCAUGGUCAAUAUCACGACUUGGUGGUAACCCUGUUAUUGGCCCAAAAACUCGUUGAUGUUGAGCUAACACUUCUUUGACUGUUUUCGGGACCUCUUGUACUCCUUCACUCAAAUCCGAAGUGGUGGAAGUCUAACAGAGUUCCACCCAUACCCCUUGGCUAUGGUGCUGCAAUGCUCUAGCCAUUGCCUUAAGAGACACCUCGGUCUGACUAAGGCUCGGGUCUCCCUUUAACACUAUCACUGCCUUCCCUAUUUUGGUCUUCAUUGUUAGCAUCUUUCAGUUUACUUUCACGUCUCCUAAAGUCCCCAACCAAGGCAUUCCUAGAAUUACAUCAGUGUUGCAUAAUUCAAGUGGAAGAAAGUCACUACAGUGAGCCCCUACAUCGAAAUACAAACUCCCCUACAAAUGCCCUUCCCUUUCACGGAUAUCCCAGUUCCCAUCAUCACCCCGUAACUAGUUGUUGUAGUUAAUGGAAGUGCUAAUUGUUGAACCAAAUCAAGGAAUAAAAAAUUGUGGGUAGCCCCACUGUCUACAAGGAUGAUUACCUCUUUUGACCCGAUCGUCCCUUUAAUCUUCAUAGUCCCCGGCAUAGUUAAACCGACCACGGAAUUUAGAGAUAAUUCCACAACGUCUUUCAGCUCGAUGAGUGAAGGUUCUUUGGUUGCUCUGUCGUCAAACUGAUUAUCCUCCUCCUCUUCAUCUUCGUGCACCAAUAAAACCCUUAAUUCUUUCUUACAGUGAUGACCAAGUGAGAACUUUUCAUCACACUUAAAACAGAGCCCCUUCUCUCUACGGGCUUGAAGCUCUGAUUCCAUCAGUCUCUUUAUCGGAAUCUCACGUCGCUAGUUCAUCGUCUUCUCACUAACAACCACUGCCCUAGUCUGAAAAUUUUCCCCAAUCUUCCAAUCACCUCGAUUUGCAGAUGACAACAUUUUGGUGCUCUUUGGGUCCUUUGGUUCACGGGCCGCCCUUAGGGUUAAAUUCCUAUCUUCGACUUGUUGGGCCAUUUCCAUCAAGUGGCCCAGCCCAUAUGGUUGCAGAAGACGUAACUCAGCCCGGAUCUCAGGAAGCAGCCCAUUCAUAAACGUACUUUCCAUUACCUCCUCUGAAAUCCUUUUCAAGGGAGUCGCUAGAAUCUCGAAUUCCCGCUGGUAUGCUGCCACUGUCCCUUGUUGUCACACUGCCAGAAACUGCUCACAAAGGCUCCCUUCUUGAGUCUGACGAAAGCAAAGCAAUAGCCGCCUCUUCAAAUUUUCCCAACUCCCAAACGCCUCCCUCGAAUCAGUGCACUGGUACCAAGAGAGUGCGUCCCCAUCUAAACUCAUCGCAGCAGCGACUAAUUUCUCCUAUUCCAUGAGUCCAUACGUCGCGAAGUAUCGAUCGGCCCGGAAGAUCCAGCUAUCCAGGUUUUCUCCCGUAAAUACAGGCAUCUCCACCCGUCGACCGCCACACCAUUCCCCGUUUCCGCCUCGCCUCGUCUCAUCUGAUGCCAUCCACCCCCCACUAGUUUCCCCAACUCCAGGGAUCCAUUUUGCAUGGUUUUCUCGUUGAGCAGCAGUCGUCGUGACCCGCCCCGAUGACAACGCCGCCACCGUCUUUUGUGUCUCUUCCAACGAUUGCAGAACUCGCAUUACAUUCUAGGCAAGGUCCAUCACCGUCUUUUCCAUUCCUAGUAAGCGCUGCAUCUCCUCUCUGAUUUCUCCAACUUCCUUCUCUAGAAAAUCCACCCGACCUUCAUUCUUUUUCUAAGCCAUCUAGAUCGAUGCUCUGAUACCAAAUUGAUAGGUAUCUAAUGAAGAAUUAUUAUUGUAUUUCAAGAAUUUCAAGAAACAAGGGACCCAACUGAUACUUAGAUAGCUAUUCGAGAGGUUAUCACUCUCCUACCAAAUCCACAUGAUAUCUAGCCCCUGUAAUUCCCUCUUUUUUCCUAUUUAAACCAUCCCAACCCAUAUCCAAAUUGUGACCUAGCCUAUACUAAGGCCGUUACAACUAACUGCUAGAUGGCAGUACAUUCCUCUUCCCUUUUCUAGUAUACACAUAACAUAUAGGAGGCCUAUCAGAAGUAAAUGUUGAAUCAUCAAUUAAAAAACUUCUAAUCGAAUCAAUUAUGUAUAAUCAUUUUCUAGUGUAUCUGUUAAUGCAAUAUUAGGGUUCAGAUUGCCAAUGCAUCACUUCCUCAUAUAUUUUCGAAGAAGAAUAUUAUGAUAUCAUUUACUAAUCCCAUCUGUUACUAGUAAUAUAUAAAACUUAAUAAUGGGUCUUGCAUUUUUCUUUAGUCUAGUUUCUUACUACCAAUUAGAGUAAGAUAACCAUCAGGGUUCUUGAACCUAAUGGUUAUUACUUGUUUAAGUCAACAUUAUUCCUCAGGUAGAUCACAGCCUAGUAGAAUCAGUAAGACUAGCUUAAUAUUGUUAUCAUCAAUCAUUUGUCACUUUUGUCCUCAAACCAACUUUUUAACCAGUUUAUUAAAUUUUCACCUAAUUCAUGUUUUAAAUGUGAGAUUCAUUAGCUUCUGACAUUGUCACAUGUCACAUCCUAUAUUUGAUAAAUUCUUUUGAUUUUGCACAUUAUGAUAAUUGAGAAUCUCCUCAUUACAAAUGUUGUGUGUUAAUCUAGGGCCACCUCCCCCUGCUUUUUAUCUUUGCAAUCAUUAUUUGUAUCUUCUGCAGUUUGGUUGAUCAACUGUACUUGUGUCAUCCUCAGGAAAUAUAUAGAUAAGAUCAUUGUUAAAACAUUUCAAAAAAAAAUCUAAUUAAAUUUUGGUAUUAGCAGAGAGAAUGGGUGCAUUUAUGAUGGCCAUGUACCCUAAUUUAGAGAACACAUCAACAAAAAUGUGUUGCACAGAACAUAAAUGGACACAACAAGAAACCUCCACUUGAGGGAUUUUGUCUAAUCACUCCAUAGCAAACUCACACUGGCAUCACAUAAUCAAUUUGAGGUAUGUGUUAGGAAGAGAAUUCUGGGUCAAUUUCUAGUUUCAUACAUAUAUAUUUGGCUUCUAGUGUCAAUCAUUUCACAAUAUCCUUAAAACCUUAGUUAAAAAAUAAUUCACCCAGGAGCAAUCAUUUUCACAAAUGAUGCAUAUAUGAAUAAAGAGAAAUGGCAUCUUAAUCAGAAAAACCUAACUCAUUAUAGAGGGGAGUCGAACAGUCUCUAAAAUACUGUGAGUAUGCAUUAUGUAAAAAGAAAAAAAAAAUGAAGAACAGUUCAACCUCAAUCUGCCCAAGAAAAAUAAAUCCACAAAGAAUAUACUGGAAUUUGAAAGGUUCAGACUUUCAUGUGCAAAUUAAGAUAAGAAGGUUGCUUACUUGGAGUGAUGCUAGAAUAUUUGAAAGAGCCUGCCCAUAAGUAUCGUGAAAAUGGACGGCAAGCUUAUCAAUAGGAACAACAUCAAUAACAUCUUCAAGCAUUGGAAUGACAGUACCUAGACAUAGGGAAAGAAAGCAAGAAAUAAUAAAUAAAUCAACAAAGAGAAAAGCACCAGAUAAAAGAAAGCAUUAUUCCUACUCUUAAAAAAAAAAAAAAUUAAGCACAUCUCCUUUCUUAUACUCAAUGCAUAUAUUAACUAUAAUUAAUUUUAGAUUUUCAUGUUCUAGGUCUAUAGGUCAAAAAUAAAUCCAAUGUGUAAAUUUUAUUACACUGACUUCAUCCAAUAACCAUAAGGUAUCCAGUCACAUGUUAAUCCUAUUAUUAUACUAUGUUUUGUAUUAUGCUAUUAAACUCAUUGUUUUUCAAUUAAAAUCCCUUGUUUGCAGAAGUUAGAUUAUUUAUGUAACAUGGACAGUUCCAAAAUUUGUGUUUGUAUAUGCAAGCCAGCAAGCACGCCCAUUUGUAUGUGCAACAAAUAAUUUAAGAAAUCAAUUAAUUUUAAACUGGUGAAAACUAAACCAAAUGUAUACAUAAAUUGUUUUUAAAUUCUGGGCUAUUCCACUGUAAGGAUUUAUAUUAAUGUGAACAUGUGAUGUUUUAGGUUAAAUUAUUAUGUGUAUAAUGUUCUAAAUUAGAUUAUCAUACUUUUGGGUUAUAUAUUAUAGAAGCUCCCAUAUUUUUGAAAAAAGUAUUGGCCCAAUUAUGCCCCAAACCAAAUCAAACUGAUGUUAAGUCGGGUUGGUUUUGGUCAAUAACUAAAUUGGUUCUAAUUGGUUCCAAUUUAUUUUAAACUGACCAACUCGCUUUUAGUCUUGGGUUGGUUAAAAACUAACCUAAACUAAACCGCCCCUACUUGCUGACUACAAAUUUAUUUUUUUCACAUACAAUGUCCCACAAUUUUACGAUGUUUGAAAAACAAGAAAUUUAAUAUGCUUAUUACCUAUUACCAAUCAAAAUUCUAAAUUAAAAUAAAGGGAAAAAAUGGAAAAUAAAAGGUGAGGCUAUUUUUGGUUUCUAGAAAAUAUUGAGGAAAGAAAUAAAAUAUUAAGGAAAAUGAUUUCCUCAUGUUUGAUUUUACCAUGAAAAAUAUAAAAGAAAAUCAAAUAUAAUUAAAUUUCAUUGGAAACUUAUGCAUUUUUAUAUUAUUUAAUCUUCAUAUAUAGAAGAAUAAAAUAAGUUAAAUGUAUUUGAAAUAGCAUGUAAAAACAAUUUAUUAACUUGAAAUCUAUUUUUCAUUUUCCUUCAAUUUUUCUCUCCUACUUUUUCUCCCUAUAUCUUCUUUUCCUUACAUUUUCCUUCAAAUUUUCCGGGAACCAAACAUGGUAUAAGAGAAGUUAGAGAACGACCUUAGUAUUCAUAAAAAAGUCAUCUAAAAAAUAACUUUGAACAAAAAAAAAGAAAAAAAGAGCCAAAUUGAGAAAGAACAAUGAAGCUAAAUCAACAAAACUGUUCAGAAAGUUCUCAAAGAGGGAAAGGAAGAAAGCUAAACCGUUGCUAGAGAGAUUUGCACACACAAAUUUCUAUUAAAGAAAAAUUGGUGGCCAAACUGAAAUUUUAUUAAUUUUAAGGAAUAGAGAUUAAAUCUCUAUCUUGCCUUUUGAUUCUUCUAUACAAAAGGAAAUAAUGUUUGAUACGAGGACUUGAACACUUAAUUUUCAAUCGAAAACAUUUAAAACUUGAUUUUGAAGAACUUGAAUGUGUUCUUGAGAACUUCGAACCUUCAAACUUUUUCUUAAAGAAUCUUCUAAUCCAUAACUUGAUCUUAAAGAGUUUUCAAAUUUGGACUUGAAGAUCAAAGACAAAGCUUGAAUAACUCCUGAAGCAAUCUUUCCAACUCUGCUCUUUUGUUGUCUUUUGACUUUUCUUGAGAGCUUUGGAAUGAGCCCUAUUUAUAGGGAUUAAAAGCACCGCAUUUGCAUCCAUUAAAAUAUUAUUCUUUAAUUAAAAUAAUGUUUAAGAAGAUUUGAAAGAGCAUUUUUCCUAGUCUUUUAUCAAAAAAAAAAAUUCCCUAGUCUUUAAUUUCUUUCUUAACAAGACUUGAUAAUUAUUUUUUCCAAUUAUCAAAUUUACCAUUUUUGUCUAUUUCUAACAAUUAUAUUUUACUCAUCAGAAUAUAUACUUUUUUAUUUAAAUGGAUGACAAAUUGUAUAGUUCUUUGUCCAGGGCCUAUGUUACACAUGACAUUAUUCUAUUGAUAAAAAAUUUAUGCUAUGUAACAAUUUUUAAUAGGUCACAAUUUAAAUUAAUUAUGAACAUUUGAUUUUUCUGUUAGUCCAUAAUUAACUUAAUUUGAUUAUAUGAUAAAUUAUAAGGUCCAAAUCUAAGACUUAAUGGAUUGAACUUGUUUGUAAAUAAUAAGCCUUGGCUUAUGUUCCCAAGCCUUUGCAAAAUUUUACACCAUUUAUACUAUGUUUCAAGAGUUUCUAGUAAGUUUCCGUUCCUUUAAAAACACAAAUGACAUGUUAAAAUCAAAAUCAAUAGUUUGUGUGAGGUACUAUCAUGAGGUUGCAAAAGCUCCUACACUUGGCAAUUUAUUAUUUCGGUAAUGACUUUACAAUGCAAAAAUUGACAUAUUAUUUCUUAUUUAUCACACAAGGAACCUAACCACCAUUUGACAAAUAGAAAAAACAAAAGGCAGUUUUAGACAUUACCAGGAGUACCAACACCAAUAGUAUCGCCAAGGGAAAUUUCAUAGCAACCCAUAUCAUAAAGUUCUUUACCCACAUAUGUUACUUUUGAUGGAGAUACUACUCCUUCCAGUGGACAACCCACAACGCACGAUAUGUAUCUGAGAACAUCAAGGACUAAUUAUUACCCUUCUAUAUAAAGCAAGAAAUUGAAUUAAAAUAGAAAAGUACUAAUUAGUUUUCAUGUCAUACAUCUAGCCACUUCUUUUCAAUGAAAGGUUACAAAUAGAAAUCAACAAUAAAACACAAAGGUUAAAAUAUAUUUAGAUUCUUUACAAAUCAUCCUUUUUUUUUAUGCCAAAAAAUAGUUACAACUCAAAAGAUAGUCCUUCGGCAUAUAAAUUUUAUUUGAGGACAUCAAAUGAAGAGAAAGAGAGUAUAGAAUUUUAAAAGAUAAAAGAUAAAUUUAUCUAGGGGGUAACAAUAAAACGGUAAAGGAAAUAGUCAAAGGUUGAUAGAUAGUAAAUCUCAUCUCUGAGCCAUCUCCAACAAGGUGCUCAUUUCUAAGCAUCUCAAUCGAUGAAUCAAAUCAGAUGGAAAGAAAAAAAAAAAAACAAUUCACAAUGAAGCUUUGUCAUCUAAAUAACUGAACAGAAAGAGAUUUUACUAGACACCAAGUCUCUUCAUUUGAUGGAAUACUGAAUUUAUCUUGUUUCUUUGAGAUGCAAAAUACACUGAAAAAAUGAAAUAUUAAACUUUAUACAUUUUCAAGCUCCAACUCUCUUCUUUUCUUUUUUCCAAGUGAAUAAAGUUAAGAGAGAUUUGGAGAAAAAAUUUAUUGGGUUCAAACCACCCUUCUGUUUUCCUUUUCUUCCUUUUCCCUUCACUAGUUAUUUCCCCCAAAGUUUCCAAAACCUGAAAUUUGGAGCCUAAAAGUGAUAAAUAUGUAGUAAAUGAAUGAAGAGGACAAAUGUUGCUUAUGCAGAUCUCUUUUUUUCUUUUGGGUGAUUAGGAGUGUGUUUGGUAGUGUUUCUAUUUGAAGUACUUUGAGUUGAAGUGCUUUCUCUAGAAGUGUUUUUUCAGAGAAUUGGCUAUCAAGUGCUUCUCUAAGAAAUAUUACAAAUGAUUUUUCAACUUUUUAAAAUUACUUCACAAAUUUAGCCAAACGCUUAAUUUUUCUUCAAAAACAUUUUUUAUGCUAGAAGUGUUUUCCAAAAGCACCACCAACGGACUCUAAGAGUACCUAUCAGGAAAUGAAAAUUCUCAUGCCAGCUAUGCUUUAUGGUAUAAAAUACUACAAAAAAUUGUAGGCAAAAAGAUGAGUAGCCAAAGUGAAGAUUCAGGUGUUAAGAUGGACAAGUGGCAAUACAAGAAGAGGGUGGAAACAAGAAAUGAUAGAUUCAUGAGGAGCUAGAGAAUGGCACAAAUGGGAGACAACAUCAGGAAAAGUCAUCUACUAUGUGUGCAAAGAGGAUCAAUAACACACCAUUAAGGAGAAGACUUUUUAUUAAAAUUCUAGACAACAGAACGCACGACAUAUGAGGUAUAUAUUUCUUCUGCAGAUAACAGUUUCUGUCAUUUGUGUAACAUAGAUAUAUUUAUCUCUCUAUUUUAAUCAUCUCCUAAGAGAAAUUUAUGAUAUUUUCACUACUCUUAAACUACUUUAUAAUUAUAAAAUAUAUAUGAGUAGAAUUUAUUGAAUCAACUUGCCUAAAAAAAUUAAAAGAGUUUAUUAAAUAAACUUAGAAGAAAUGAGAAGCUGAAAUUGAGUUAGAAGACAUACCCACGAACAGGGAUUGAGAGCUUUCUAGCAGCAAGAGCAACAUCACGGUAACGAGUGAGACUAUCUUCAAUGCUACAAUUGAUGUUUGACUUUGAAAAUGACUCAGAAGCAGAGGCAAAGAUGGCCACUUCCUUAGCUCCAGCUGCAACAGCUGCUUCAAAGCCCUAAAACAAAACAUUACCAAAAUCAGCAAUUUCAUCCAAACAAAUUGAACAUCAGGUUACAAGUGCAAAUUCAUCCAUAAAAGACAGCUUACUUUAAGAUUAGGUGUCAACACAGGAAAUCUACCACCUUCAACAGUUCGAAUGGCUUCCAUUACAUCCUUUGCAUCUGCUAGCUGUAAUUUAAUCAUGAAAAGUUCAAACAGGCAGACUUAUAUUUUGUUUGGGAGGAUAAUCCAAAAAAUGAGAAAACAUAAUAGUAGAUACGAGAACACAAGUUAGGACACCCGUAGUAGUUAAAAACUUAUGAUACACAAUAGAUACAAUAAUAUGAUACAUUUUUUAUGAAAAUCGAUAUAUUUCACAAUCUAUUUCAUAUAUUAAUCAUAGCUUAAGAUACUUGUGAUGCGAGAUAUAAUGAUACAACAGCACACACCUUUAACUAUUUUUCAUAAUUUUUAAGAAAAAUCAUAUUCAAAAGUUUUUUUUCUUAAAAGAAGCAUUAUAUUAAUUGCUUAAAAUGUUCUAUAACAUUAGAAAUUGAUCAUAAAAAGGUGAGAGAAGUAAAAUAAUCUUAUAUAAAAAGCUACAUUCUUGUUGUCGAAACUCAUGUUAGAAGUUAAAUAAAUUUAUUCUUACAAUGAAUAUUGGAGAAUUUCCAUUUCAAUGAUUUGAAUUUUAAUAUUGAAAAUGAUCAUAAUUGAUGAAUAAAAUUUUUUACUUAAUCUAUUAGUUUUGUGAAUAUUAAAAGUUGAAACUUUGGAGAUGACAUAUGACAUAUAUAUAUAUAUAUACACAUAAGUACAUAUGUUUAGUAAAAUUUGGAAUUAAAAAUUAUAUCUAAAAAUUUUAAAAGCUUUUUUUUUGUGAAUUUUGUGAUGAACCUAUAUAUUAAACUCAUAUUUUGUUAAAUGGAACUUUUUAAAACCCUAGUAUUCAAUGUUUUCAUACAAUAUGAUAUAGUUUAAAAACUUAAGAUACAUUAUUCAAUACGAUACACAAUACAAAAAAUAGAAAAACAAUGCACGAUACAUUUUAUAAGUUGACAACUAUGAGGAUAUCUAUAAAAAAAGGGAUUAUCAAAAAAUUUGACUUUAAGAUCCAAAUCCAAUGAAGCACAUUAAUUUAAAGAUGCUGGAGAAAUUGAAAGAGGAUACACCACCAGACAGGUAGAAGAAACACAAAACAUAAACACAUACUUAUAUAGAAACCAAAAAAAGAAAAAGGAAAGAAAUAAAAAACAGAGAGAACGAGAGAUAGGGAUGGAGGGAGAGAACAAGCAAGAUAUGUUACAAACAAGUAGCAAAAAUAAUGGCCUUACAAAGCAAUGUUUAGCAGUCAUUGUGAUAACAAGAAAGGAAAAGCUUCUCCUUGAUGCUGAUAUUCCUUCUCUUGCAUAUGAAGAAAAAUUUAAAAUUUUAUGCUCAAAUAUAAAGUUUAUCAAUAGAGUUUUAAGAAAAAUAGCUGAAUUUGGUGGACUACAAAAUGUGCCUCAUUAACAAUCAAAAAGUCAAAAAAAAAAAAAAUCAAACAUGCCCCUGUUAUAUAUACUCACAUCAAUGGGUACAAACACCUAAGGAAGAAAUGAACAUUUGUUUUCCAUUUGUAAAAGCCAACUGGAUUUUGCCAUGCAACUAAAAUGUUUUCAGUAAGUAAUACAAUAUUCAUUUAAACAAAAUAUUUCUUACUAAAAAAGAAAGUAUUGUUUGAAUCAAAUCUUAAUUGACCAAUUAAUGCUAAUGAAGAAGUAGCAUACAACAAGAGAGAUAAGCACAAAAGUUUUGCCCACAAUUGGCACUAACUAGUUGUGAAAAAUAGCUAACUCAACCUAAAUAAUCAUCAAGAGGUGAGGGUGAAUUGGUUGAAGGGCAAUUUUACAAGAUUUUACAAUUAGACAAUGAAAAUAACAAGAACAAAAAUAAUGAGCAAUUAAAACAAGACAAGAUAAGAUGAGCGAAGGAAGAAGAAUUGUUAACUCUAGUUUAUAGUGGUUUGGCCCAAACCCUGACCUAUAUCCACUCUCCUCAAACUCCGAUCGAGUGAGAGUUCUACUAGUUUCAAGGCUUCAAUCCAAGCCUUCAAUGUGUACAAUUGGAUUAUGGUGUCAAUCCACCUUUGACAACUCUUCUCAAGUAGUAAACCUCAAUUGAACAACACAUCAAUAAUUUGAAAGAAGUAAUGAAAGGACAAUACAAUCCUAAUGAACAAUAAUGGCUCAAAAAUUACAAUGAAACUAGGAUUGGUUUAAGGUGCACAAGAGAAUUAGAAUGUACUCAAGAGCUUUCAAUGAGACUUUUGGUAGGUUAGCAAUUGAAUACUCAUGAUCUCAUGUGUAUAAAUUCUCUUAAAAAUUUCAAUUUAUAGCUCGACAACUUGAAAAACCCAGAACCCACAACUUGGAUAGGACCGACUUACUAGUCAUUGAGCAUUUAAUGCCCUAACAGGUGACUGUUAGAGGUCCAGGAGCUCAACCAAUCGAGGCUUCUGCCUCAAUCGAUUAAAGCAGCCUUUUGGGCCCCAAGCGCACAAAAGUACCACCUUGACUACUCAAGCCAAACCAGCUCAUUCGAUUCCCCUGCACCUCGACCAAAUGAACUAUUGUUGCAAAUUUGAGACCAAAUCAAGGCAAGGAAACAUUAGGAAGGCUUCCAACACACUUCAUAAAUCCUUUAAUUCCCAGGUUAUUGAAAAACAUGAAACCAUCCAAUUUUAUGAAAAUAUAUUCAAUUUAAAACGCAUAAAGGAUGAUUUUAAAAAUGUUAAGUGCGUGAAUGAAUUGAUUUAACCCUAGUGCACCAACAAAUCCAAUCUUACAAAGGUUCCUAGGACUUCAACAAGACCUAGUCUUCAUAACACAAAUCGUCUAUUGAUUGAUCCUUGAAUUUGCCUUGAUUCCUUCAAAACCUGAAAUAAUAAACUUAAUUGAACUAUUAGUACCAUUAACCUCAUUUUAUUAUCAUCAAAACUCCAUUAAGGGAAGCCUUGGGCCAACACUAGCCUUAUAAAAACCUUUCUGAGCUUAUUCAUAUAACCCCAUGGUGGUUGUGCUUGAAAUAAAUUAGCAAAGGUAGAAAAAUGGUAAAGGUUACAUGAAUCUUGUGUAUAACUUCAUCCUAUGUUGGGUUUCUUCUUCUGUUGAAGUGUAUAUCUUGAAUCCUAGUCCUUUUGAGGUCCCCAUGUCUUUUAAGGUUUUCAAUUAACACAAAGAGAGUCCUUACCACUGCCACUUUUUGUCUUAAGGCACUCCACAAACCAACCUGGUAACUUUUUUUCCUCAGAAAAAACUAAGAUUAAUUGAUUUUGCCUUGUCUUUCAAAUCCAUCUCUACUUGCUUACUGUCUGAAUUUGUUUCAGCUCCAUAAAGCAAAGUAUUCCCUCACCACCAUAUCAUAUAUUUUUGUCCAAUUUCACUUAUCUAGCUCCUACAAAAGGACAAGCCAUCUUCACAUCAGCUCCCUUGCAAAUAAACCAAAUACCCUACUCUUCCACUUAUAAUUAAUAAUGCACUUCAUAAGAGUAAAAAAGUAAGAGACUUUGAUUUCAAAAUCCUUCACUAGAUAGGGAGAAACCAGGCAACUUAAAAUUAAUAGUUGGAGGUAGUGGGAUGAAGUUAUCCUCUAAAAAACUGCCUUCUUCUUACAUCAACUACUCCCUUUUUUUCUCAAAGAGUAGAAGUAAUUCUACACUUGUACCGCAUAUCAUGUGUGCCACAUCCUCUAGUAUAUUAGUACUAAAGUAAUAAGCUACCCAGCUCCAUGAUGAGAUAGAACUUAUUUGACAAGAUGAUCCAACCAUAAUAACAGAACAGCCUUUGUCCUUAUCAGACCUCCUAGUCUGCUUCCAUGCCUGUGGUGAUCAUCAAAAAACUUCUCACAAGUCAUAACUUAUUUCAUUAAAAAGUUCUAAACAUUUUUUACAGUUCUGAAAAUCCUAAAUCACUAUCAAACAGCCAUCUAUAUCUCUUAUUAUUGCUUAAAUAUAUUUCUACACUUGAGCAGUCAAGAAAUAAAUUUUCACAUAAUUGGCUCCAAGAUCCAAUGUAAAAUAUACAUCUAACAACUAACAUCAUAGGUUAGGGUCUUGAUUAACAUCUAAAACACACUCAAAUGCAGAAGAUAGCUAGCCACAUCACAGAAUAUAAAACAAAAAUAAAAGGCCCAAUUAUUUAUUUAUUUAUUUUGUUGCAAACACAAGAAGUUGAACAAAAAGGAGAAACUUCUUAGCAAAGUUAAGGUAACAAGGCUGACAAAUCUAUGCAAAAAUGAACAUACAGAAUAGGCAUGCAAAGCAAAUGACUUUACAAGAAGGUUGACUAUCUCCCAAAAACUACCAAAGCCUACUUUACCUGUGGCACCCAUUUUGGUGAGACAAAACUUGUAGCCUCUACAAUAGGCAAUCCUGAAGAAACUAGCAUCUUAAUCAGCUCAACCUUUACAACAGUAGGCACAAUGUCCUUCUCAUUUUGCAAUCCAUCUCUGGGACCAACUUCCACAAUCUUCACAAAUCCUGGCAUACUUCUUAGCAACUGCAAGACAUCAUGUAAACUUUUAGACUACACAAUUCCUGUAUUUAAAAUAGAAAACCACCAAACCUUGAGACUUGCAUAUAUGUCCAGAAAAAUCUGAAAAAAUGUGGUAUAUAUUAUUGAAAUUGUCAGCCUUUGAACAUGUGUGAAUACUCAUAGCCAGAAUAUUACAGAUGUUUCUUAUAUCAGCAUGAAAUUACAGAUUUGGCUCAAAAUAAAGUCACUAAAGAAUCUAAUUCACUGAGCAAGGACUCAAACAAUGACCCUACAAAUAAAGAAAAGAAAUAGACAAAGUUUAUAACUCCUUCCCUCUUUUUCUUUAUAAUAAGAUUUCCACUUAUCCACCAAUAAUAGAAAGUCUACAUGAGAUGUAAUGCACCUUAUUAUCCCUUGUGCAUUCAUCAUUGCAAUGGGAGCUAUAAGGACGAUCUGUCAAAUAACAAGCAUCAGGAACACUUCGAAAUACUCUAUGAUUUCUACUCAUGUUUGCAGGUGUACGAUUUAAGAAAUCCCCCCGUGACACAUUCCUCAUUUGUCUUCUCCAAGGGCAUACUUCUUCUGUAUACUCAUAACUGCAAAAGAAUAACUUAUGAAUGUUCUAGAUAACCAAAUCAAAUGUCUAGAAUUUAUUUGACAUGGAAUUUCCCAUCAAAAAAGAAAUCCCCUGGGAGUCACCCCAGCCAUGCUAGCAAUAGAAAAGGCCACAACUCACAAGUCAAAGGAAAAUGAAUAUCCAUAGUCUUUUCGCUCACUCUACACAUGGCACACAAAUCAAGAGUGAGCACUCUAUUGGGCCAUUUAACCUGAAGAUUCAUAUUGGUACUUACCCUCUACCUCUCCUGCUGAUAAUAUGAAGAAAAUUUCCAUGCAAGAAGGAAUUUCCCGGGCAGCUACCCCAACAUUACCACUCAAUAGAAAAUGCACUGCCAUAACUCUUAAGAUAAAGGGAAAUGAAUACCCAUUGUCUCCUUAUUCACUCUACACAUGGCACACCAAUCAAGAGUAAGUGUUCUAUAGCAUCCAAAGAACCUUAGGAUUGAUAUUGGUAUCAUCCUUUUCUCAAGUUACCAACCACUCAUUUCUUUAGUUUUCAGGGAACUUUGCCUUCCCAAAUCAACUCACUAUACAAAAGAAAUAGACCACUUGACCCAUGGAGGGAAGGAAGGAAGGAAGGAAAGGACUUAAUGACUAAUGGCACAAUUUUGUUUUUUGAUCCCAGAAUUAGAAAAUUAAGCUUUUGGAAGGCUCUGAAACCUGAAAAAGAAGAAUGAAAGAAAUGGAAAGGGACUUCAGAAUUCUUCGUACAUGAUUCAUGAGCUGUCAAGCACUGUCAUAGCACAUCAGGCAGUGGUAAUGAACAUCUCGGUGUUUUAAUCUGUGAGGCACACGCAAACAUAUAUACCUGUACAUAAGGACAACUGAAUAGAAACGUGGAUUUUAGCAUCUAAUAUCCUUACAAAAGCCUAGAAUUUAUGAAAAUAGGGGACACAUGGGUGCGAAUGUGACAGUUGACUGUGAUAAAUCAAAAUUAAAGUUUCUUUGUGAUUUACCAGGCAAGCAUGUAGAUGGAAACAAAUUUAUUAAAAAAAAAUAGAGAAAUAAAAUAAAGAAUGUAGAAGAAAAGAUUAAAAAAAAAAUUGAAAAUACAUUUUUAUGCCAACGUUCAAGCAAGAGUUAAGAAGAUUUUAAUCAGAGGGCUUCAGGUUUAUAGACAUAUGCUUACUUGCUAUUUUUUGGAGAGUGAAGGCUCGACCCUUCAACCCAGCAAUCUCCGAUUCCUGUACCAUUUUCUCUGAUCAUGCAAGGAUUAGAGGAAAACAUUUUAACUUUAUCACCACCAAAUCUUGAAAGCUUGCCAAAAACAGCUGGCUCCUCCAAAUUUGACAUUAUUGGAAUAGAAGUACAAGAAAAGAAACUUCUCAACCGUAAAAAUUUAUCCAAAGCCUUCACUGAUAGCAUCUGAUCAACAACACAAAAAUGAAAAAACUGAUUAGUCUCUGGAGUAGAAGAUCUAACCCUUUAUUUACGUACCUUGAAAACAAGGAAAGGAUGAAAAGGUAUUUAUGAACGAUCAAGAAAAAUUCCAAGCACGAUAUGUUAUCAAGGGAUGAAAGUAGUUUUAAGUAACACACUUCCAAAUAUUAACUUUCCUACAGCAGUCACAAAGUUUACACCAAUACUGAAGUUUAAAAACCUUCUGUGCUACUUCGGCCGCCAAGAAUUACUUCAGCUUCUACCACAUCCGAUCCAAACUCGAUGUUUCGAACUGAAACAUCAUAAUAACCAAAUUUAGAUUAGUUUUUUUUACGGAAAAUCUUAUGCGAGAGAGAAAAUGGUGCCCUGUACAACAAUUAAAGAAACAAAGUCUUCUAUCCCCCUUACUCUAGUGACAAAUAAAAAAUCAUUUUUAAAAACCAGAAUUAAUGCUGUAUACUUUCAUUGAGUCAUUAGAAUUCCAUUAGCGCCCUGUAAACAAAAAAUAAUUUACUUUCGGAGUUGUGGCAAUGAAAGAUUGUAGGGUAAGGAUCUCUGGUCUAAAAUUGAAUUUUCAAUUUCAAAUAUCAGAUUGGUUGUCUCACAAUUUUCGUUAACGCAUAAGUAGGAUCAUAACAAAUCGUGCCCUAAAGCACUUACCAGUUAGAUCCGGGAAAAAUAUGUGAUCUCUUCACUGAUUCACUGCUAUUUUGAUUAAUCAAAUCCGAUGUUUGAUUGCUGAGAAAAUGGGAGAGAAAAAAAAACAUUCAUUCAAGAAACCUCGUAGGAAUAUCUUAUCAGAUAGGACGUUAUGGUAAACAAAAGGAAUGUAAGGAAAAACGUAAGCGACUUAGCUGAUAACUGCCUUGCGAUGAGGCGCCAAUCUCCGGGAGAAAGGGCCGGCCCGGUCGUGGCUUGGGUGGGCUUGGGCACCCAGUGAAAUUCUUUUUAAUGAAAACAGGGUUCAUCCGGCGCAGAGAUUAAAAUGUGGGAAAUUACCAAAAUAUUGGUAGGUGUAUUUUAUAAAAAUUCUGAAAAAAAAAAUAAUUAAAUGAAAAUAAUAUAUUUCUUUGGCUUUCUCCACCAACCAAUACCAUUACCAAAAAUCUUAAAAUAUUAUAUUUUCCUAAAUUUCUUUUAACUUCUCUGAAUUUCUUUCUAAAAUAAACAAAUUUCAUAUCAAACAACACUUAAUAAAAAAAUAUUAUCAUUCUUUAAAAAUAAUUUGAAACUUAAAAAUUAAUUUAAUUAAUAUUAGAAAGUCAUAAAACUCAAAACUAAUCAAAUUAACAUUAAAAAGUCACAUGCCUAAAUUCAUUUUGAGUAACAUUUUUAAUUUUUCUUUUAUAUAUAAUCAUAAUAUUGUCGGUUUUUUUAUUAUGCAAAUAAACUCAAAUUUAAGCGUGUUGAUUUGCUAAAGGGCUUAGUUAUUUUUUAAAAUAAUUUAAAACUCAAUUAGUGACUUAAUAAAUAUUUAUAGACAAAAAUUAGUUUAAAAUUGUUUUUUUUCUUAAACAUAUUUUUUCAAUUAUUUAUAAAUUAAAAAAUAAAUUUCAAAUCAAGGCAAUCUUUGUAUUAAAUUUAUUAAUUUUAAAAAAUAAUUUAAAACUUAAAAAAAAAAUAUAUAUAUAUAUAUAUAUAUAUAUAUAUAUAUAUAUAUAUAGUACCUAUAAAAAAUGAUAACCCAAAACCAAUGUAUUAUAUGUCAUAACUCACUAUUUCUCACAUACAUAAUUAUAUCUUCUGAAUUUUCUCACUAUAUAAAUAAAUUCUAAACUAAAUGUAAAAUUACUAAUAUUUUUAAUUCUUUAAUAAAUUUUAUAAUUUUUAAGAAUAAUUUGAAGUGUAAAGAGUUUAUUAAUUAAUUACAGAUUAAAUAAAAAAAGUUAGAAUACUUUAUGUACAUGAGUACCAAAUGUAUGCAUGUAAUAAAAAGUUUGAUUCAUAUGUCCCUUAAAAAAUUAAACUUUAUUUAUUUUUAAAUUUAUUUAAAAUAAAAUAAUAUCACCAAUUAUUAUUAUUUAUUUUUAACAAAAUAAAUCAAAUAUAUUUUCAUAAGGAUGUUAAUAUCCAUAUUUUGAUAAUAUUUACAAAAAAAAUAUAUAAUUUAUAAUUUUAUUAAAGCAUUACCAUUCAUUUUUUUAUUAAAAAUUAUUUAUUUAAAUUAUCUUUAAUUGUAAAAUUAUUUUCAAAAACAAUUUACCCUAAUAAUUUUUUUUAUUUUUUUAAAAAAUAUAUAUAUAUUUUUAAAAACAAUUUACAUUGAGAGAAUUAAAACGCCUUAUAUUAUAGAUAAAUUAAUAAAUGAGAUUUUAUUUUUAUUAUUAUUAUUAUUUAUUUUAUUCAUAUAAUCACUUAAAUUAUCCAAAUAUGAGAAUGAAUAAAAAAAGAAAAAGGAAAUGAGAAAAGUGAUGAAACCAUCCUCCUCGACAUUCUUCUUGUAAAUUGACGUGCAAGAUUUAUUUAUUUAUUUGCAUUUUAAAAACCAAUGUGAAAUUUGUCUUUUGAUUUUGAGCAUCCAUGAUGCCGAUACGUACAUUUCAAUUACCACAUGAAGGAGGAAGUUCAAUCUUAAAUACCGGACAUCAAGCAGAAACCACUACACUCAGUAGAUGCAGAUUUUAAUAUUCAAUGGGUUCAUUCCAAUUGCCACAUUAUUUUCAGCAACCAGAACUCAAAAAAUGCCACACAAAUAACACGAUUAUAAGGAUAUGGGGGAUUGGAUACCUUAUUUUAUUUCCCAGUACAAUUUUGAGACAAUCAAAUUAUGAGCUGCAGAGUCCGUAAUCCAAUAAAGGAGCUUUGGAGUCUAUGGUGGUGUACCGGGAUGAACCAUCACCUUCCAAAUUAAAAUUCUAGGGCUAUACCACAAACAGAAUUCUGAGAUGUACUGGGUAUUACAUGAUGAAUAACCCAAGAAAACCAGUACCGCAGAAGAGACUCAAAGGGAAGAGAAAAUGGGGACACCCGGCAGGGUUGCACCUGCAUCGACAAUGAAAAUGUUACCUGAUAUGUAUCGUGAAGAAUCAUGAAUCAAGUAUCGCACCAGGGAUGUCAAUGCAGGGUCCGAUGUUCCAAAGGUCCGCAUAGGGCAUGUUCUCUGAGCCACAGUGUUGAGCCAGUCUUUUUGCAUAAGGCCCGAAGUUAUCUCUGAUUUGAAUAGUCCAGGUGCUAUUGCAUUCGCUCUAAUAUUGUAUGCCCCCAAUUCCAGAGCCAUUACCUGGAAUUGUCAUUAUUUGGAAAAAAAAAAAAAUCAUUCUUCAGUGCCAGACUCAGAUGAGUGAGUAGCAGUGUAGGAAUAAAGGUUCUACAACAUUUUUGUAUGGAAAAAUAGUUGAAAAUGGCAGGAAAUAUACAAUAAAAUGUCAAAUCGAAAUAAGUAUAAUGCCAUAUAAACACAAGCCCUUAACCAGAUUUACAGAAAAUGGCUUACAUCUUGGAUGGACAAACUGUACGAAUCAUGCAAGGGAUAGGCUCCCAUAUUAAAAUGACUCUGGGAUCAUAAAUAAACAAAUGUUUAAGAGGCGUCCCCGUUACAUAGUGCAUAAAAACUCAGGCACUACAUCCAACUAUCGAAGUCAGACAGCCAACAAAGGUGAUCUCUAACUUCAAAACAUAGACAGCAUAUGAAAGAAGGCUGGUUAGUGGAAAUUUUAAACAAUGAAUCCUGCAGUGACGGUCCACUUAAAAUGUAGCUUCGUCUAAGAAUGUGUCAGUCCACAACUUCAAAAAAUGUUGGAAAGCUAACAUCCAUUGAAGCACAGCAUUCUUUCUUCCUGAUUUUAAAGUCGGAGGUUGUUGCACCUUUGAUUUACAAAUUUUUGCUAGCAAAUAUGUCCUUAUGGGCAUGGAGGAUUUAAUUGUGCAGGAAUGAAACAGAAAACAAGUCUUUUCUAUGAAGUGUCUCUUUUGAUUACUUAGUUGAUAGAAAUCUUUAAUCUUCCCUUUGCAUCCAGGGACACUCUAAUGGCUUCGAGAGAAAAACUGCAUUGAUUUUACCAUCUUCCUUGCAUUCUGGGGAAAAAUUCAGAGGAUAUUCGUUGGCUUUCUACAUUUCCAUUUUUUCCAUUAUGAGGAGAAUUAUACUACAAUUUUUCCACUUAUUCUCAGUUUAUAUUAGCUGAGAAAAAAUAAGAAAAGAAAAUAAUGGAAAUUUAGAAUCCAAAAUUUUUAAAUAUUUGGGAUUGGAGAAAACAGAAACCUACACUCAACCAAGCUUGUAUGGUGGGUUAGUCUGGUUGAGUUUCCUAUUAUAGUUGGAACAAACAUGAAAUGGCUAGGUUGUGUUAUACAUUGGAUGAGACACACCCAUGUUAACGUCAUAGUAUUAGAUCUUGGAAUCAUCUCUCAAAAUGUCAUGAGAUAACUUUUUGGGAGGGCAAAUGUGAUUGAAAUUUCAAAAUCAUGGCUGGAAGAAUAGUAGCAAGGGUAAUGGGUUUGUCAAUACUUUUUCCAAUAUUUCAAGCAUCUCUUCAGAUACAACCAUUGGUACUAUUGAAAAUACUGGAAGAAGGAACAUGAUGCAUCAUGUAUUAAUCAUUUCAGCAGAGCCUCAUAUGUUACGUGGUUGAAGACCCUUAUAUCCUUCAUCAUUUCUUCUUUAUUCUCCCUUUACCUUCUCAUCCUUCAUUCCUACAAUCCCUUCUCUGACAGGAUUUCCAAGAUGCCCAUAAGAAAAGCUCAAAUAACAGUCAUUCUUAAAGCCUGACCCAUUAUCUCCAGUCUUUUAUCUUUUGCCAUUCUGAUCACACAUUCUACCCCACCAAGCAGAUAUCUUACAGUAUUUCACAACACAAUUCUGAGAUUUAAAAAAUUAGAAAAUACCAAAAUUCAAUUAUAUAUCUGCACCCUAUUAGCCCAAAUAAAUGGCAUUUCAACAGUAUGGUGUAUAAUCCCAACCCUAGGAUGAAACAUUAUAUCAGCUUUCUGGGCUGCCACUCUGAUGAGUCAAGCUCAAGCUGGCCAGAGCUCAGCUUGUUGAUAGUUUAGACCAGCUUAAGAUUGGGCUGACCUCAAUCACACAGAGUGGGCUGAGAUCACCUGUAGGCUCAGCCCAACAUCUUAACCUGAGCUUAAGUACAAUGUUCACCUCAACCACACCCUGCUCCAACAUGCCUGUACCUGUCAAUCCUGCUACAAACAACUCCACAAUUAUGUGAAUGCUGAGAAUCCAUUCAUUUGGCCCUCUCCUUCAACAACCUUAGGAAACUUUCCUCUAGUAAGAAAACUAUUAGAUUUGCCUAGUAAAACAAAAUUAAAGCCUCUAACACUUGAGUCAAAGCAAUAGGGAAUUGAAGUUAUGAUUUUUAUUUUUUUUUAAUUUAAGAUAGAAAUCAUCUUGUGUAAUUGCUCAUUUAUUUUUCCUUCUUGCUCGGGGAGGGAGGAGAGAUUGUAUGCUUUUUUUUUUAUGGUUGUUCAGCAGAGUUUCCAGAGAACAUUACAAAUAGUUCAAGGGGAAUGGAGGCAGUUGCAAGGAGGAAGGAGGAGAGUUUGUCAGUGGGACUUUCUGUAGAAUGUUUGGAAGGGGUGGAGUCAAUGGCAAAUUUGUAUGAUAGCAAAUUGGAGAAGUUUAGCAAGUUCUUGGGGAUGCCUGUGCAUGGGUUUGAAAAUAAAAUUCUGCUUUUGCUGAAAAGGAUGGAGGCUCGUAGGAGUUCUAGGGGCUUGACCCUAGGGAGUAAGAGGAAGUUUAGGCCUGACAAAAAUAGAUAUAGAGCACAAAGAAGUUGGCGUGUUCAGUCAAUUACAAAGGGUCUUCAAGCAAGGAAGAGUGGAAAGAUUGGGUGGGAGUUAGUUCCUGUUAGAAAAUGAAAUUGAAGAUUCUUUCUUGGAAUGUUAAGAGGGAUAAACGAUGGAGAGAAACGAAAAAUUAUAAAAUCCCUGAUUAGAUCUCAAAGGGCUAAUUUGGUGUGCUUACAGCAAAAUAAGAUGUCGUGGAUGUCAAUUAAGAUGGCAAGGAGCCUAGGGGUGGGCAGAUUCUUAGACAGGAGAGCAAUGGAAGCCAGGGGUAUUGUUAGGGGAGUUGUAGUCAUUUGGAAUAAUAGGGCUCGUGAGCUUAUAGAGACAAAGGUCGGUGCCUACUCCAUCUUCUGUCACUUUAAGAGCUAUGAGGAUGAUUUCAUAUGGUUUUUUACUCAGGUGUAUGCCCCUAUGCUUAGAGAGGAGAUGGAAGAGUUUUAGGCUUAACUGGCUAACAUUAGAGAUCUCAGGAAUAAUCCUCGGCGUGUUAGGGGAGACUUCAACAUGGUCAGAUUUCCUGAUGAAAAGAGGAAUUGUUCCAAGAAUUCUUCAGUAAUGAGGUGUGUUUGUCUGAGAUAAUUGAGGAGCUAAAAUUGCACGAUUUGCCAUACAUGGUGUGAAGGUUAGAAUAAUCACUCUAUGUCGAGGGUGGAUCAGUUUCUUGUCUCAAAGGAUUAGGAGAGUCAGUUUAGUGGCAUUCUUCAUAGGUUUUGCCCAAGCCAGUCUCUGAUCAUGCCCCUAUUUUGUCGUGGGGGAUGGGAGGAGAGUAAUGUUUUGGUUAGCGCUCUAAGGUGGUAAAGGAAGGUUUUAAAGUUGGUUAGUGAAAAGCCAUUAGGAGAAAUUGAGAGGCUUUUAAAAGAAGAAUUCACUUUGCUGUGGGGGAUGGGAGUAGAGUAAUGUUUUGGUUGGAUAGGUAGUAUGGUGAACCAUUGCUGAGAGAAUCUUUUCUCACAUUAUUCGCCGUAGCAAACUCAAAAGAUGCAUAGGUAGCAGAUAUGUGAAAGCAACAGGGGGAGAGGGGUCAUUGAAGCCCACACUUUCUUAGACAAUUUCAUGAUUAUGAGUUAAACAUGGUGGAGGUCUUUUUGUAGAAACUUCAAAAGUAAGCAGUGAUUUGGGGACUCUGAGGAUAAGACAGCUUGGUUAGAUUCAAAGAUUAGGAAGUUAUCAGUUAAAGCAUUCGACUCAUUUUGGGUACCAAGAGAUUAAGAGCCUUUCGUAACCUCGAUUGUUUAGAACUCAUGGGUCCCAAUAAGGGUGGGAUUUUUUGCAUGGGAAGCAAGGUGAGAAGAAUAUUGACUUUGGACUAGUUAAAGAGGAAAGAAGUAUCUUUAGGGAACAGAUGUUAUGCGUAAAAGGGAAGAGGAUUGUUGAUCACAUUCUUUUAGAUUGAUCAUUAGCCAAAAUCAUGUGAUAACCAAUUUUUUUCUUUAUUUGGGAUUGAUUAGGUGAUCCACUCUUUUAUAAGACCAAUGUUGUUAAGUUGGAAUUGGCACAUUGUCCAAAAGAGGCGGAAAAAAGCAUGAUUAGCUGCCCCUUUACUUUUUUUGGACAACUUGGUGAAAUGGGAAGGGUUUUGAAAAUGUGGAAAUUUUGUAACAAUCAUUCAAAUCCUAUUUUAUGUGCAGUUUCUUGGAUAGUGUUAGGCUUUGUACAGGAGAGACAUCUAUGUCUAUGUGGGAUUUUGUUGAUAGGUAAGUUUGAAUUGGGCAUGGGAUAGAUUUGUGCUUUUUUUUUCCUACUUUUGCUUAGUGCCCCUUGUAUACCUCCUAUAUACUUUAGUAUGCCCUUUUUGUACAUUGUUUUUUAUCUUCUCUUUUUAUACGUUUUAUAUAUUCCUCAUGCUUAUAAAAUAAAAGAAAAAAAAAAGACGAAAAUAAUAUUAAAAAUUAAAAAUAAAAUAACAAGACAAGCAUAAUAUAGUGAACAUAAGGGCUAUUGGGAGAUGGUAGCGACUGAUGGUGCCAGCGAUAAAGAUAGGGGUGCGGAGUGGGGCUUAGGCUUGAAUAAUCAUCAAGUUCUCAGAGGUGAGAAGGAGGAGGAAUGGGAGGAAAGCGAACUGGAAAAAUUCAGUCUCUUUUUGGGCUUUUCGACCGAGGGUCUGGAACAGGAAAUCCUGGAUUUUUUUAUUAAAAUUAGAAAAAGAAGGGAGAGAAUUCAUGGGAAGGCGCUGCUAGAAAAGUCUAAGUUUGAAAGAGAACUAAAGAGGCUGGAGUGUUCAGUGAACUAUGAGAAGGGAAGAAAGCAGAGAGACCCUUCACAGGGUAAAGGGUGUCAAAUUACAGUGGUUUAAUGAAGCUAAAAUUGCUGAGUUGGAAUGUGAGGGGAGUGAACGAAAAAGAGAAAAGAAAAAUUAUCAAGACGUUCAUAAGAAAUCAGAGGGUGGACCUGAUGUGUAUCCAGGAAACAAAGAUCCAACAAAUGACGGAGGAAGUGGUGAGAAGCUUAGGCUCGGGGAGAUUCUUAGAUUGGAGGGCCUUGGACGCUAGUGGGACUGCGGGAGGUAUUCUGAUAUGUUGGGAUAAAAGGACGUUGGAGAUUUUGGAGUGGGAAGAGGGCCAAUUCUCCUUAUCUUGCAGAUUCAGAAAUGUAGAAAAUGGUACUAUUUGGGUAUUCACGGGGGUUUAUGGGCCUUUUACAAAAGUCGAUCGGGAGUGCCUGUGGGAAGAGAUUGGGGCGAUCAGAGGUCUAUGGGAAGACCCGUGGUGUGUUGGGGGUGACUAUAACAUUACCCUGUUCCAAAGAGAAAGGAGCAGGCAAGGAAGAAUAACCUCAGCUAUGAGGCGUUUUGCUCAGAUUGUUGAUGAAGUUGGGCUGAUGGAUAUUCCGCUGCAAGGGGGAGUGUUUACUUGGAGUGGGGGCUCUAACAAUCAGACUUGGGCUAGGCUGGAUAGGUUCUUGGUGAACUCUAGCUGGCUUGAUCAGUUCAGUGGAGUGCUUCAACGGAGACUGCCUCGGCCUCUUUCUGAUCACUUUCCGGUUGUAUUAGAGGGUGGUGGCCUGAGAAGAGGGCCCUCUCCAUUCAGAUUUGAGAACAUGUGGCUUAAGGUGGAGGGAUUCCAAGAUUUGGUUAGAAGCUGGUGGUGGGAGAUUGAGGUGAGAGGUAGUGCUAGUUUUAGACUAGCUACAAAGCUGAAGGAAAUUAAACAGAAUUUGAAAGUUUGGAACAAGGAGGUGUUCGGGAACUUGGGGUGUAAUAAAGCAGCAGCUUUGCAACAAGUGGAAUUAUGGGACCUUGUGGAAAGUGACAGAAUUUUGUCAAUGGAGGAAACAGAAUUAAAAAGGAGGCCAAGGAAAACUAUAAAAAAUGGGUGCUGUUGGAAGAAACGCAUUGGAGACAAUUAUCAAGGGAGAUUUGGCUAAGGGAAGGGGACAGAAAUACGGGCUAUUUCCACCGUAUGGCAAAUGCAAAGCGCAGUAACAAUUAUAUGGACAGAAUUAAGAUAGACGGGUGUGUCUUUCUGAGGAGCAGGAAAUGAGGGAAGGAAUUGCAAGUGCCUAUCAGCAGAUGCUGUCAGAGGGGUCGGGAUGGCAGGCUGACAUUGGGGGGCUGCGCCUAGAUCAGAUCAGCCACCAAGAAGCAGAAAAUUUGGAAACCCCUUUUUCUGAGGCGAAGGUUCAUUCAGCUUUGAUGGAGAUGAAUGGGGAUAAAGCCCUGGGGCCGGAUGGUUUUACAGUAGCCUUUUGGCAAAGUUGUUGGGGCUUUGUUAAAGAGGAGAUCUUGGCAAUGUUUAAGGAAGUCCAUGAGCACAACACUUUCCUCAAAAGCCUAAAUAAUACAUUCCUGGUCCUAAUCCCUAAGAAAGGAGGGGCGGAAGAUAUUGGGGACUUUAGACCUAUAAGUCUUUUGGGGGGAUUGUAUAAAUUACUGGCUAAAGUCCUAGCUAAUAGGCUGAAAAAAGUGAUUGGGAAGGUGGUGUCCCCUGCUCAGAAUGCUUUUGUGAUGGGAAGACAGAUCCUUGACACCUCCCUAAUUGCAAAUGAGGUGAUAGACUUGUGGCAAAAAAGAAAAGAGAAGGGGGUCAUUUGCAAAUUGGACAUUGAGAAAGCUUAUGACAGUAUGAAUUGGCAGUUCUUAAUGAAAGUUCUACAAAAAAUGGGAUUUGGGCCAAAGUGGAUGGGGUGGAUGUGGAGUUGCAUAUCUUCAGCAAAAUUUUCAGUCUUAGUGAAUGGGGUUCCUGCUGGUUUUUUCCCGAGUUCUAAGGGGCUUCGUCAAGGAGAUCCCCUAUCUCCUUACCUCUUCGUAAUGGGAAUGGAAGUAUUGGGGGUUCUUAUUAGGAGAGCUGUUGAAGGGGGUUUCCUGUCAGGUUGUAACAUUCGGGAGGGAGGAAGGACAACUUUGAACAUUUCGCAUUUAUUUUUUGCAGAUGAUACGAUAGUUUUUUGUGAAGCUAAAAAGGACCAUCUAAGUCAUUUAAGUUGGAUCCUCUUUUGGUUUGAAGCGGUCUCGGGGCUAAAGAUUAAUCUGGGUAAAAGUGAAAUCAUCCCGGUGGGUGAGGUGGAGGAUAUUGAGGAAUUGGCAGCGGAGAUAGGAUGUAGGGUGGGAUCUUUGUCGUCCCAGUAUUUGGGUCUACCCUUAGGGGCUCCUAACAAGGCCUCCUCGGUGUGGGAUGGAGUAGAAGAAAGAGUGAGGAGAAGACUUGCGCUUUGGAAAAGGCAAUUUAUCUCUAAAGGUGGCAGAAUCACUCUGAUUAAAAGCACCUUGGCCAGCAUACCCAUUUAUCAAAUGUCUCUUUUCCGGAUGCCGAAGAUUGUGGUUAGAAGGCUAGAAAAAUUGCAAAGAGACUUCCUAUGGGGAGGGGGAAGUAUGGAGAGGAAAAUUCACCUAGUGAAUUGGGAGAUAGUGUGUGGAGAAAAAGAGAGGGGUGGGCUUGGUUUGAGGAAGCUUGGCCUAUUGAACAGAGCUUUGCUUGGAAAAUGGAUAUGAAGGUUUGCUUGUGAAAGAGAGAAUCUUUGGAAGCAGGUGAUUGUGGCAAAGUUUGGGCAAGAAGAUGAUGGAUGGAAGCCUAAUGGGGCGUUUGGGGUAGGGGUGUGGAAGGAGAUCAUGAAGGAGACUGAUUGGUGCUGGGAUAAUAUAGAGUUUAUGGUGGGGAAGGGUACUAGAAUCAGAUUUUGGACUGAUGUGUGGUGUGCGGGCUCAGCGCUGUCCCAAACCUUCCCGCACCUUUUUGUCUUGGCUGCUCAUAGGAAUGCUACGGUGGAGGAGAUGUAGGAUCAGAGUUCGGAUCAAGGAGGUUGGAAUCUAAGAUUUUUGAGGAAUUUUAAUGACUGGGAGGUGGGUAUGGUAGGAGAUCUGCUCCUUAAGCUGAGAGGGUUUAGGCCUUCUUUGGAGGAAGAUUCGGUCUCUUGGAAGGGAGGAAAAAGCGGUAAAUUCAAAGUAAAGAAAGCGUACAGCUACUUAGUCAAUCCUAUGGACACCGUUUUCCCGGAAAAAUGCAUUUGGGUGGAUAGAGUACCUACCAAGGUCGCUUUCUUUGCGUGGAAGGCUACAUGGGGGAAGGUGUUAACGCUUGAUAGACUUCAGAGAAGAGGAUGGCAACUCCCUAACUGCUGCUUUUUGUGUGGUUGUGCAGAAGAAUCUGUAAAUCAUGUCCUUAUUCACUGUAUAGUGACUAGAGCCCUUUGGGAGUUAGUCCUUGGGCUUAUAGGUGUUAAGUGGGUCUUUCCAGAAUCUGUAAAGGAGGUCUUGUUUAGCUGGAAAGGUCACUGGGUGGGAAAAAAAAGGAAAAAGAUUUGGAAGGCCAUCCCGUUAUGCAUAUUUUGGACGGUUUAGAAAGAAAGGAAUAGGUUAGCCUUUAAAGGGGGUGUGAUACAUAGACAGAAGCUAAAGAAUUUUUUUGUUUGUAAUUUGUGGGGUUGGGCUAGAUUGGAUAUUGGAGAUAACUCUCUCUCCCUUCUAGGCUUUCUAGAGUGGCUAGCUGCCACUUAGGGGAGGUGAGGUCUUCUUGGUCCCUUUUGUUUUUUGGUUGUGAGGCUUUAGCUGCCUUGUAUAUCUCCUGUAUACUGUGUGGCUAUUGGCCUCUUUUUUAAUAUACAUUGACGUACUUAUCAAAAAAAAAAUAAUAUAGUGAACAUAAACAUUUGACUACAUUUUCACAUUAUAGUUAAAUCUAACAUUGAAUUUCCUAACUCACCUUUGUAUGCCAGGAUAUAUUAGAAACAAUUUUAAAACAUGUCAGAGAUAUUACCUUUGUCAUGGCGCUCAAGCCUGACUUGGAAGACACAUAGGCUACUCCUCCAGGUAACUGUCCCCGAUUAAGAGCAGCAAUGGAAGAAAUAUUGAUGAUUGAUCCUCCAUUCUUGGCAUCCCUCAUGCGCAUACCGACAUAUUUUGACACCAACCAUGAUCCCGUCAAGUUUGUCUUCAGAGUAUUAUUCCAUUCCUCCUCAGAUAUAUCCAGAGGAGAGUUCACAUUGCCUAAGGCACACAGGGCACAGGGCAUGGGUUAAAUACAUCUACCACGCAUUACGUUCACAAAUAUUAGCAGAACACCAGAGAUAAAUUAAAUGAGUAAUAUUGAUAAGAAAAAUAUAUGUGAUUGACUCGGUAUAGAUACCCAGUUGACUCGCUAAUCUUUUUCAUUAAACAAAUAGUUUCAAAUUUCAGUUCGAACUGAAUGAAAUGAAACGUGCGCUAGAAUUGAAAGUAUGAGAAAAACAAGGUUUCCAAAAGCCAGCUGCAAAACGGGAAAUUCAGGAUACAGGAAUAUCAGGAUCGUGCAAAACCCCAUAAAUUCAAAAAUUGAAAACCAUGAAACGAGAAAUCAGGUAAAUUAAUACUAUACCCUACAUAUUCACCCCUUAGAUGAUUGAAAUUUUAAUUUCGUUUCUUCAUUCAGAUUUCGCGUGAACCAAACGGCAGGUAGAAGUGCUCAAAGAAAAAAAAAUCAAAAUUGCCUCAGUCCGUUGCAUUCCUAAAAUAUCAGAACCUCAUCAACCACAAGAUUCCAAAUUCCCUUUCCUUUUUUCCAAACAGAAACUAAACUCUUUUCCAAAGUCAAAUCAAAAUUUACCUCUAAUGCCCGCAUUAUUUAGCAAAGCAUCGAUACGUCCAAAGGCCUCCCAAGCCUUCUGAACGGAGGCGCCGAUUGAGGAGCCAUCGCUGGUGACGUCAAGUUCGACUGCUACGGCUCGGAGAGGCGGAUCAGCGUUUGGAGGAAGGUUCGAGUGGGUGAGGUUGUUGAUCUCGUCGCAGAGAGACUUGAGUCGGUCAACUCGGCGGGCGGCCGCCACGAUCUUGCAGCCGGCUUUGGCGAGGUUGAGGCAGAACUCGCUGCCGAGACCCGAGGAAGCGCCGGUGACCAUGACCACCUUGCCCUCCAGGUCUUGCCAUGGCUCGAGGUGGUUCGCGACUUGGGACGCCAUCAAUGUGGUUGAGAGUCUCUAGAGAAAGUAGGCACCAGCUUUUAGAGGGAAAAAAAGUAAAGCAAAGAAAAUUUGAUAAGAUGAAAAUAAAUAAUAAAUAAUUAAAAGGGGAAAUAAACUCCUCUAUAUAUUCUAUUGCGACAUUGCGUGAUCAAAUUCCAUUUGUUUAUGUAUCGCCUUUGUAGUGAAUCUAGUGAUGAUGCCAUCGGAUUGUUUGCAGUGAAUUGUCGGAAUUGUUUUUAGUCAUUCUAAUAAUUAAAAAUAAAAAUUUUCAAAUAUUAAAAAUUAAAAAAUUUUAAAUAUUAAAAAUGUUAAAAACGCUUCCUAUAAUAAUUGUUAAAUAGACUCUAAGAGUAUAUUUGAAAGUAAUUCUAAAAAAUAUUUUUAGUAUUUUUAUUAAUGUGUUUUUAAGUAUUAAAAAUAUUAAAAAUACUUUCUAAAAUCACUAUCAAACUAAAAGUGCAUUUAAAAGUAAUUUUAAAAAAUAUUUUUAACAUUUCUAAUACUUAAAUAAUAAAAAACUUCAAGUGUUAAAAAAAUUUAAAACAUUCCAUAAAAUCACUACCAAAUAGAGUCUAAGUUUGUGAAGGGAUCAACACUUAAUAAGUCAUAUUUUAUUAUACAUCUUUCUAAAAUUAGUAUUAAGAAACCAAUUUUUCAGUGUCCAAUAAUUUUCCCUAUUGGUAUAAUUUUCUAAUUACGUAAAAUAAAAAUGGUCAUCAAGGGAAAAUAAUUUUUGAGAACAAACUUUUGCUUAUGAUUUUUUUAUUAUUACUCAAAAAGAGCAUAUUUUAUAUAAUAAUUAUCACGAAUUUCAUAUCUUUUGAGUAGUAACUAUACCUAAAACACUCAAUUAACAUGUUUUUACUUUUGCAAGAAUUACUAAAAAGUCUUAUGAAGUUUUGGGGUAAUUUCAAGGUAUGUUUUUUAUAAAUAGGUGACAAAAGAGAUGAAUCAAAUUAAAGAAAACAAAUAAAGUUGAUGAUGAUCCAAAUGCAUAAUGAAAGAGGCAAUCCAAUCAGUUUGGAUUGGGAUUUGGAGGUAGUUGAAGUGGAAUCAAAAUGAAGAAAUGAGAGAAAUUGCAAAAAGAAGUUGAAAAACCAUGUUUUUCAAUUUCACAUAAACACGAGAAAAAUUCGCACAGUCAUGCAAAUUGAAAUAGAAUGGACUUUGGCUGCAGCACACAAGGGGAAAAGUGAAAAUUGAUUUCGCAUGACCAUACGAAACGCUCCAAGAAGACGAAAAUGGUGCUGAUGGAUUUUCCACUUCGCACAAUCGUGCGAAAUUGUUGGAGCUCAUGCGAAAUUGUUGGAGCUCGUGCGAAAUUGCAUCUUUUCCAAAUUUCUUGAUGAAAAAGUCUCCGGAAGACCUUUUAGAUGAUGCCAAGUGUCCACUUGACCUUGGCCUAUAAAUAGAAACUUGAUUUACUCAUUUAGGGAUUUUUGAUACAUUUCCUAAUUGUAGAAUUUUCCAAAUUUCUUCUCUCUAUAUAAUUCUCUACUUUCCUUCAUUUUCUCUCAUUUUCUCGGUAGCCAAACAUGUCUUGUGAGAUCAAAUCUCAAAGUAUGAGUGGCUAAAUCUUGUUUUUCUUGGAAGAGAAAGGAUAUAGAGAUAAGAUCUAUGGUGAAUUAGAGAAAUGAGAUUAAAUUGCAAAGGUAAUUUGAUCCAAUUGAUUGAUUAAUUGAAAUUUUGAGAUUUUUCUCUUCAAAUUGUCUUGGAUGAUUACGACAAUGUAAGUUAGGUACAUUCAUCAAAUUCUUAAAGUUAGAUUUGAUGAGAUUGAAUAGUUACAUUGUGUGAAUCAUUGGCAGAUAAUUUAAGAUGAAUUGAAUAUAUGAUUUGAAUUGAUCUCUUAGAUUAAACGACCUAAUUUGAAGAGAAAUUAGAUCUAAACCUAAAGUCAAAUCAAAAAUCGGUUUAGAUGAAAAUUUAGGUUUUCAAUCUAACUUGAUGAAAAUUAGAUCUCAACAUCUAUUCACCAUGGAAAUUGUUUUCUAGAAAAUCCUAACUCCGAGAAUUUUAUCUCCUAUUAAUUUUCUUUUAUUUUACAUUUUAUUUUUCUUCUCAAUUUUAGACCAUUGUCAAAUUAAUUUUUCAUCAUGAAUUUUCAAAUCAAUUUCACUUGAUCACAAUCAUUUCUUAUCCUUUCAUUCAAGCCUUAAUUACCGAGAAUAAUCCAUCCUAGUGGACGACACCUAAAAACCACUAUAUUACAGUAGUUUGUACUAAAAUUGUUUUUAAUCGGGUACAAUCUACUUUAGAAUAGUGAAUUAGGUUAUAAAUUUUGUUUUGAUCAAAUAAAUGACAAAAAUCUAAGCGAUCAAUUUUGUAUAUAAAAAAUAAUUUUUUUCACUUAUUCUCGAUAAAACUUAUAAUGUAAAAGUUUUCAAAAUAUUUUUUUAAUAUUUUUUCUUUAUUUUUUGAAAAAUUUUGAUAAAUAAAAUAUGAAAAUACUUUUAAAUUAUUUUUAAAAUAACCUAUUUUCACAACAACAUUUUGAAAAAAACUUUUUUUAUUUUCUCAAAAUUUGGUCAAAUAUAUUCUCUAAGUUGGAGAGUGUCUAAUAUCCUUGUAAAUGUAUUUGGACAAAGUUUUGGAUUUUUAUUAUUUACUUUUGCUUUUAACAGCAAAACUCACUUUAAAAAUCCAAAAAAUAAAAUGAGUUUGGAAAACAAAAUCCAAACUUUAAUCAAAUUUAAAUCCUUUAAUUUUCUCAUUUGUUAAAAGAAUCUCAUAUUUUAUGCCAUUGAUGAAUAAGAAAAAACUUCUUACAUCUCUUAUAAGAAUCAUCUAUCAAUAUUUGAGUAUAUUUUUUUUUAGUGAUGCAUGGUGUUAAUUGAUUGAACUAAAAUUGUAUAAUAAAACCUGUCAAUAGGGAUGACAAUUUAGACACGACACGAUAAUGCAAUUUGAAAAUGAUUGGAUUGUUAAUGUGUUUGGGUUUGCAUGUGAUUGUGUUGUGUCUUAAUAAACAUGUCUUAUUUGGGUUUUCAUUAUUCACCUUGUUUAUGAUUUAUUUGCUUAAUUGUAUCAAAAUAAUUUAUUUAAUCCAUAUAAAUUUAAUAAUUUUAUACAUUCCAAUUAUAAAAAUAAUAAAUACUUUGUUAAUUAUAAAUAUCAUAUAGUAAAAACAUUAAAUAACUAAAUAAAAUUACAUUUGAUUAGUAAGAUUAAAAAUAGUUUAUAGUUAAAAUUUUAAAUAAAAUAAUAAGUAAAUGUAAAAAUUAAAAUAUUAUCCUACUUUUUAUAUUAUGAUCAAAAUUAAAUAAUUACAUUAAUUAAGAUUAAAAAUUAAAGCAAAUGAAAAGUAUUUUAGAAUAAUAUAUUUAUAAAGUUAAAUUCCAAAAUAGGUUAAACGGGUUAUAAUCAUGUUAACUAGUUAAAAUCAUACUAAUGGAUUAUUAUGUCCGAUUUAACCCAUUUAUUAAAUGAGUUAAAUGGGUUGUAUUGAGUUACCUAUAUAAUAAAUGAGUUGUGUUUAUGUUGAAUGUUUCCGACAUGAUUAUUAAAUAAGUCAUAUUUAAAUUAAAUAAAUUUUUACUAUUUUUUUUUUACUUUGAAGACAUUGCCAUCCCUACUUGCUCACAUGCAUUUAAACAAAAAAAUCUUGUAAUUUUCUCUCCAAUCCUUAUCAUUUUUCCCAUCGGCAAGUUCCCUAUUAGGAAAAGAAAUUCCUUGUAUACAUCUCUCAUCCCCAUUCAUGGUCUUUGAAUUCAUAUUUAAAAUUUUCAAAUAUAUAUAUAUAUAUAUAUAUAUAUAUAUAUAUAUAUAUAUAUAUAUAUAUAUAUAAACUAAUAUAUUUUAUAGUGAAUAUGAUAAUUUUUAAAAAAAUAAAUAAAUAUAAAAUUAUAUAUAAAGAAAUAUAUUUAAUAUUAUAUGUAUAUGGUUUGGGUGGGUUUUGGAUAGGGAAUAGUUUCAUUUCCCUGGUCGAGGUUCCCCAUCCCUAAUCCGACUCCAUUAGGGAUGGAUUCCCCAGGGGCACAACUUGGCUGGUUUUUUAUGCCAUCCUUGCUGGAGGGUGGGUUGGGAACUGUUGCCCAAAGCAUGGCCCAUGGGCCCCAACAUUGGCAAAAUCUUGAAACCCUUUAAGAUUAAGCUUGUUAUCUGUUUAUGUAUAUGUGCCGCCAUUUAGAUUGCAGGCCUAAAAAACUUAUAUAGUUUAUGAAGACAUGACCCAACAGGCCCAUCGGGCCACUUGUAUUCCUCUUUAACUUGACACCAAAAGCGCAUUUGGUCGGGUUGAGCUUCAUAUUGUAUGCUUUCAUUAGGCAAAAUGUUUCCUCUAAGUGUAGGACGCGUUUGCUCUGGGUUUUGUUUUUUACCACAAUAUCAUCAAUAUAGACUUCUACGGUUCGGCUGAUCAAGGGUUUGAAGAUUUUUGUCAUCAACCUUUAAUAAGUGGUUCCAACAUUCUUAAGCCCAAAUGGCAUAACCCUAUAGCAGUAUAAUCUGUGCAGCAUCACGAAGGCGGUUUUCUUUUCAUCCGGUUGGAACAUCGGGAUCUGGUGGUACCCGGAGAAUGUGUCUAUGAAAGAGAGCAUCUCAUACAUGGUAGUGGACUCAACUAUCUGAUCUAUUCGAGGUAGAGGGAAGCUAUCUUUCAGGCAAGCAUCAUUCAGGUUGGUGUAAUCAACACAGACUCGCCACUUUCCUCCUUUCUUUGGAACAACCACUACAUUCGCCAACCAAUCCAGAUAUUAUACUUCCUUGAUAAACCCGAUUGUCAGCAACUUGUCCACAUUGAAUUGGAUGAUCUUUUGCUUGUCUGGAUGGAAGCGUCUGACUUUCUGGCAAACGGGUCACGAGGAAGGUAUGAUAUUGAGUCGAUGUAAGGCUACCGAUGGAUGGAUUCUGGGCAUAUCAAAGUGAGUCCAUGCGAAAACAUCCUUGUUCUACUAAAGCACUCCUUCGAGUAAUUUUAAUUCUUUUAGUGCUAGGAGAGAGCUAGCAUAGGUAACACGAUCACUGCUACCUGAGAGAUGCAAGGGUUGGAGCGAGUCUGCUGCUGACAGAUCUUUUUUCGUCAGGCUCUGUAAUUGCUAUUGCUCCUUCGUAUUUGUCAGUCUCGUGUGUGGCUCACUGUUGCUUGGGAGUCCGAAAUUGAGUACCGCUUGAUAGCACUAGCACGUAGCCAACUUACUACCAUAAAGGUCGAUUUGUCCGUCCUCGGUGAGGUAGCUUACCAUCUGAUGAUACGUAGAGGGAAUGACUUUCAUGUUGUGAAGCCACGUGCGCUCCAUGAUGGUGUUAAAAUGGGAUAAGUCCUCUACUAUCGAGAACUGCACAUUCUGGGUGAUCAUACCAACUUGGACGGGUAAUACGAUGUCACCUAAAGACGUUGUCGUUGUCCCAUUGAACCAAAUAAUAUCUGUUUUGGGUUUUCUAGGGCAAUCGGCAGGAGUCUCAUUUGUUUGUAUGACGACAUUUGCAAGAGGUCAACUGAGCUGCCCAGAUCAACCAAAAUCCUUCUUACAUCAAACCCAUUUAUCCCUAAUGUUAGAACUAGGGCGUCUUCAUGUGGUUGUAGUACUCGGUUGGGGUUUACUGGAGGGAAGGUUAUUAUCCCGUCCAUUAGGCAUGCACCUUGAUUACUACUCAAAAAGUGUUAUUUCAUAGCUUGUAAUUAACUCUUUUAAACACUUUUGAGUAGUAGUUAUUGCCUUUUAACCCAAUUAACAUGUUAAGGACCCUUGCAAUCACUUCUAAUCAAUUUGUGUUAAGUUUUGGUGUUUUGAUAGCUUUUUUAUCACCAAAGCAAUCCGAGAUUGAGGAGAGUUAUUUGGAAUCUAUGGCAAAGCAAUGGAAAGCUCAGAAACAUGAAGAACCAAAGCUUUGAAGUCCUUUGUCAUAAGCAAAUCCGGAAUGCAAGGAGGAGAAGCAAAGAGAAAUCUGCCAUGAAGCAUUCUUGAUGAUAGCCAUGUCAGCCACUUUUAGAGCACUUCCUGAAGUCUAAUUUAUGCAUGCUAUAUGUCGUUUCGAAGCUCAGGAAGUCAACAAUCCAAUGCUUCAAAUGGUGUUCAAUUUGGAGUUGAAAUGAAGGAAUUACAGCCAUUACAAGUUGAUCACUCUAAGUUGAAGGAAGAAUUUUGCACAGCGCUGCGAAAUCACCCUUUUGUUGCGAGAUGAUUUCGCAGCCUUUUUGUACAGUGCUGUGGAUUCUCCCCUGAAGUUUCCCGUCACAAUGGAAGCCGAAUACCGCAAGCUGAAAGCCAACUUCGCAGCGCUGCGAAAUCAGCCUUUUGCUGCGAAGUGAUUUCGCAGCCCUUUUUGUGCUUCUACGAAAUCUCGUAGACCUCGUUUUCACCUGCGAAAUGGUCCUUAGUGCUUCCCGAUAUUUGUGACCGACACUUUUGGAUAUUUUGCUUCAGAUUUUUGAUAACUAAAUCCUCAUUUUCUCCUUGUAACCCACCAAUUAUAGGAUUUCUUAGUUAUUAAGUUUGGCAAAGGGGUGAAUAACCUUAGAUAUUUUGUUUUGUAAUUUUCUUUAUAUAUAGCUCUCGGGAGCUUGUUCUUAUAUAGAAUUAUGUAAUCCGACGGGAUAUAGAUUUAUAAAUAUAUAGAAUAUACAGAGCCUUGCUCUGUUUUUUCUUUCUCUUUCAUUUUCAUUUUCUUGCUAAUCAAACUCUGAAGAUUUUUCCUCAGAUGAUGAGAGGCUAGGCUCUUCGUCUCUUGGAGCUAAGGUAACCGGGUAAGUUUUCCACAUGCAUAAAUUGGAAGUUUUGUUGUUUUAGUUUUUAAUGAAGAGAAAGUGUGACCCGUUAAUGGUUUUUAUCUUUUUAGUUAACUUAAAACGCCUUUAAUUCACCUGAGCCAACACUUGGUAAGGCAAGUGAUCUCCGUCCAUGGAGAUGCACUAGUUUAUCUCUUGCGAGCUUUUGGUAGGUGGUUUGAAGGUAGGAUUUUCUAGAAUAGCCAACACUUGUUAAGAUUUUGGACUCCAAUGAGACAUCCAUUAGUUAUCUCUUGCGAGCUUUUGAUGGGUAAUCCAAGGUUAAAGAUCACCUUGAAUGACAAAUGCUAGGUGAGAGGCACGAGUCAUUGCAAGGUGCAUCAAUGAGAGGGAUUUAGUGUUUGAACCCAUUAAUGGGAAGUAUCUGUACAACACUGGUUAGAGAAUUAACUACAUGUUAAUUCUCUAAUGCGAGGAAAAGAAACAAGUGACCAGAACUCUCCUUUUUGUAUGAGGAAUCUGAGCCUAGUGAUCUGAAACUCCAAGAAACACUUUUCUUUGUAAGUAAAAUCAGUUGCUAUUUUUGGUUAGUUUAAAACCAAACUUUUUUCAUUCAAACAUCUUUAUGUUUUCUUUUAAAGCUAACCUUGAAAUGAAAAGGCACCAAUUCAGCUUUGAAUUAAUAUCAUUUGCAAAGUGAAAACCCAUCCCAGUGAACGAUCCUAGAGCCACUAUGCUAUAAUAGCUUUGUCUUUGCUAUCCUAGUAAAUGGUGUAAUAGGUUAUAAAUUUUGUUGAUUACUCCCUCAAUCAAGGAGCACCAGCUGGACACGAAUCAACUGAGACACCAAUUGGGCAUGAAUCACACCUUCACUCGGCAAACUAUGUUGGAUAGAGCUAACCUACUCCCUCACGAAAGCCACUCGUAGCAAUCUUUGUCUCUUUUGUUUGGAAUUGUAUUUUUCGUCAACGAGACCCCCAUGAAUGUAGUUGAUGAUAGCUCUAAGAGCUUCCGAAGUUGUGGACACUUGGAUAGCCAAAUCCCGGGUGGUUUCCCUUUGUCCUUCGAUUGAGCGGAUGUAUCAUUUUAAGUGCUUGGCCUUAAUUAGUCUUUCCACUAAGUAGUGGAAACUUCUGCAUUGUUUCGUGGUGUGGCCAUGAUCUUUGUGAUAGGCACACUUCCUGUUCUAAUCCCGUUUCGUCGAAUCUGUCUUAAUUGACUCUGGCCAUCUAAAAUCAGACAGAUCACAAAUCAUGGGAAGGAGUUUGUCGUAUGAAAUGCUAAGGGGGGUCAGACUAGCUUGGCUUGGCUGCUGCUGGUCGUCUCGCUUCUUGCUGACUUGCCUUAGUUGGUUUGAGAGCUUAGAAUUUUCGGCAUGAUCGUUCCUGGCGGAUCGACGAGUGACCAGGACCUGCUGUGUAGUCUUACAAACAUCGUCUUCAAGAUGGAGUACUUGUUUACUCGUUUGAAUAGGUCAUCCAUUGUCGCUGAUAGUUUCUUAACGAGAGAUUCGAAGAAAUGCGUACUCGGACAAAUGCUUCUUUUGAAGAUUUGUAGGAUGACGUCCAUGCUACAAGACUCUACUUGGAGCACGACCUGUCCGAACAGUUUCACAAACUCCCUCAAUGAUUCAUUUUCCUACAUUUUUAUGUUUUGCGGGGUACUUAUGUUCUAUUUGUCAUGCCGAGCAUAGGUAGUGUCCCACAAAGGCUUCUGAUAGAUCCUAGAAAUUACUCACAAAAUUCUUUAGGAGAUGGUGGAACUACGAAAGGGCCUAGCCAUGUAAGCUAGUUGGAAAGACUUUGCAUAAUAGCACAUCGUUCCCUAUGUUGAGGGUCAUGAGCUGCCUAUAAUGCAUGAUAUGAUCAAACAGAUCACUUGUUUCGUCAUAUGUCAUGAAUUUUGGUACCAUGAACCCUCUUGGGGGCUAGUAGUUGAUGAUGUAAAGGCUAAAAAGCAUGGAGAGCAUGUCACCCAAUCGUCUACUGACAGAGCCAAGCAGUCCUCGUUCUGUCAGAGCCCCUACUUGUUGUUAUGCUGGUGGACGAGAAGGCCAUUCUAGCAUGACCAUUGUAAUCGAGAAACCAAGGCAGGCUUCCUGGGUCGCUGCUACACAUGGUUUCCCUUCCAUGCCAGGUGUCUGAGGUCUUAGCCGAGCUCACAUUGUGUCUGAUAGUUGUGACCUUCUAUCACACCUCUUUUUUGUGGAGAUGUGGGUAGAGUCAGAGCUUUCAUCUAACAGUGCUUGGCAAGUUGGUAGAAACUUUUCUUUAGGUCGUAUCUCCUGGCUACCAGAGAUGAACUUUGCGUCCCUAAGAAAUGACAUUUUUUCGUUUUGUUUGGAGUUUGUUCACUGGCUCUUAGGCUGUCGGCUACGAGGGGGGCUUGACGAAGACACCUGGAUGCGUAACACUUCAAUUUCUUCUCUAAGUCUCCUUGUCUCACAGAGCAAGGACUGUACCUGUCGUUUGCUCUCUUGUUGGCGUCUUUCCAUGUUUUCACACUAGUCGAAGUAGCCAUCGCUACCCAUGGCUGAUGAUCGGCUCCUUGAGGGCGUCGACAUUCUUAACAUUUCCCACAAAUAGCACCAAUGUUGAUGCGAGGUUAACUGGAGUCAGAUCCGCCUUAUGUUGUGCCACUGAGAGCUUUUACCCAGCAACAAGGGACUAAGUGAGCUUUUUCCCUACACAAAGGAUGUCCGGACAAGGUGUCUGAGCACGCCCCUCUGAAGCUUAAGUCAGACACAGGUAGGUUAGAGCUUAUAGGGAGAAAAUGAAUAAACUAGCUUAGGUGUGCAUACCUGGGUUAUGCUUUAGGAAGACUUUUUAUAGUGCUCAAGAGAAAGUUAAUGUAGUGCUGAGUAGAUACUUUGACCUUCACUGUAAUAAUGGUUAUCCUGCAGGUGGCAGAGCAAUCAUUGCAGUUUAGGGCAACUAGCAAGUUCCAUCAAAUGAUGUGUCAUAAUGUAGCUGCCCAUCAUUUCAACCUUCUGGAGAUAUGAGGCAAUGUGUGAUAAUUUGUUGACAUCAAGGAUGAAAAUAUCGGUAAUUACGGAUAUAUCGAUAUUUCGAUUUUACGGAUAUAUCGAUAUUUCGAUUUUACGGAUAUAUCGGAAAUAUAUCGAUGGAUAUUUUGAUAUAAAAUAUUAGUAGACCUAAAAUUGACCAAAACUUAUAAAAAUAUAAAAUAAAACUUUUAGAAAUGAAAUUAAAAUAUAAUAGAUAUUUUAAAAUUAUUUUAUUAAAUAAAUUAAUGUAUAUAUAAUAUUGUACGUGUCAAUAAAAAAAUAUAAAUUUGAUAAGUGUAUAUUGAUUAUUAAAUUAUAUUAAAUAUUAUUUGAUCAUUAUAUUGUGAUAUUUGAUUAUAAUAUAUUUCGAUGGAUAUUUUAACACAAAAUAUCGGUAAAUCUAAAAUUGAUCAAAACUUAUAAAAAUAUAUUAAAAAAAACUUUUAAAAAUAAAAUUAAAAACAUAAUAGACAUUUUAAAGUUAUUUUUUCGAAUAAAUUGAUAUAUAUAUAUAUAUAUAUAUAUAUAUAUAUAUAUAUAUAUAAUAUUGUACAUGUUAAUAAAAAAUAUAAAUUUGAUAAGUGUAUAUUGAUUAUUGAAUUAUAUAAAAUAUUAUUUGAUGAUAAUAUUGUGAUUAUAAUAUGUUUAAUUUUAAAAUCUGUUUAAUAUUAAAAUAGUGAUAUAUUAUAAAAUAAAUGAUAAUAAAUAUAUAAAAUAUUAAUAUAUUAAUAAUAUUAAAAACUCUAUGAAUAAAAUUAUGAUAUUUUUUACUAAUCAAUUAAAUGAAAAUUUUUCAUUUAAUUAUAAAAUAGUCAUAAUUAAUUUGUUAUUUAAAGUGUUUUUUUAAUAUUUUAUUUAUAUUCUAAGUUUUAAUAUAUAUUUCUUUAGAGUGUCAUAUUUAUCAAAGAGCAUGUUUGCCCUAGUGGAACUGGGCCUGACAUAGAAAUCUUUUGUUGGGGGUUCGAAUCCCCCCAACAGCAGGAAGAAAAAAAGCUUAAUUUUGACCGUUGACCGCCUGUGUUGACCGAGCGUUGACCGGCGAUAUAUCUCUGCUGCACCCACCGACACACCGAUAUUUCGCCGAAAUAUCGCCUAAUUCCAAAGGGAAUGAUUACACGUAGCAAGGGAGUUCCGAGCACUGUGGCAAUUAUCUGGACAAUGCUGAGGGAAGUGACGCAUGGACUGACACGUGGAAGGUCCCUACAAUUACUACUCCUCAUUCACGUCUACCAAACAGGCCUUUGGGAUGAAAAUUAUAUACGUCAAUUCCAAGUUUCCAACCCAACACAAUUAUAUUAUUCACCUAAAUCACACUAAACCCAAUUUCCAUUUUUUUGGUGCAUCCAACCUGGAAUAUGUACAUUUUAAUGUAAUUCCUGCACAAAUGAGAAAAGUGAAUAAGCCAUCUUCCUCGACAUUCUUCUUGUAAAUUGAAGAGCAAGAUUUAUUUAUUUAUUUAUUUAUUUGCAUUUUAAAAACCAAUGUGAAAUUUGUCUUUUGAUUUUGAGCAUCCAUGAUGCCGAUAUGUACAUUUCAAUUACCACAUGAAGCAGGAAGUUCAAUCUUAAAUACCGAACAUCAAGCAGAAACCACUACACCCAGUAGAUGUAGAUUUUAAUAUUCAAUGGGUUCAUUCCAAUUGCCACAUUAUUUUCAGCAACCAGAACUCAAAAAAAGCCACACAAAUAACACGAUUAUAAGGAUAUGGGGGAUCGGAUACCUUAUUUUAUUUCCCAGUAUAAUUUUGAGACAAUCAAAUUCUGAGCUGCAGAGUCUGAAAUCCAAUAAAGGAGCUUUGGAGUCUAUGGUGGUGUACCGGGAUGAACCAUCACCUUCCAAAUUAAAAUUCUAGGGCUAUACCACAAACAGAAUUCUGAGAUGUAUUGGGUAUUACAUGAUGAAUAACCCAAGAAAACUAGUACCGUAGAAGAGCUUCAAAGGGAAGAGAAAAUGGGAACACCCGGCAGGGUUGCGCCUGCAUCGACAUUGAAAACGUUACCUGAUAUGUAUCGUGAAGAAUCAUGAAUCAAGUAUCGCACCAGGGAUGUCAAUGCAGGGUCCGAUGUUCCAUAGGCCCGCAAGGGGCAUGUUCUCUGAACCACAGUGUUGAGCCAGUCUUUUUGCAUAAGGCCCGCAGUUAUCUCCGAUUUGAAUAUUCCAGGUGCUAUUGCAUUCGCUCUAAUAUUGUAUGCCCCCAAUUCCAAAGCCAUUACCUGGAAUUGUUAUUAUUUGGAAAAAAAAUAAAUAAAUAAUCAUUCUUCAGUGCCAGACUCAGAUGAGUGUGUAGGAAUAAAGGUUCUACAACAUUUUUGCAUGGAAAAACAGUUGAAGAUGGCAGGAAAUAUACAAUAAAAUGUCGAAUCGAAAUAAGUAUAAUGCUAUAUAAACACAAGCCCUUAACCAGAUUUACAGAAAAUGACUUACAUCUUGGAUAGACAAACUGUACGUAUCAUGCAAAAGCGGAGAAUAAUAUUGGGAUUUUUUGCAUGGGAAGCAAGGUGAGAAGAAUAUUGACUUUUUGUACAUUGAUUUUUAUCUUCUCUUUUUAUACAUUUUAUAUACUCCUCAUGCUUAUUAAAAAAAAAAAAAGACAAAAAUAAUAUUAAAAAUUAAAAAUAAAAUAACAAGACAAGCAUAAUAUAGUGAACAUAAACAUUUGACUACAUUUUCACAAUAUAUUUAAAUCUAACGUUGAAUUUCCUAACUCACCUUUGUUUGCCAGAAUAUAUUAGAAACAAAUUUAAAACAUGUCAGAGAUAUUACCUUUGUCAUGGCGCUCAAGCCUGACUUGGAAGACACAUAGGCUACUGCUCCAGGUGACUGUCCCCGAUUAAGAGAAACAAUGGAAGAAAUAUUGAUGAUUGAUCCUCCAUUCUUGGCAUCCCUCAUGCGCAUACCGACAUAUUUUGACACCAACCAUGAUCCCGUCAAGUUUGUCUUCAGAGUAUUGUUCCAUUCCUCCUCAGAUAUAUCCAGAGGAGAGUUCACAUUGCCUAAGGCACACAGGGCACAGGGCAUGGGUUAAAUACAUCUACCACGCAUUACGUUCACAAAUAUUAGCAGAACACCAGAGAUAAAUUAAAUGAGUAAUAUUGAUGAGAAAAAUAUAUGUGAUUGACUCGGUAUAGAUACCCAGUUGACUUGGUAUAGAUACCCAGUUGACUCGCUGAUUAGUUUCAAAUUUCAGUUAGAACUGAAUGAAAUGAAACGUGCGCUAGAAUUGACAGUAUGAGAAAAACAAGGUUUCCAAAAGUCAGCUGCAAAACGGGAAAUUCAGGAUACAGGAAUAUCAGGAUCGUGCAAAAUCAAAAUUUACCUCUAAUGCCCGCAUUAUUUAGCAAAACAUCGAUACGUCCAAAGGCCUCCCAAGCCUUCUGAACGGAGGCGCUGAUGGAGGAGCCACCGCUGGUGACGUCAAGUUCGACUACUACGGCUCGGACAGGCCUGUCAGCGUUUGGAGGAAGGUUCGAGUGGGUGAGGUUGUUGAUCUCGUCGCAGAGAGACUUGAGUCGGUCAACUCGGCGGGCGGCCGCCACUAUCUUGCAGCCGGCUUUGGCGAGGUUGAGGCAGAACUCGCUGCCGAGACCCGAGGAAGCGCCGGUGACCAAGACCACCUUGCCCUCCAGGUCUUGCCAUGGCUCGAGGUGGUCCGCGACUUGGCAUGCCAUCAAUGCGGUUCAGAAUCUCCAGAGAAAGUAGGCACCAGCUCUUAGAGGGAAAAAAGUAAAGCAAAGAAAAAUUGAUAAUCUGAUAAUAAAUAAGAAUGAAUUAAAAGGGGAAAUAAACUCCCUAUAUAUUCUAUUGCGACAUUGCGUGUACAAAUUCCAUUUGUUUAUGUAUCGCCUUUGCAGUGAAUCUAGUGAUGAUGCCAUCGGAUUGUUUGAAGGCAACAUUAAAACAAAGGCGGCCCAUAGUCCUAGGAUGAUGCCGUCGGAUUGUUUGAAGGCAACAUUAAAACAAAGGCGGUGCCAUCGGAUUGUUUGAAGGCAACAUUAAAACAAAGGCGGCCCAUAGUCCUAGGAUGAUGCCAUCGGAUUGUUUGAAACAAAGGCGGCCGAGUAAAAGGGCAGUGACACGGAAGUGUUUCUCAGCCCUUUUUAACACUUACAAAUUUUUAAAUAUUAAAUGUUAUAAACGAUUCCUAUAAUUUAAGAAUACAUUUGAAAAUGAUUUUAAAAAAUAUUUUUAGUAAUUUUUUAAAGUAUAUUUAAUAGUGAUAGUAUGAAGUGUUUUCGGUGUUUAUAACACUUAAAAUUUUCAAUAUUUAAGUAUUAAACAUAUAAAAAAUACUUUCUAAAAUCACUAUCAAAUACGUUUUAAUACUUGAAUGAUGAAAAUUUUUAAAUAUUAAAAAUAAUAAAAGUGUUUUCCAAAAUCAUUAUCAAAUGGGUUUUAAGAUUGCAUUUAGAAGUGAUUUUAAAAAACGUUUUUAAAAUUUUUAAUACUUAAAUUAUAAAAAAAUUCAAGUGUUAAAAAUAUUAAAAACAUUUUCUAAAAUCAAUAACAAAUCGACUCUAAGUUUGUUAUUGAUACUUAAUAAAUCAUAUCUUUUAUUAUACAUCUUUCUAAAUUUAGUAUCAAAAAAACAAUUUUUCAAUGCCUGAUAAUUUUCUCCAUUGGUAUAAUUUUCCAAUUAUGUAAAAUAAAAAUAGUCAUAAAGGGAAAAUAAUUUUUUAGAACAAACUUUUGUUUGGGAUCUUGUAUAUAAAAAAUAAAUUUUUUGACUUAUUAUCCAUAAAACUUAUAAUGUAAAAGUUUUCAAAAUAUUUUUUAAAUAUUUUUUCUUUAUUUUUUCGAAAAAAAUUGAUAAAUAAAAUAUGAAAAUACUUUUAAAUUAUUUUUAAAAUAACCUAUUUUCACAACAAAUUUUUGAAAAAACAUUUUUUUUUCUCAAAAUUUGGUCAAAUAUAUUAUCUAAGUUGGAGUGUGUCUAAUAUCCUUGUAAAUGUAUUUGGACAAAGUUUUGGAUUUUUAUUAUUUACUUUUGCUUUUAACGGCAAAACUCACUUUAAAAAUCCAAAAAAUAAAAUGAGUUUGGAAAACAAAAUCCAUACUUUAAUCAAAUUUAAAUCCUUUAAUUUUCUCAUUUGUUUAAAGAAUCCCAUAUUUGAUGCCAUUGAUGAAUAAGAAAAAACUUCUUACAUCUCUUAUAGGAAUCAUCUAUCAAUAUUUGAGUAUAUUUUUUUUAGUGAUACAUGAUGUUAAUUGAUCGAACUAAAAUUGUUUAAUAAAAUCCGUCAAUAGAAAUGACAAUUUAGACACGACACGAUAAUGCAAUUUGAAAAUGAUAGGAUUGUUAAUAUGCUUGGGUUUGCAUGUGAUUGUGUCGUGUCUUACUAAACAUGUUUUAUUUGGGUUUUAUUAUUCACUUUGUUUAUGAUUUAUCUGCUUAAUUGUAUCAAAAUAAUUUAUUUAAGCCGUAUAAAUUUAAUAAUUUUAUACAUUCAAAUUAUAAAAAUUAUAAAUACUUUAUUAAUUAUAAAUAUCAUAUAGUAAAAACAUUAAAUAACUAAAUAAAAUUACAUUUGAUUAGAAAUAUUAAAAAUAGUUUAUAGUUAAAAUGUUAAAUAAAAUAAUAAGUAAAUAUAAAAAUUAAAAUAUUAUCCUACUUUUUAUAUUAUAAUCAAAAUUAAAUAAUUACAUUAAUUAAGAUUAAAAAAUUAAAACAACUAAAAAGUAUUUUAGAAUAAUAUAUUUAUAAAGUUAAAAUCAUGUUAAUUGAUUAUUAUGUCCAAUUUAACCCAUUUAUUAAAUGAGUUAAAUGAAUCAUAUUGAGUUACCUAUAUAAUAAAUGAGUUGUGUUUAUGGUGUUUAUGUCAGAUGUUGAUGUUUUUGACAUGAUGAUUAAAUAAGUCAUAUGAAUUAAAUAAAUUUUUACUAUUUUUUACUUUGAACACUUUGCCACCCACCCCUACUUGCUAACGUGCUUUUAAACAAAAAUCUUACAAUUUUCUCCCCAAUCCUUAUCCUUUUUCCCAUCGACAGAUUCCCUAUUAGGAAAAGAAGUUCCUUGUAUGCAUCUCUCACCCCAUUCAUGGUUUUAGACUUCAUAUUUAAGCUUUUCCAAAAAUAUGUAUAUAAAAUAAUAUAUUUUCUCCCCAAUCCUUAUCCUUUUUCCCAUCGGCAAAUUCCCUAUUACGAAAAGAAGUUUCUUGUAUGCAUCUCUCAUCCCCAUUCAUGGUUUUAGAAUUCAUAUUUAAAAUUUUCAAAAAACAUAUAUAUAUAUAUAAUAAUAUAUAAACUAAUAUAUUUUAUAGUGAAUAUGAUAAUUUCUUUUUAAAAAAAAUUAUAUAUAAAGAAAUAUAUUUAAUAUUAUAUGUAUAUAGUUUGGAUGGGUUUUGGAUAGGGAAUAGUGUCAUUUCCCUGGGUCGGGGCUCCCCAUCCCUAAUCCGGCUCCAUUAGGGAUGGAUUACCCGGGGGCACGACCUGGCUGAUUUUUUAUGCCAUCCCUGCUGGAGGGUGGGCUGGGAUCUGUUGCCCAAAGCAUGGCCCAUGGGCCCCAACAUUGGUAAAAUCUUGAAACCCUCUAAGAUCAACAUUUGUUAUAUGGGCCGCCAAUUAGACUGCAGGCCUAAAAAACUUCUAUAGUUUAUGAAGACAGAACCCAACAGGCCCAUCAGACCAAGAAUCAGAUUACAGCAGAAAGGUUUUUGGAAAGUAGAAGAGUUGCAUGAUCAUGAUGGGAAAGAAGAAAAUGGCCCAGACCAUUCUUAAAACUUGGAGGUUUGAUAAAGUCCCAAAAUAAAAAUUCCCACUUUUCAAUCAAUUUCAAAUUUCCACAUUUUUCUCCACAACCAAACAAAUAAAUGAAAAGACAAUUUAAAUAGACCCAAAUUAAAGAGGUGUAAAAUUUGCUAAAUAGAAAUUGCCUUCACACUUGAAUCAACAACGGAGCCCACUCAAACACCAGUGGUCUCUUUUUAUUCCAGUGGGGAAAGGCGAGGGGCCCAAGCCCAAGACCAAACUUCUAAAACAAAAAUAAAACUCAAAGGGAAGAGAAAAUUGGGAUACCGGGAGGGAACUGCCUGCAUCAACAAUAAGAAUAUUGCCUGUAAUAUAUCGAGAAGAAUCAUGAACCAAGAAUCGCACCAGGGAGGUCACUGCAGGAUCCAAGGUGCCAAAUGUUUGUAGAGGAACCAUUUUUAGAGUCACAUUAUUCAGCCAACUUUUUUGUAGUAAGCCCUCUGUUAUCUCUGAUUUGAAGAGUCCAGGUGAUAUUGCGUUUACCCUCACAUUGUACAUCCCAAAUUCUAUGGCCAUGACCUGUGUUGUUCACAUUUGAAAAACAAAAACCAAUUUUGUGGUAACCACGUAUAAUUUGCAUAAUCUUGGAUUUGAUAAAAAAUAAUUUCAAAUUUUGGAUUUGAAAAACAAAAACAAAUGUGUUGUUCACAUUUGAAAAACAAAAAACAAUUUUGUGGCCAUAACCCUCCUUGAUGCCCGUCACGCAUCCGUCUACAUACAUGUUUCGACACCAGCCAUGUUCCAUUUAAAUUCGUCUUCAUACCCUCACCCCACUCUUCCUCGUCCAACUCCAAUGAAUUUUUCACAGUACCUAUAUACCACCCCCAUACAAGUUAAAUAUGUAACAUUAGAUUAGAGGGAUUACAUGUGUGGUUUUUCAUUUAAAAAAUCAAUCAUAAAGAAAAUAAAAUUGAAUCAAAAUUUAGGCUUACGCAUUAAUAACAUUCAAUGGUUAUUUGAUUAUAUUAUUGAUUUAGUGAAAAUAUUUUAUAUUAUGGAUUAUAAAUAUAAAUAUAAUAAUACGGUUAAAUAGACAAAUACCACAUCUAAUCAUAUGAUAUUAUUCGAUUUGAAAACAAAUGAGUCUCAUAAUUUUAAAAUACGUAUAAGAUUAAAAAAAAUCUUUAUAUAUAUCGCUCGAACUUUCUCUCCUAUGCUAUAUAAAAUUAAAGAUGAAUUUUUAUAUAGAGUUAAGAAACUUUCUUCCGAAUAAUGGAAUAUUAGAUCACGAAACUACAUGAUUUUAGAAAUAUUUAUGGUGGAAUGAUUAUUUUUCAUAAAAAUUAUUGUAGUUGUGCAAAAAGGCCCGCCGCAUGGUGAACAACAAUAAUCAAAAGCAAAUAUAAAUUACGUCUCACAUCUGCAAUUUUUAACUAACCACGAGAGUCAAAAUUUUUCUUUUCUUUUUAUUUCUCGAGAAAAUAGAAGAAGGAAACCAUAAUCACCUCUAAAGCCGACAUUAUUUAUCAAAACAUCAAUGCGUCCAAACCCGUCCCAAGCUUUAUGCACGGACGCAUCGAUGGUAGGGUCAUCAGCGGUGACAUCGAAUUCCACGGCCACUGCUCGGACAGUGGUGUUAGGGUUUAAAGGAGAGCCAGAAAAUGCAGGAUGGUUAAUCUCGUCGCAGAGAGACUUGAGUCGAUCUGUCCUGUGAGCCACCGCGACGAUCUUGCAGCCGACUCGAGCGAGGUUGAGACACAAUUCUCGGUCGAGACUUGAGGACGCUCCAGUGACCAAAAUCACCUUACCCUCUAGGUUGUUCCAUGGCUCGGGGUUGUUCGACUCUUGGUUCGCCAUUGCCUCUGAUCUCAGUUUAUGUUUACUGUUUAUAGAGAGAGGCAGAGAGAUAAAAUAAAGAACAGCUGCAAAGAGUAUUUAUUUCAGGAUACCGAAAAGGGAAAAAAUAACGUCAUUUAAAAAAAUAUUAAACUGUUGUAAAAUAAGGACAAAUACAAUGCAAAUAAAAGUAGUAGAGAUUAAAUAUAUCUUACUUUGAUAUAUAAUAAGGAAGAAGAAAUCAGAGAAGAGAGUUGAGAGAAUGAAAAAGAGAGAGAGAGAAUGAGAGGAAGAAUUUUUCUUUCUUUUUCUCAGGAUGCUUUUACAUGGGGGUGGGGUAAGAAGCCUUUUAUAAGCUUCAUAAUAUGAACUCCCAUUACUCAUCUUAAAGAUGAGUAAAUGGAGUUCAUAAUGGCCAUCAAUGUGGUCAUUCAUUACUUUUCAUUUACAACACUCCCCCUUGGAUGACCACCAUAUUAAAAGAAUACGCCUCAUUAAAACCUUGCUAGUAAAAAACCUUAUAGGAAAAACCUAGCGAAGGAAAAAGAGUACAAUAUUCUUUUCUUGGUAUAUUAAGACUGCCUCAUUAAAAACCUUGCCAGUAAAACCCAGUAGGACAAAACCUGGACGAAGGAAAAAAGAGUACAAUACAUUAACACCCUUUUACAAGCAUACUCCCUCUCAUGUCGAUAUCCUUGAGUUGACGCAUUCCAAUCAUGUGUAUUAACUUCUUGAAUGUUGAGGUUGGCAAUGAUUUUGUGAAUAAAUCUGCUAGAUUAUCACUUGAGCGUAUUUGUUGCACAUCAAUUUUACCACUCUUCUGGAGUUCAUGUGCAUAAAAGAAUUUUGGUGAAAUGUGUUUAGUUCUAUCUCCUUUAAUAUAACCCCCUGUUAUUUGUGCAAUGCAUGCAACAUUAUCUUCAAAUAAUGUUGUCGGGUCACCUUUGAUAGAGAAUAGUCCACAUGAUUCCCGAAUAUGCUGGAUCAUAGAUCUUAGUCAUAUACAUUCACGACUUGCUUCAUGAAUUGCCAGUAUUUCUGAAAGAUUUGAUGAUGUGGCUACCAUUGUUUGUUUGACAGAUCUCCAUGAAAUAGCAGUACCAUUGCAAUUAAACACAUACCCUGUUUGUGAUCUACCUUUAUGUGGAUCUGAAAGAUGUCCUGCAUCUGCAUAUCCAAGCAAUUGUUGUUUUGAUUCCUUUGAAUAGAAUAAAUUCAUAUCAGUAGUUCCGCGAAGAUAACGCAAUAUAUGUUUGAUACCAUUCCAAUGUCUUCGAGUUGGAGCAGAACUGUAUCUUGCUAAUAAAUUGACAUAAAAAGCAAUGUCUGGACGUGUAUAAUUGGCAAGAUACAUAAGUACACCAAUAACACUAAGAUAUGGUACUUCAGGACCAAGUAACUCUUCAUCCUUUUCGCAAGGAUGAAAUGGGUCCAUUUUUCACAUCAAGUGAUCGGACAACCAUUGGAGAACUUAAAAGAUGCGCUUUAUCCAUAUAAAAACGCUUCAAAACUUUCUUAAUGUAUGUUGAUUGAUGUACUAAAACUCUAUUUGGAAAAUGCUCGAUCUGCAGGCCAAGACAAAAUUUUGUUUUUCCAAGAUCUUUCAUCUCAAAUUCCUUUUUCAAGUAAUUUGUUGUUCUUGUGAGCUCUUCAGGAGUUCCAACAAGAUUUAAGUCAUCAACAUACACUGCAAUAAUUGCAAAUCCGAUUUCUGAUUUCUUAAUGAAGAUGCAUGGGCAUAUAGGGUUAUUCACAUACCCUUCUUUUAGCAAGUAUUCACUAAGGCUUAUUUGUGCCUCUUCUAGGGCUAUAGAUUUAUCAAUUUUAAACUGAUCAGUCAUUUUGAUGGCCUCUUCUAGAAUGCCAAGUUUUUCUUGGGUUCUCCUCUUUCGGGGAGUUACAUCCUUUGAGCCGACAUGUCUACCACACUUCAGGCGUAUCUUAGAUUCAUUUGUUAAUUGUCUUACAGGGACAUCAAUCCGUGCUAGAGUAUUUGCAGCCGGGAUAUGUGACUUUGUCACUUUCUUUGUAUCAAUGAAUGCAUCUGGUAAUUGAUUUGCAAGAUUUUGCAAAUGAAUGAUCCUUUGAACUUCUAGUUCACAUUGAUUUGUACGAGGAUCAAGAUGGGUCAUAGUAGACGUUUUCCAACUAAUUUCUCAUCGUUCUUCAGGAAUCAACUUUUCUCCCCUUAAUGACGGGAAAACACUCUCAUUAAAAUGACAAUCCGCAAAGCGGGUUGUAAAAACAUCGCUUGUCAAAGGUUUAAGAUAUCUUAUGAUAGAUGGAGAAUCAAAACCUACAUAAAUCUCAAGUCUUCGUUGGGGACCCAUUUAGUGCGUUAUGUAGGUGCAAUUGGUACAUAUACUGCACAACCAAAGAUUCGUAAGUGAGAGAUAUUUGGUUGUUUUCCAAACACAAGUUGUGAAGGAGAGUAUUCAUGGUAAGCUAUAGGUCGAAUACGAACUAAAGCUGCAGCAUGCAUAAUAGCAUGACCCCAGGCGGAAGUAGGUAAUUUGGUUAUCAUUAGUAAUGGUCGAGCUAUUAAUUGGAGACGUUCGAUGAAAGAUUCUGCUAAACCAUUCUGGGUAUGAGUAUGAGCAACAAGAUGUUUAAUAUUUAUCCCUACUGACAUGCAAUAGUCAAUGAAUGUUUGAGAAGUAAAUUCGCCAGCAUUAUCAAGACGUAUUGUCUUAAUUGGAUAAUCUAGAAAUUGUGCUCGUAAUCUGAUUAUUUGUGCAAGGAGUAUAGCAAAGGCUACGUUACGUGUAGAAAGGAAACAAACAUGUGACCAUCUAGUAGAAGCAUCUAUUAAGAUCAUAAAAUAACAAAAUGGUCCACAUGGUUGAUGGAUAGGCCCACAUAUGUCCCCAUGUAUUCUUUCUAAAAAGAUUGGUGACUUAGAUAUGACUUUAAUAAAAGAUGGUCUGAUUAUCAAUUUAUCUUGUGAGCAGGCAACACAUGAGUAUUCAUUGGGCGAAAGAAUCUUUUGGUUCUUUAGUGGAUGCCCAUGUGAGUGUUCGAUUAUUCGAUGCAUCAUUGAAGACCCUGGGUGACCUAGUCUGUCAUGCCAAAGGACAAAAACUUUUGGGUCGUUGAACUUCUGGUUCACGACAACAUAUGAUUCAAUAGACUUUAUAGUUGUAUGAUACAACCCAUAGAAGAAAGCCGGGAGUUUUUCCAUUAUAAGUUUCUGGUCAGAUAUAAUGGAAGUAAUGUAAAGAUAUUCUAUAUUAUCUUCAUUCAUAGUUUCAAUAUGAUAUCCAUUUCUGUGGAUAUCUUUAAAACUGAGCAAAUUUCUUCUGGAUUUGCUAGAAUAUAACGCGUCAUUUAUAUGGAAUCUAGUUCCAUUUGGCAACGUUAUGUUUGCUCUUCCAGAGCCUUCAACUAAGUUUGUAAUACCAGAUAUGGUACUUACAUUAGCUUUUAUUAAUGUCAAUUCGAGGAAAUAUCUUUUAUCUCGAAGAAUUGUAUGCGUGGUCGCACAGUCUGCGAGACAUACAUCAUCCUCAUUCAUCUUGAGACCAAAUAACACAUGGAUUUCAUAUAUAACAAAAAAACAGGGCAUAAUGUAAAUAACAAAGUAAAUCAGAUGUAAAUGUAAGACAUAAUAAUAUAUUAUUAUAUAUAUAAAGUAACAUCAAUCAAUGUUAAUUUUUUCAUCAUUUAUCAAAUGGUCUGUUUUUUCAUUGGGACCUCCAAAGAAAUCAAUGUCAUAGUAGGUUAGGUCUAAUCCAUCACCAUCGGUAAAGUUCAUCUCUAUCUCUUUUCCUUUAACUUUUAUUGAUGCUUGGUAAAGGUCGACCAAAUGUUUGGGCGUACGACAGGUACGUGACCAAUACCCCUUAAUACCACAUCUAUAACAAUAUUUCUUAUGAUUCUUAGGAGGUUUAUCUUGUAAAUGCUUCCCAUUUUCUUAUUUUGCCUCAGUAUUGUUCCAUUUCGUAUUGUUCCACUUCUAGUGGUGCAAUGAGGCUUUCAUUUUCUGAGAAUUAUUACUAUAAGAACCAUGAUAUCGAGGAUUUCUUUCACAACCAUAAUCACGUUCUCAUCCACGUCCACGAGUUUGGGACGAUAUUGCAUUCACUUCAGGGAAUGAUUCAAAUCUAGUUGGAUGAGACUGGUGAUUUUUCAUCAAAAGCUCUUUUUUUAUAUAAAAAAAAAAACCUUCAUGGAGAUGAUGACGAAGGAAAAUCAAUGCUUUUGCGCGAUCCUGCAGGGAUGCUUGAUUUCCUUGUUUGAUCGUAGCUCCAAGGUCCAUUACAUCAAGAUGUAAUUUAGUAUCAAGGAUCCAUGAUAGAUAGUUCUUUCCUGAAGUGUCAAGUGCCACAAAUUCGAGUUUUGUGAUAUUCGACAUUGUAAAAUAACUUCAUAUAUAUGACAAAACAAUAUUAUUAGAAUCAGUUAUAAUAACUUGAUAGCAUUGGUAUAACUUUGAUUAUAAACAAAAUCAAAUAAUUUGUUUAUAACUUUUAACAAUAUGUAACAAAACAAAUCAACAAUAAUAUAAAUAUGCAAAAUUUUAUUCUAUAUAAAUAACUUCAAGUUUAAGAUACGAGAAUUACCUUCAGAGCAAUUCGUGCUAAUAACGUGUUGUAAAACAAGGACAAAUACAGUACAAAUCAAAGUAGUAGAGAUUAAAUAUAUCUUACUUUGAUAUAUAAUAAGAAAGAAGAAAUCAGAGAAGAGAGUUGAGAGAAUGAAAAAGAGAGAGAGAGAAUGAGAGGAAGAAUUUUUCUUUCUUUUUCUCAGGAUGCUUUUACAUGGGGGGGUAAGAAGCCUUUUAUAGGCUUCAUAAUAUGAACUCCCAUUACUCAUCUUAAAGAUGAGUAAAUGGAGUUCAUAAUGGCCAUCAAUGUGGUCAUUCAUUACUUUUCAUUUACAACAUAAACAUAUUUUUUAAAAUUUGUCAUAAUUUUUUUUUUCAACUAUACUUUAGAGUGCAUUUUAUAUUGAUUUUAAGAAGCGUUUCUACCAUUUAUAAUAUUUGAAAGUUUUUAUGAAAUUUUUUAUUUUUAAAGUAUUAGAAAUAUUAAAAAACACUUCUUAAAAUCACUACCAAACAUAUUCUUAUAAUGCGAGUAAUGAUUUUAGUAAGUGUAACACUAAAAAAAUUUCAUUAUUUAAGUAUUAUAAAUCUCAAAAAUACUUCUUAUAAUUAUUGUCAAACUCACUUUUAUAAUCCAAACAUAUAUUUUGGUGAAAUAUUUAUAUUAAAAUAAUAAGAUAUGAAAUGAAAAACAUAAGAAAAAAAAUUAAAGAAAAGGAAAAAAAUUUAAAAAGCUAAUAUCCAAAAUUGAAAAUUAUUUUCCUUUCUAACAAAAUAUUCCUAGUAUUUGCAUCAGGUUUAUUCCUUAUAUUUUCUUGUUUUAACUAUCAAUUUUAAAUAAAAAUAAAAUACUUGUGGCACAAAUUUAUCUUAUUGUUAUUUUUAUGGCAAUUAAAUAAGAAAAAAUAAAAUUUCUUUCAUUUUACAAACUUGAAUAAAAAAUUUCUGCUAUUGCAGGAUACGUAUUUUGAAGAAUCGUGGACUAGGUAAUGCGCUAAUGAUAUCAAUGCAAAGUCGGACAAGCCAAGUGCUUUUAGGGGAAGAAUCCUUAAAGCCACUGUUGACCCCAAAAUUUGUCUUGAUUUUUAUUUUUACAUUAAUUUUAAGUCAAAUUUUGUCAUCAAAUUUUAAAUCCCGAUUACAUGUGAUAUUUUUGGCUCACUUAUCCUUUAAUUCUUAAUUUUUAUUAUUUUGUUUUUUUUGUUAUUAUUAUUUAUAUUAUAUAUAUAUAUAUUAUUAUUAUUAUUAUUAUUUUUUCUUUCUCUUUCCUCUCUUUUCUCUUCACCCACCUAUCCUCCACCAACCCUCACCUACCCCCAUGCUCUCCCACGUCCAAAACUCCCGCUCUCCACCCUUCAUCUUUCUUUUUUCCUUUUUUUAUUGAUUUUUUUUCUCCCUCCAUUUCCCGAGAUUGGCGGGCCCUCCCCCAAUUGGUUUCCCUUCAUUUUUUUCCCUCCCAUUCCCGCCAUUUCCAAGAAAAGGUGGUCGACUCUUCCUUCUCUCUAGGCUCUUUCCUCUUCUUUUUUUGGCUUAUGGGGGGCUUUGGUUUUUUGGGAGGAGUUUUUUCCCCCUUACUCUCACGGGGUCAACCCCCAAUUUUUUUUUUCUUUACCCCUCCGUUCACUCUAUCUCUGUAACUCCCUACUACGGACUCCUAUUCACUGCCGGCCCAUCUCCCCAUUUCAUCCCUCCGAUUUUUUUUUCUUUUCUCUUCUCUCCCCCAUCGGCACACUUGGCUGCCCAUCCUCCAGCUCCUUUCUUCCAUUUUUAUAUUUAUUUAUUUAAUUACUAUUAUUAUUAUUUUCUCUUUCCCUCCUUAAACUCUCACACUAUCAACGGUGUGACGUAGGUGCCUUUUCCCGCGCCCCCUCCAUCCCCAUUUUCUCCCAUUUUAUUUAUUUAUUUUUAUUUAUCUUUAUUUUAUUUUAUUUUUGUUUCCAAAAAGCCAUUCACUACCGCCGGCAAGGUCACUGACGACCUCCUUCCUUUUUCUCUCAUCCUCUCACUUUCCCAUAUCACUCAUUUUCCAUUUUUAUUGUUACUAUUAUUAUUAUUACUACUACUACUAUUUUUUUUCUUUUCUUUCUCUUUCUUGAUUUGAUUUUAAUAGCAUUUGUAGUUUAUAAAAUUUGAAUUAUUAGAUUAAUAUGUACUUUGGGUUAAUUUAUUGUUGGUGGAUUAAUUUGAAAUUUGUUAAUUUGGAUUUGUGGGCAUAUUGCAUUUGGUGAUUAAUUUGGGAUAUUUGGAUUAUAUCAAUAGCAUAUUGUUUGUUUUAUUUGAACUUGGGUUUAUUGCUUAUAGGUUAUUUGUUUGAGCUUAUUAGAUUUGGCUUGAAAUGUUAUUUCCUUUGACCAUAUGUAUUAUUCAUGUGGCCUAUUGGUAAUUGGUUAUUUGUUUGGGCUUAUUGGAUUGAGCUUAAGAUAUUAUUUUAUUUGGUCAUGUGUAUUAUUAAUGUGGGCUUGUUAAUUGAUGUGAAUUUUGGGCCCACAAUAUGGGUGAGAUUUAUUGAAUGAUUUGAAUAUUUGAUAUGAGCUUGGUCUAUUAGAAUUAUUUAAUUUGGACAUGGGAUAAUUAUGAUGCAUAUUAAAUUAGACUUGGAUUAUGAAAUAUCAAAUUUAGGCAUAAUAAGAUUUAUUUUAAUUUAUUGUGUUUUGGGUUUGAUUAAUUGAAUUUAUAUUUUGGUUAUUAAUUUAGAAAUUUUAGAUUAUGGUAUAUGAUAUGUGAGAUAUUUUUAUUGGGUUAUAUUUGUUAAUUUGGACCCAUUUAUAAUUGGUGAAAUUUAUUAGAUUAAUUUGAAGUUUGAAUUUGGGCUUGAAUAAUUAUUUUCGACUCUACAUAUUUUUGAAUACUUACACAUUUUUAUUUUUGCAUGGAUCCGAUCUGCAAUCUUGUUGGUUGAGUACGAAUUUAUGACACGUGGAGCUUGUUGUAAGUUUAUUUUCCACUUUUAUUUGGCUUUAUUUUUAUUAGUUCUUGUAAAUAUUCGUUUGUAUAUACUUAUUGAGGGUGUACAGAAUUGAACAUCGAACAAACUAGAAAUUUUGUUUAAAUGAAAUGAAGAUGUCACUAAAUGUGUUUUGAUAAAAUAUCAAUUUUAAAAUAUUAUUUUUAAUAAAAUAAAUUUUUUUUAUUUAUUUAUAAAAAUUCAGAAAAAUGCAUUUAGAAAAACCCCAAAAAAUUGUUUUCAAUGGAGUUUGAAAAUUUGUUUUUAAAUAAUAUUUGUCCAAAAUUUUCUUUGUUUAAUAAAAAUUGUCCAAAUAUUGUUUUGUAAAUAAAGUUGUCCAAAAAAUUAUUUUUUAAUAAAAUUGUCCAAAAAAUGUUUUUUUUAAAUGAAUUCUUUUUCCUUAAUUAAAAUGUGAUUAAAAGUAUUUUUUAGAAACAGAUGAUUUAAAUCUUUUUUUCUUUUUAAUUAAGAUUUCUUUUGCAAAUAAAGUUACGUUUUUUUUUUUUAAUAAUUUGUAUAAAUCACUUUUUUUAAAUGAAAAUAAAUUGAAAUAUUUUUGUAAAUAAAAUUGUAAAAAUUCAUUUUUUUAAAUAAAAAAAACAAGUAAAAAUAAUUUUUGUGUCCAAAUUGAAAUUUGUAAUGAAUUCUUUUGAUACAAUAAGUGUAAAUAACUUUUUUUGAAAAUUAAAUACAAAUGAAAUUGAAUCAAAUCACUUAAAAAAAUAUUUUGUAAAUAAAUAAAUUGAAAUCACUAAUUCAAAAUCAUUUUUAAUAAAAUCCUUUGAGAUUUCUUGAAAACUAUUUUUUUUAAUAUUUUUAUUUAUUUAUUUAUUUAGUUCAAUAAAUCAUUUUGUAUCAUUCUUUUGUCAUUUAUUUUGUGUAUUAUUAUAAUUAGAUUUCUUCAUUAUUUUUGUGUAUAUUAAUUUUUAUCGUGACUUCUAUAUUGAUUAUUUUUCUCGAUAUCCAUAAUUAAUUAAUUAAUUGUCACAAUUCCCUUAAUUCGUUUAAUAGAGGCAGUAUAUAUACGAGUUUAGAGGGGUGCUAUGGCUUACCACCGUACUUUCUUAAUAAGUAACCUGACUCCCGGAACCAAAUUCGGUUUUUCAUAAACUUGUUUUUCCUUUAGGAGUCACACUUAGUGUUUUUAUUUUUUAUUUUGUUUUUCCUUUUUAAAAUAAAAUAAAAAUAAGUAGUUAUUCCAAGUUUUUUUUUUCUAAAAAUCAAAUUUUCACCAAAUAAAAUAGAAAACAAGUUUCUCCAUCGAGUGGGAAUGCAUCGAACAAAAAUGCGAGGUUUAUAGCCACACUCUUGAUCCAAUGUUUUUUCAUAAGCACCUCCGUUAUUUCAGAAUUUGAAAAGCCCGGGAGCUAUUGCAUUCACUCUGAUAUUAUGCAUUCCAAGUUCCAUAGCCAUGACCUAGUAUUGUCAACGUGUUAUGGUCCAAUAAUAAAUUCAUUCUUUAAUACCAAAUUCAAUAAAUAGAAAAGAUGGUAAAUCAAAUCUAUAAAUAGAAUAAUAAUACUAGGAAAUAAUUGUCCAUUAAUAAUGUUACAUAAAGUUCUACUUAAGAAUGAUUUGAUUUUAUAUAAAUAUUGUAAAAUGUUGAUAUCUAGUAAUGGACUAUAAAAGCCAAUAUUGGGUUUUAUAAACUAUAUAUGAAAAUUAAUGAAUAUUUAACAAGGGAUUAAUUAUUAUUAUAGUACGAAAGAAUAUUUAGGAUUGUGUUAUUAGAUUAAAAUACAAGUGGGUAUUUUGUAAAAUAUGUAUAUUUGAAAUUCUAAAUUGUUUUCCUAAAGAAUCCAAUCACGCCCUCAUUUUGGCUUACCGGGAAGUAACAAUUCAUUUUGAAAUAUGAAAAGUUCAUAAUAAGUAAACACAGUUCAUCAUUCAUACACAUUUACUUCCAAAGUUAAAAUAUAAUAAAUAUAUAAAUAAAUUGAAUUAAAAAAUAUUAUAAAUUUACAACAAAUUGUAAAAUUAUAAAAGUUGUAAAUGUUGUCACCUCGCGUAUCCGGUGGUCCACGUUGCUGCUAGAUGGAUGGACACGCGAUUCUCAACACACAAGGGGUUCUUGAUUCAGUGGUUGUACCUGCAAAAAGGCAUCCGGACAGGGUGUCCGGAUGCACCCUCCGAUGAUGUUGUUAGCCAUAGUAAGAGAGUAAGAUAUAUGAGGCAGUUGGCCUUUUACUAGGUAUCAAGAGGUUACCAGGAGAUCAUCCCUUUCUUCUUCGUGUGAAGUCAUAUAUAUACAGCUUCAGGGGUACUGUUCCUCUCAUUAAUGGUGAGGAGAUAUUUUCUAUUGUGAUGAUGACAAUAGGUGUUAGUAGGAGCAUUAUCAUCCUACGAAUGGCUGUCAGAGACCAUGGUAGGUGAUGCGGCUGUCAGAGAUCGUGGGAAGUGAUUAUGUAGAAUGAUCGUGGGAAGUGACUUGCUGUCACUUCCUCUUGUCUUCUCAUUCUGCAGGUAAUGGGAUGUGGGCCAUGGCUGCUUGUUGUGAUUGCGUGUAAGACUCGCUUUACUUUAAUUGACCAUCCAGACGAUUUAUAUCCGGAUGGAUCAUGUUGAUUAUCCGGAUGUGUUGUGGAGACUAUCCGGGUGUCUACGCUCUGCCAGCGUCGUUUGCUCUUCCUUGGAUAGGAGAAGCUGAAACGUCGUUUACCUUUCCUUGAGGGGUUCCGGAUAGGAUAGCCGCACCAUGCAUAUCUUUAGGAGAAUCCGGAUGAUGAUGGUCCGGCUGAUAGCACGUGCCACGCGUCACCAUGAGCUGCGUGCCACGUGUUUCCCAAGGGGAGGGGUCCCUACAUUGCCCCCCUUUUUAACUUGCCUAUUUUGCCUAAAAAAUGGGCGGGUUAAAAAUAACUGGGUUUUUGAAAAUUGAAAAAGUCCAUUCGUCUAACUUGGCCACGUGGCGAGUGAGGGUGCGGAAGCCAAAAAAGGCAUUUAUGGCGAGCCGCCGACCCUGUGUAUCCCCAGGCAAUAUGUCGUUUCAAUGAUAACAUGGCUGUUGGUUUGGCUUUCCGAGGGGCUGUCCUGCUAUAAAUAGGGCACUGUACCUCUUUUUGUAUUUUUUCUACUGCAUUCUCUUGAGAGCCUUCCUUCUUCUUACUUUUUUCUGCGUCCUUUGCUUUUCUGAGAAAAACUUCGAACGACCUCGUUUGUUUGUUGCCGGUGAUUUUAUACCGAGAGAGUAACCGUUGUUUUUCUUCAGAGCUCUAUUUGGUACGUACCUCUUUGCUACUGUCAUUCCUUUGGUUGCGUUUGCUGGUUCUUUAAACUUGGUUCCUGGCUUUGUUUUGGACAAGUCGCUUGCAAUUGUUUGUUGAAUGUUGGUACUUUGUUGUUUGUUUGGAGGGGUUUUUGAGGGGUUUUUCUGACUGCUUUGGGUUAGGGUUUGUGUAUUUUCUGAUUGCUUGGUCUGAACCGUUUGCAUUGCUUUUGCGUGCAGAUUUUACUUUGGCUUUGUGGUGAGAAAUGGCUCCAAAAAAGACUGUUUCGUCUGUCCGGGUCAACGAGGCUGGCGAAAAGGCGAUAGAUAAACUAAAUGCGAAGGAGUUCCGGGAGCGAUUCCGCAUCCCCCAUGACGUAUUGAUAGACUUGGUGAACGAGGAGGCGGCUAUGCCUACUGAGAAAGGUGGAAAAAACGUUAUCCUCUUCACAAAGGAACAAUUCAACGCGGGGCUCCGGUUCCCUCUGCCGUCGUUGUUCAAGGAAUUCCUCUACUUCUCUCAGAUUCCACCCAUCUUCAUUCAUCCCAACCUUGUCCGGGUGCUGAUGGGAUGCAGCAUCAUCAACAUGCUGUACAGCCUCGACCUUACACUACUGGAGUUGUUCUUUGUCUAUUCCCUGAAGAAAGCAAAGAAUGAUAUCUUCAGUGUGUCCGCUCACCUGCCCUCCCUUCAAAUGGUGACAGAACUGCCAGAUUCGACAAAGGGAGGGGCGAAGGGGCUGGUGGCAGUCUGGGGUGGAUGGGCGGGGCUAUCGCAGCAUCCGUCGAGGCCUUUUUCUCCGAAUUAUACCUUAAAAAUUCCGGGUAAUCUUGUUUUGCGACUUUUUUGUGUCCGGAUUUUGCUUUGCUGAUUUUUUUCUGAUUUUUCCGGACGGAAUUCUCACCUUUUGUUGCUGACAACGCAGGUUUGGAAUUGAGGGGCCACCUUGUGGAUUGGGUGGAAAAGACAUCCUUUGCCUGCGUCUGCAAAUUAUUUGAAAUAGACCCCAAGGAGAGGGCCUACAAAACAUUGCUUUCCGCGCGGAAUUUGACAGAGGUCGUCCGGGAGCCCCAGGAAUAUGUUAUCAAUAUUCUUCCUAGGAAACUGGCAAAGGAUGAGAUAGUGCCUGGGGAGCAUUACACUGUGAAGGAGCUCCCCCUCUAUCAGGAAGCUAAAGAGGCUGACGCUGAAAGGCGGCGAAAGCUCCUGGAGGAUAGAGAUCAGAAAAAAACUGAAGGCACUAUCCGGAAGGCUCCCGGACAGAAGCGGGGUCCGGACUCUCCUCCAAAGAAAACUUCAGGAAAAAGGGGGAAGCUGGUGAAGAAGCAUGGGAAGGACAUGAAGGAACCCACUCCUCCCAAGGAGUUUCCUUCUCCCCAAACUGCCUAUGAGGGGGAAGUAAUGAUAGAGGAGCCAGUAAAUGCUGCUCCGCACUCUAUCUCAAGCGGCCCCGGACGCAUGUCGGGUUUGAAUCACUCAGGUCCUUCCUUGGUCGCGGCUGCGCGUCUGGCUAACGUGGCUGAGGAAGCUGCAUCUAUCAACCGUCCGGGCAACCUUAAUCCGGAUGCUGAUGCAGCUGAAACGGCCCCGUUGGAGGAAGCGGGAGCAGAAAGCCAAAGUCAGCCUUCCGACGACCCGGAUCGCCUGGCCAUAGUCCUGGUGAAAGGGCCUCCCCUCAAGAAGUCGCGUUUGACGCGCGAUCUACAGUCCGGACUCUUUGAGCGGCUUCAAGAGCGGCAGCAAGAGAUUGAAAUUAGCUGCGCUUCUGCCCAUGACGCUCAUCCGGAUGGAGGCGAGGUGGAGAUGGCUACUGAGACCUCAGCCGCCCCGGCAAUAAUUCCGGCUGAGGAUGCAUCCGGACCUAUGUGUCCGGACGAAGAUAUGGGGGUUCCGAUUCCGGGACAAGAGUUACCCUCUGCUUCCUCACCUGAGGAGGAAUCUGCUGACGAUGCCGCUCCUACUAGCCCUUUCAGCUACGCGGAGUUGGAAGUUAAGUUAAAGCAGAUUACUCCUGAUUGGAGAGCCAUCAAGCCCUCUGCUCAGAUGUUUGAUAUGAUAGAAACGGUAUAUCGUUGUCUUGUGUUUUUGCUUUUUGACUUUUUGUUGCACUGAUGUGUUUGUUGUAGUAUGAUUUAUGUCUUUGCUUUUCUUGUUUGUGUGUCAGCUGGUGAGGGGCCUCCGUAGCAUGUCUCAACAACACGAUCUUUUUACUCAGCUGCUGCAGACUGCAGACUAUAUGAGGACCUUCUCCUCUCGGCGCCAAGAGAUUGAAAAUCAACUGCGUCUGAGAAUGGAGGAGGCUGAGGCCAGUCUAUCCACCAUGCGAGAGGAAAAUGAAGCCCUCCGGGUGGAGUUGGCUGAGGCAAAGGGUCGAGAAGAAUCAACUGCGGGUCGCCUUCAUGAGGCGGAGGGUGAGGCAGCCCGGCUAAGGGAUGAAUUGAGUCAACUCCGGACAGAGGUUUUGAAUGAAAAGAAACAGAAGGAAGACUUGCAGCUGCGUCUGGAUGUGCAAAAAGAGGAACUUGAACGGGAGUUUGCUGUGGAAAGGGAGGAACUUGCAGCGGAUUACCAGAAACAAGUGGAUGAUACAUUUAUCUUUGGGUAUCGCUGCUGCAUGAAGAAGAACGGUAUAAAGCGAGAUACCCCUUCAAUUCCUCCAAGUGAAGAAAAGAAGCUCCAUGAGAAACCUGCUCCCUGAUAGUUUAUCUCUUUUUGCAAUUUUUCUGCUGUAAUUUUUCCUUCUGUAUUUUCUUGUGGUCCGGAGAUCUCUUUGUAAUUACAUUUAUUCAUAUCAAUAAAACAUACUUCUUUCUCAUUUGCACUUGUGUAUACUUUUUACUGAUAGUACUGCUUUAAAUUGGACACAUUCCAUGGUCUGAGUAACGGAGUGCCAUCUAGCUUUUGUAAAUGAUAGGCUCCAUUUUCAUUUGCCUUAGACACUAUGUAGGGUCCUUCCCAAUUGGCUUGAAACUUUCCUGCGCCUACUUCAGCAGUAUUUUCAAAAACUUUUCUAAGUACUAGCGUACCAUUUUUGAAGUUUCUGGGCCUGACUUUUCGAUUGUAAUGCGCUGAUGCCCUUUGUUGAUAAUCUGCCAUCCGGAUGGACGCGCUUUCUCUGACUUCAUCUGCCCAGUCCAAAUUUCUUCCUAGUUCCGUGUUGGCGUCUUUUUGCUUUGCUGCAUCAGUCCGGAUAGUAGGAAGACCUAUUUCAGUGGGAAUGACUGCAUUCAUUCCAUAUGUGAGGGCAAAAGGAGUAUUUCCUGUUGGUCGUCCGGGUGUGGUUCAAUAGGCCCACAGGACGCCGGGUAGCUCCUCCACCCACUUCCCUUUGGCUUGCUCCAGCCUUUUCUUUAAGGCAUUGAUUAGAGUUUUGUUUGUGACUUCCGCCUGGCCAUUGCUUUGAGGAUAACGUGGCGUGGAGUAUGAAUUCCGGAUAUUCAAUUCCGAACAGAAAUUCCUGAAUGCAAUGCUGUCAAAUUGUGGACCAUUGUCAGCUAUGAUGAUUUGGGGAAUUCCAAAGCGGCAAACAAUGUUCUUCCAUACGAAUUUGGUGACAUCUUUAUCUUUGAUGCUUGCAUAUGCUUCAGCUUCUACCCAUUUACUGAAGUAAUCAGUGGCGACAAGGAGGAAUUUCUUCUGGGCAGGUGCUGCUGGGAGGGGUCCUACAAUGUCCAUGCCCCAUUGCGCGAAAGGCCAUGGGCCUGAGACCGAUUUUAAUGCGGCUGAUGGCAUGCGUGGAAUGGGAGCGUAUCUUUGACAUUUAUCGCACUUUUGGACAUAUGCUGCCGCGUCUUUCUUCAUUGUUGGCCAAUAGUACCCUUGUGAAUGAGCUCUAUGUGCUAGGGAUCGUCCUCCCGUAUGAUUUUCGCAUAUUCCUUCAUGUAAUUCAGCUAGCACAUACUGGGCCUCUGAAUGCCCAAGACAGCAAAGAUAAGGCCCUGUGAAAGAUCGCUUGUACAGGUGCCCCCCAAUCAGGGUGAAGCGGGCAGCCUACACCCGGAUUUUGUGCGCUUGUUUAAGAUCUUUGGGUAAAGUGCCUGUCCGGAGAUAUUCUGCAAUAUCAUGCGUCCAUUCUUGAUUAUCCGUUUGGGUUGCUUCAACGGUGUUGCAAGUGGAAUUUUCUGCGACAGAGGGAUGGGCUUGCACAUGUAUGGGCAAUAGAAUGGCUUCUUUGAUAGGUAGAGAGGCAGCUAUGCCGGCCAAAGCGUCAGCGUGCCUAUUGUCAGCUCGCUUAAUUUUUUCGAUUGUCCACUCGUUGAAUUGCUGUAAGGUGCUUCUUACUUUGGCCAAGUAUCGCGCCAUGCGUGAGUCCUUAGCCUCAUAUUCUUUCUGGAUGUGCCUUACCACUAGUUGCGAGUCGCUGUAGAUCCGGAUUUUGGAGACGGAUAGAGCAAGGGCGAGGUCCAAUCCGGACAGGAUGGCCUCGUAUUCUGCCUUAUUGUUAGACGCGGAGAAUCCCAGCCGGAUGGCUUGCUCCAGAUGUUCCCCAGUUGGGGAAUGUAAUACGAGCCCAACUCCAGAGCCUGAUAAGCGUGAGGCUCCGUCAACUCGUAGUGUCCACCAGUCCUGUUCACUUGAUUCGUGGUGCUGGUUGGGUCUUCGUGAAUAUUCGAGCACAAAGUCGGCCAUUACUUGGCCUUUUUUGGAUAAUCUGGGUUGGAAUUCGAUUCCAAAUUCGCUCAGUUCGAUGGCCCAUUGUAGCAUUCGCCCAGUUAAAUCUGGUUUGUGUAGAAUGCUACGAAGGGGUUGGUCGGUUAGUACAAUCACUGGGUGGGCUUGAAAAUAGGGGCGGAGCUUUUGGGCAGCACUUCGAAGAGCUAAGGCUGUUAGCUCCAUUUUUGAAUACCUGGUUUCUACAUCUACCAAUGCCCUGCUGACAUAGUAGACAGGUUUCUGCUCCUUUGGUGAAGGGCAGCGGAAUAGAGCGGCGCUGAUUGCCCAUUCUGAGACAGCUAGAUACAUAUAUAGCUUCUCCUUUGGGAUGGGGCUGCUCAAGAUGGGUGGAUGCAUAAGACAAUGUUUAAUUCUUUCCAACGCGUUUUGGCAAUUUUCCGUCCAUCCCUGCGUUCCAGCUUUUCAUAUCGCUAAGAAGAAGGGUCGCAACUCAUCAGUGAAGCGGGCUAUAAAACGCCCUAACGCAACGAGCUUGCCUAUGAGGCGUUGUAACUCCUUUUUGUUCCUGGGAGGAGGUGUCUCCAUGACUGCUUUGACUUGAUCCGGGCUGACUUCUAUGCCUCUUUGGCUGACCAAAAAUCCCAGAAACUUGCCAGCACUCACGCCAAAGGCACAUUUGGAAGGAUUUAGCUUCAUGCCAUACUUUCGCAAGAGGUAAAAAACUUCUUGUAAAUGGAGGAUAUGCUGCUCUCGAGUUUUGCUUUUUACCACGAUAUCGUCAAUGUAUACCUCGACCGAGCGGCCUAUCAGAGGUUUGAAGAUUUUAGUCAUCAAUCUUUGAUACGUGGCGCCAGCGUUUUUGAGUUCGAAUGGCAUGACUUUGUAGCAAUAGAGGCCGUGUGGCGUUAUGAAUGCUGUUUUUUCUUCGUCAUCCGGAGACAUGGGAAUUUGGUGAUAUCCGGAGAAGGUAUCCAAGAAAGAGAGCAUCCCUUGCCCGGAAGUGGAAUCCACAAUUUGAUCUAUCCGUGGUAAGGGAAAACUGUCUUUUGGACAUGCAUUAUUGAGAUUGGUGUAAUCAACAAAGACUCGCCAUUUGCCCUCUUUCUUUGGUACCACUACUACAUUUGCCAACCAAUCCGGAUAAGAUACCUCUUUGAUGAACCCGGCUUCCAACAAUUUGUUAAUUUCAUCUUGGAUAACUCUUUGUCUAUCCGGGUGAAAGCGUCUAAUCUUCUGUCGAAUGGGUCUGGCUGUUGGAAAGACGUUAAGCUUGUGAGAGGCGAUAAAGGGAUGAAUUCCCUUCAUAUCCGAAUGUGUCCAUGCGAAGAUGUCAUGGUUGCUUCGAAGGAUAUUUUGUAUGCUCUGGGUUUCUUCUUGUGUCAUGAGGGAACUGAUGUUUGUGAGGUGAUCAUUCUCUUCUGAGAUUUGGAUUGUUUGUAAGGGAUCUGCUGCCGGGGGAUCCUUGUCCACCGGACCCAAUAAUUGCUAUUGGUCGUGUGCAAUGCUAGGUUCAGGGGGAGAUGCAUCCUCCUGGUUAGCGACUGCUUCACGUGCUAUUUGGUAGCACUGGCGAGCGGCUAACUGGCUGCCAUACAAGUCAGUUUGCCCUUCGUUGGUGAGGAAACUCACCAUUUGAUGAUAUGUGGAAGGGAUGGCUUUCAUGUAGUGAAGCCAUGUGCGUCCCAAGAUGACAUUGAAGGGUGACAACUCUUGCACCACCGAGAAUUGCACGUUGAGAGUGACUGGUCCAGCUCGAACCGGCAGUAUAAUGUCUCCUAAAGAUGUUGUUGAUGAUCCGUUGAAUCCGGAUAAGAUUCGUCCGGGGUUUUCGAGACCCGCGAGACUAUGUCCCAUAUGGCCAUGACUGAUGCUNNNNNNNNNNNNNNNNNNNNNNNNNNNNNNNNNNNNNNNNNNNNNNNNNNNNNNNNNNNNNNNNNNNNNNNNNNNNNNNNNNNNNNNNNNNNNNNNNNNNCGGAUAAGAUUCGUCCGGGGUUUUCGAGACCCGCGAGACUAUGUCCCAUAUGGCCAAUGACUGAUGCUUGUACUAGAUCGGCUGAACUGCCUGGAUCAACCAAGAUACGUCUUACAUCAAAAUCUCCUAUUUCUAGAGAGAGGAUGAGGGCGUCGCGAUGUGGCUGUAGCGUCCGGGUGGGAUCUACUGGUGGGAAAAUGAUUGUCCCAUCAAUGGGGCGAGGGCCCUCCCCAGUAAGACCCGGCCGGAUGGAAUUAAUGCUUUCGCGUAUUGACGCGGCUCGCAGCAAUUUCUGUCUUUUCCGCCUGGAAUCGUAUUCCUCGUCAGAUGGGCCCCCGUUGAUAUAGUUUAUGACAGCCUUGGGGGCGACUGGGGCCCUCGGGGCCCCAGAGUUAUGAUGCUGUGAUGCGUCCCUUCCUCCAGUAUCUGAGCGGAGGUACUGUUUUAAAUGUCCUGCUUUGAUGAGCCUUUCAACUAGAUACUGGAGGGACCGACAUGUCUCUGUUGUAUGACCAUGGUCUUUGUGGAAGGCGCAUUUCUUGCUGCGGUCUCUUAUAGAUGGGUCCGUUUCGAGGGGUCUAGGCCACCUGAAGUCGGACAACCCUUGGAUCAUUGGGAGAAGUUUUUCGUAUGAUAUGGAUAGGGGUGUGAUGGGCGGCCUAUCCGGAUGACUCGGCCCUUCCUGCCUUCGGUCAACUGGUUUUGGCCGGUCCGGAGGUUUGGCAUGUCUGUCCGCGUUAUCUCUAGAAGCCCGUCCGGCAACUAAAACUUGCUGAGUGGCUGCACGUACGUCAUCUUCGAGCAUUGAAUAUUUGUUAGCGCGUCUGAACAAAUCGUCCAUCGUUGUAGGAGGUUUUUUUACCAGCGAUUCGAAAAAUGGGGUGCCUGGACAGAUGCUUCUUUUGAAGAUCUGUAGGACAGCGUCCAUGCUGCAAACCUCUAUUUGGAGUACGGCUUGGCCAAAUCGUUUCACAAAUUCCCUCAAGGAUUCGUUGUCUCUCAUUUUUAUGUUCUGGAGGGUGCUGAUAUUCUGCUUGUGUCGAGCAGAGCAUAAGUACUGUCCCACGAAUGCUUCAGAGAGGUCCCUGAAAUUGUCAACAGAGUUAGGAGGUAGGCGAUGAAACCAUGAGAGGGCCUGCCCUUGAAGGCUGGCGGGGAAUACUUUGCAUAAUAAUGCAUCGUUGCCAAUAUCGAGCGUCAUAAGCUGUCGAUAGUGCAUGAUGUGAUCGAAGGGAUCGUUGGUCCCAUCGUAUGUGGAAAACUUUGGUACGAGGAAUCCUCUUGGGGGCUCGUAAUGGGUGAUAUGAGAGCAAAAGGGCGUGGAGAGCAUGUCAUCCAGCCUUUUGCUGAUGGAGCCAAUGGGUAGCUCGUUUGGGAGGUUUCUCCCAGCUGGUCGUUCCGCUAGGUGUGAGUGAACGUUCCGCAUCGCUGGGGUGACCAUGGGGUCACGAUGCGGAGGUACGUUCUGCACCAUGGGAGCAAUCAUAAGAUCGGGGCGUGGCGCCCGGGUUGUGGCUACUGGUGGCCUUGAUCUCCCAGGCUCUUGUGGGCCUAGUCUUGCGCGCAUAGAACUUGACAACUGUGAUUUUCUAUCACGUUGUCUUUUUGCUGAAAAAUGAGUGGAAUCUGAGCUUUCCUCACGGGGAGCUCGAGGCAUGGGUGUGCGUGGCUCAUGGGGCCUUGUGUUGUAUGUUCCUGGGACAGCUCCUGUUGACCCAGGAUAUAUUGAUUCUGGCUCUGGCCUUGAGUUUGCCACCUGACCUUUUGAGCGCUGACGACGAGGAGGUCCUGAUGUUGAGGCUUGAAUCGUAACACAACGUUUUCUUCCCUUAACCUCUCCGUCUCCUGGAAAAGAGCUCUUAGCUGUUUUUCGCUCGCCAACUGUCUUUUUUCGAUGGCUUGACGCCAUUCGUGAUUAUCUUCUUCCUCUCUACCAGAUGAUCGACUUUGGGAAGGUGUGGCCAUCUUUGCUAGUGACUGAAUCAAAAUAAAAAGUAAAAGCUUCCCACAGACGGCGCCAAUGUUGUCACCUCGCGUAUCCGGUGGUCCACGUUGCUGCUAGAUGGAUGGACACGCGAUUCUCAACACACAAGGGGUUCUUGAUUCAGUGGUUGUACCUGCAAAAAGGCAUCCGGACAGGGUGUCCGGAUGCACCCUCCGAUGAUGUUGUUAGCCAUAGUAAGAGAGUAAGAUAUAUGAGGCAGUUGGCCUUUUACUAGGUAUCAAGAGGUUACCAGGAGAUCAUCCAUUUCUUCUUCGUGUGAAGUCAUAUAUAUACAGCUUCAGGGGUACUGUUCCUCUCAUUAAUGGUGAGGAGAUAUUUUCUAUUGUGAUGAUGACAAUAGGUGUUAGUAGGAGCAUUAUCAUCCUACGAAUGGCUGUCAGAGACCAUGGUAGGUGAUGCGGCUGUCAGAGAUCGUGGGAAGUGAUUAUGUAGAAUGAUCGUGGGAAGUGACUUGCUGUCACUUCCUCUUGUCUUCUCAUUCUGCAGGUAAUGGGAUGUGGGCCAUGGCUGCUUGUUGUGAUUGCGUGUAAGACUCGCUUUACUUUAAUUGACCAUCCAGACGAUUUAUAUCCGGAUGGAUCAUGCUGAUUAUCCGGAUGUGUUGUGGAGACUAUCCGGGUGUCUACGCUCUGCCAGCGUCGUUUGCUCUUCCUUGGAUAGGAGAAGCUGAAACGUCGUUUGCCUUUCCUUGAGGGGUUCCGGAUAGGAUAGCCGCACCAUGCAUAUCUUUAGGAGAAUCCGGAUGAUGAUGGUCCGACUGAUAGCACGUGCCACGCGUCACCAUGAGCUGCGUGCCACGUGUUUCCCAAGGGGAGGGGUCCCUACAGUAAAGCCGUCAAUAAAUUUUGUAAAUUUAUAAAAGUUGAUAAAAUAUCAUGAUUUAUUAUUAACUUACAAUUUUUAAUAUACAAUUGUUAAUAGUAGUGUUUGAAAUGUGAUUUUUCUCUAGGAAAUAUGGGAUUGACUCCAACAAUUUUUCUCCAUUUUUUCAGAAUUAUCAUUGAAAUAUUGAUUUUUAUGGAGAUUUUACGAUUUUACUGAGAAGCUCUUAGAUAUGGAUUUGAACCAAGCCAAAAGGCUUAGGUUGAAGAGUUACCAAUCGGGCAAAUUCGCCAUUGUUAAAUAUAAUUAGUGCACAAAUUAUAUUAAAAAAUAUUUUAAUAAAUAAAUUAAUUCUAUUUAUUGUAUUUCAAAUUUUACUUAAUUGAUUACUAAAAGUAUAAAAAUCAUUAUUUAUAUGAUAAUUAAAUAUUAAAAAUAUAAAUAGUAUAAAAAAUCAUAUAUAAUUUUGAAUGUUUUUAUUUUAAAAUAUUAAAAAUAUAAAUUUAUUCAAAAAAUUCUAAAAUAUAAACAAAUAAUAAUGGACUUCUAAUAUUUUAUAAAUUAAAUUUAUUUUAAUAAAAUAAAUUAUUAAUAUAAUUUUUAAUAAUUUUAAUUAUUUAAAUAAAUUAAUGUCAAUAACUAAACAUUAUCACCACAAGUAAUAAAAUUUUAGAAAUUAAAUCACAAGUAAAAUAUUUCAUAUAAAUCUUAAAAAACAUUUAAGUUUUUUAAUUUAAAAUGUAAUAAAACUUGAUCUAAUAAAAGUAGUUUGUAAUUUUUAAAAUAAAUGAAUAAAAAUAUAUCAAAAGAAUUUGAGAUCAUUUCUCUAAAAAUAUUUGAUAAAAACUAUUUAUAGCAAUUACACUUAAAAAAAAAACUUUAACAUAUUAUUCUUUCUCAUUUUAUCUUUUUUGAAGUUUUUCCAUGAAUUUUGAAUAAUUUUCUUUUCAUAUUCAUAUUUUAUCGAUAUUUUUUAUAUAUCCAUAAAAUCUAAGUAUUGUUUAUCAAUAUUUUAAACCAUGUAAUAGAUGAAAAAUGAUUAUGAAUUUUAAACCAAUUUUAAAAAAAAAUAGCAUUCAUAUAAUCAUAUCUCUUCCUUUACCGGUUAUUGACCAAAAAAGACAAGUAUUGCUUAUGUCAGUGGUUUUUUUGUUUUUUGUUUUUUCCUCCUCAUUAUGAAUUGGUGGAGGUGUAUUUUCUAUUUAAAAAAGUAAAAAAAUUUAAAAUUAAUAAAUUAAUUUUAUAUUUUACUUUAAAUCCAUUUUGUUUUUUUUAAUCCUUCAACAUUUUCUAAAUAAUUUUAAUUAUAAUAUUUUUCUUUUUCUUUUUUAUAUUUUCCAUAAUACAAUUAAAAAAAAAAAUCAUUUUUCUCAAUAUUUAUUUUUCCUUGAAACUUGAUGGGAAGCGAUCGUGACCUAAAACAACUUUGAAAGUCAUGGUAUCAAUUCAGCUUUUGAAGAAGCAUAGGCAACACUUGCAAGAAACUCUCCACGAUUGACACCAGCAAUCGAAGAUAUAUUAAUAAUGGAAUCUUCUACACAAGCAUCACGCAUGCAGUUAAUAUAAUGUGCAUCUUAAAAAUUAUUAACAAAAUAGACAAUUUAUGCCACCAGACUGCAGAUUUAAAAAUAAAAAAUCAAAAAAUCAAAACAAUAAAAGCAACCAUAAAGAGAAGACAACAAAACAAAUCUAAGAAUUUGAUCCUAUGAAUGAAAGGUAAAUAAAGAUUUGUAUGUAUUAUAAAAAAUAUUAAAGCAAUGAUUUAUUUAUUUAUUUUGUAUAGAGAAACUUUCAAAGAAUGGUUAUCAAAUUUCUAUUAUCAUUUCCCAAUUCAGCAAAACUGGUAAAGAUUUGGAAACUGGACCAAAAAAAAACAAGUGCCGCAAAUUCCAAAUUGGAAAAUAUGAGCGAACAAACCAAAACCCACCUUUUUCUUGAAGUAUAAAAAAAAUGAAAAUAAGAACAAACAGCAAAGCUAAAGAGUGAGUCUUGCAAAAACAUAUGCAUCUUUUUAUUGAAAAGUAUGACCAGAUAGCGUUAUAUGUAUUUUAUACCUUUGUUUAUUGCUUCUACCGGAUUAAACGGUUUUGAUUUUCUCUUACACUUUGAAUCAUGAAGAUUUGGACUUCGAAGCCUUUUCAUGCAUUUUACACGAUGAUUCAAAAUGUUCUUUUAUUUUACUUCAGUAUUUGUACCUCUAACACCAGCGUUAUUCAUCAAAACGUGGCCAAAAGCUUCCCAUGCCCUUCUGAACGGACGCGUUAAUGGCGGGACCAUCGGCGGUGAGGUCAAGUUCCACAGCCACGGCUCGGACGGUGGUGUUAGGGCUUGGAGGAGAGUUAGGACAGGUGAAGUGGUUGAUUUCGUGGCAGAGAAAGUUGAGGCGAUGGCUCCAGCGAGCAGCGGCGUCGAUGUUGGAGCCGGCUUUGGCGAGGUCGAGACAGAAGUGGCGGCCGAGGCCAGAGGAAGCGCCGGUGACCAUGACCACCUUGCCUUCUAGGCGGUGCCAUGGCUGGAGGUGGUUGGAGACUUUGUUGGCCAUUGGUUUGGUUUUAGAGAGGGAAAUUAUGUCAUUUCCAGUUUUGAAUGACGUACGGGUCUCUGGCAUCUAUUAUGUUAUUGUGAAAACUGAAAAGGAUGGGUUUAAAAUAUAGAUGUAUCGCCCGAAAAGAUUGGAUACCCGAAUAGGAAAAAGAUAAAAUGGGUUCGGGAAGAAUGAGGUAGUACGGACCAUUUUAGUUUUUAAAAUCGGCAAAAAUGCAACAGGAAAAAAUCUCCCACAUGAUAGGAGGACUGAAGGAGUGGAUACGAUCGCCCUGCGUCGAUGCAUCUGAAAUAUCAGCGAUAAAUCACCGAUUAUUUGGAAAAAUCGGUAAUUGGUUUUUUUUUUAUUGUAUAUAUUAUCGUUUUUUUCCGUAUUUAUCACAUUCAUUUUAUUAAAAAAAUUAUAACUAUAAUUUAAAUUUUUUUUAUUAAGAAGAUAAAAUUAUCGAGAAGUAAUUACAAUGGUAAAAUAAUUAACAAAAAUAGGUUUUUUAAUAUUUAUUAAAAUAUAAGUAUUAAAUAAAAACUAAUUUUAUAAGAAAAAUUAUAAAUACAAUGUUUUGUUGGAUUAUGAAGUCUUGAGAUGGUGGGUUGAGUCGUCUAAUCAACUUACGAGGGUCAACUCAUGAUAAUCGAGUUGUCCAAUCAGCUCAUGGGGAUCGAAUUGAACAGUCAGCUCACGAGGAUCAAGUAUGUUGCCCAAUCAACUCAUGGGUCGAGCUCCUUGUUGAACUUAUGGAGAUCGAGAUGCCCAGUAAGCUCACUAGGGUUGAAAGGUAGGUGCAACGUCCUCUAGAAUUUAUUUAUUUUUUUAUGUAAUAAUUAAUGAAUUUAUCUCUAUUAUAUGUUUAGUCAUUUUAUGUUUAAGGUUUUGUUUUUUAGAGUGAAGUUGAAAUUGAAAUAUGUUUUUUCGAGAGUUUCACCAUUAUUGAUAUUCUUAAAAUUUAUGCAAAUAAAUGAAUAUAAAUAAAUUAAUGGAAAAUUAUUUAAAUUUUAUGAGUGAUUUAAUUUUUUAUUUAAAAUAUAAUAAACAUAUUUUACUAAAAUUAAUAAUUUUAUUGAUAUUCUUAAAAUUUUGCAAAUAAAUGAAUAUAAAUAAAUUAAUGGAAAAUUAUUUAAAAUUUAUGAGUGAUUUAAUUUUUUAUUUAAAAUAUAAUAAACAUAUUUUACUAAAAUUAAUAAUUUUAUUGAUAUUCUUAAAAUUUUGAAAAUAAAGGAAUAUAAAUAAAUUAAUGGAAUAUUAUUUAAAUUUUAUGAAUAAUUUAAUUUUUUAUUUAAAAUAUAAUAAUAAUAUUUUUCUAAAAUUAAUAUUUUAAUAGGUAGUUUAAUUUUUUUCUUCAAAUAAAUGAAAAUAAAUAAAUUAAUAUUUUUUUAAAAAUUAUUAGAUAAAUAAGAUAUAGUAAUACAAAUUUGAACAAUUUCAAGUGAAUUUUUUUAAUAUAGAAUUUCUUUUUUGGUAAAAUUUCAAUUAUUUUUUCAAUGCAAUAUUUAAUUUUAAAUAUUGAAAUAUAAAAUAUUUGCCAUGAAAUAAAAUUUCUAUCCACAUUAGUGUUCAUUUAUGUGUGAUGGAUGCUAUUGAUUUUCCUAUACAUAUCUUAUUAUUAUUUUUUAAAAUAUUAGUUUAAAAGAAUUUUACCUAUACAUUAUAAACUUUUAAAAUUCAUAUUUUUUAUUAACACAUUAUUUCAUAACAUAAUAAAAGUUACAAAUUGAUCAUACAUAUAUUAUUUUUUCCAAUAAAACAAUUCCAAUAUAUGUAUUAUUACUUAUUUAAUUAUUUUUAAUGUUUUUUUUUUUAUGAAUUUUGAUUAAUUUUUAGCUUUUAUCUCCAAAGAAAUAUUCCUAAAAUUUAACCACCAAGAUUUUGAUAAUUUAUGAUAUUAUUAUUAUUAUUAUUACUAUUAUUAUUAUUAUUUGAAUAUAUUUUAAAUUUGUGUUUAGACUUAUGUUCUAAAAAACAUCAUGAAACAAUUUAUGAAAUUAAAAGCUAUUUUUAAAAAACUUUCUCAAGUUGAUCCAAACUUUUCGAUUUCUCUCAUGAUUCGUAGCCCAUGGUUUCAAAAGACAUUUUUCUACCCAUCACUCAAUAUGAUUAUUAUUUUUUAAUUACAUGGGUAUUCAAAAUAAUAUGAUCAUACUAUAUAAAAUGGUACUUUUUCUCUACAUACCAAAAGUGAAUCACUAAUCAAUAUAUAAUUUUAUUUCAUGACUUCAUAUCCAAAUAUUAGUCUUUUGUACCAUACACAGGUAUCAUUCAUCCUUUGUAUUUUAUUCAAUCCUUUGUGUUUGAACCUAUUUGUUUAUGUUAGUUAUUUGAAUGGUAUAAAUUUGGCAGGACAUUUUCAACCAUUCAACCACCCACAUUAAAUUUCAAAGGACAUGUUCAACCACUCAAGUUUAAGACAGUAGAUCCAAUAUAUAUUUAAAGUUUGUUUGAUAGUGAUUUUAAUAAAUGUUUCUAAUUUUUUUAAUAUUUAAAAACUUUUUUUUUUCAAGUAUUAAAAAUAUUAAAAACAUUUUCUAAAAUCACCAUUAAAAGUACUUUUAAUACCCUAAUUUUUCUUAUACAUUUUCAGAGAAAGACCUUAUAUCAAUUUUUAUUUUUUCCUUGCAAAGUUAGAUCUAAAUGCAAUUAAAGUUAUCUUUAUGACCAAUUUAUUUUUAAGGAUUUCUUCAAAGCCUUCAAAGAUUAAAAAAUUUGAAGUCCAAGUUUUAGGUAUCUUUGAUCCGAGAUUAAAUAUUUGCACACUCAAUGAACAUUGUUCAAGCCAAAGUACAAGCACAAGUUUAAACCAAGACAAAGUCCAAGCUAAGCCAAGGUCCGAGCUUAAGGCAAUAUAAGGUCCAUAUCGAGAUUAAGCCAAGGUCAAGUUCAAGCCUAGUCCCAAGAUACAUUAAGUCACACUAAGACUCGUCUUAGAAGAGUCAAAAGAUCAAAUAAAGAUUGUAUCUUAUUUUUUAAAUUAAUUUGAUCACAUAGUUUUCUUUUUUUCUUUACGUAGCACACUUCACAAAACAAUCUAUGUUUGUUUCUCAUCUCUUUUUUACAAGUUAAAUCUUUACAUGAAGUCCAAGAAAAGUUCUAAUCUCGUAAUUCAAAGUAAGACAAAAGUAACUUUCAAAAAACAAACUCAGAUUUCUUAUAAGAAACCAUCUUUAGAUCGUUUAAUUCUUAGGAAACUUGAUUUGAGUUUUUGUAUAAGCUUUGACAUGUCAUGAACUUAGACCUACACUUCGGUUUGGCUUGGGUCAAGGCUAAGACCUUAUAUUAGCUUGAGUUUGCAUUUGAACCUAUGUUUAUACCUUGUGCGACUCACAAGGUUGUGUUUGAAUCUUAUCUUGUGCUUGAAAAUAAGUGUCCAAAUGCUUAAUCUCAUAUCAAAAUACCUAAAAUUAGAAUCUUUGAUCUUAGUAUUUGAAUAUUUGAACUUUAAAAAAUAUAAACACAUUUAAAAAAAGACAAAUAAAUGCUAAAAGAGUUUUAAACCAAAAAAAAAUGCCUAAUCUUAAAAUAUUUGUUCUAAAAAAAUCCUUGAAAAAAGUUUUUUAUUCAAAUUUAGAUAACAACGCUUUCCGCAUGUGGCAUUUUUUUCCACCCUCAUAUGAUUUUUGUUAGCAAUCUUUAAAGUCAGUCAGCGGCAAUGAAUUUAUGUGGAGCCACGCAACCACCUACCCACACCCAAUCACCGUCAUGUCUUACCAAAAAGUCAGAUCCCCUCAAUUCUACUCGAUACAAAGCCCAUCAAGUCACUGUGGGUGUCUCAGGCAAGGAGGCACCAUUGGUACCUUCGGAGGCUGAUAAGACAUCUCUUUUUGGCUGGAGUCCGUGGGGUGGGGUGAAGGUACUGGACUCUUUGUAAGCACUGUCCCGCUACUUCCCGGCUGGGGCCAAUUGACCGAUGAACAAUAACCAAAGAUCCUCCAUAUGCCUCAAAAAUCUCUCCUGUGACCCAAUGCCAUUGGCCCGUAGUAGUAAUUAUUACUCAAUUCAACUCGAGGUCAGGGAGAUCCAGGCGGAAACCAUGCUGUUUUCGAUGUGGGAAAGAUAAGAGUGGUUAGGCAGAAAGCGACCGUAUGAAAGGGAUGAAUGGGGCGGGGGGCCUAUUAAAGGGUGCCAGCCACACCCAAUAAAUGUAUUGGACUGACUUCUUCUAUGUGUACCAAUUUCAAGGAGUAGAUAAGCGCUUCCCAUGGAGGGCUCACUCCCUCUUUAAUUGCAGAGAUAUUAACGUUGGGUUAAAGAUCUUUUCUGACCUAAAAAAGGUCAAAAAGCAGGUGGCGUAUCAACUACAAAAAGCUUCACUUGUUCAUCAAGGGUGUUCAGAAAAGCCAAAAGAGGCAUACAAAAAUUCUUAACCCUAAUCCGACAUACAUUUCGAAUAUAUUCCGCAUUUUUCAUCAGCCUUCAUCCUGUGUGUCAUUGACAACUUGCCUUCCGCUUCCAGCUCUCUCUCUAUAGCCCUUUUAAGUUCUGAAAUCCUACAUUGCUCUGUUUGAGAAGCCCUAAAAAACAAAAGCCCUGAUACCAUGGCAGUUUAAGUGCUUCAUCUUCAUAGCCCCAGUAAGAUAUAGUACACAAGUGUGAUGGGUAGAGCUAUUAGCAUUCCGAAUAUUACUCUGCAGGAAAUAAAUAGAAACAAAUAAUCAAUAAAAAUAACAAAAUAAAAAUCUAAAAGUUGAGGGUAUGCAUGCUAAUCAAUCUAAAAAAAAAAAUAGUUUUCUGCCCUGAAAAAAGAAAAAAACACACUGAAACAUGUUUGACAUCCAAAAAUUUAAAAACACUUUUUCAUUUUAAAAAAUAGAGAUAAUUAUUUUGAAGAACAAUAUCAUGUUUUAUAGAAUAAAAACUGAAAAACACAUUUGACCAUCAAAAAAUUAUUUUAUAUUCUCGAAAAUAGAAAACAAAGUAUUUUCAAAAAAUAUUUUUUAAUUGUUUUAAAAAACAAUUAUAUAAACAUGUAUAAAAAUAAAACUCUAAACAUAAAAAUUAUUUUUAAAACUGUUUUAAAAAAUAAUUAUCAAAUAAGGACACUUCGUUUUGUCAACAUUGUUCUAGAAAAAUAAUAGGGUAAAUAUGAAGAAUAAUUAAAACCAAGGUAGUAUGUAGAAGAUUUAUUUUUAAAAAUAUUUAAAACAUGUUGAAAAUAUUCCACAUUCCAAACCAUACUUUUAUUCUAAAAAAAAAUUCAUAAAACUAAUUUUGAAAAUUGUCAUUAAAAAUUAUUUUUGUGAACAAAUUUCAAAAUUACUACGAAACAAAUCCUUAAGAAUCAUGUUUUGUAAGUGGAAGUGCACACAUGCAUGAAUUGAAACAUAAAUUCACAUGCAUAUAAACAGUACACUACUAUUCAUAUAAGAGAUCAAAGAAGGGAAUCUGGUUCAAACCCUGUGCUCAGAAUGUCAGGAUGAACAUUGUAUUCCUUGGCAAACACAAAGGGGACAAUUCCCUGAGGAAGAGCCGCCUGGAAAUUCAGAGAAUAUCAAGUAAAUAUAUUUUGAAGAAAAAAGAAAAGCAACACGAAAAGUAAAGUGAUUAGAAUGUUUGUUUUCAGGAAUUUCACUCUCAUUUUACCUGUACAAUGGCAAUAUGUAAGAGAACCCCUCUUAAACCAACUGCAAUGGAAGCAGCAGCCAUGACCGCAGGACCUGUGAGGAAUCUAACAGCCAUGGCAAAUGUGGCAAUGGAGUUCCCACAAGCAAUAAUUCUUGGCUGCAGUGCCAUGAACAAACCUGGAAGUGCAUAUAAGAUUGUUGCUAGUGAGGAAGACAAAAGUAAAAGGCCAAGGAACACCAUUAAAUGGAUUAUGAAAAUGGGCAUACCAAGACUGAACAUGGCCAUUCCAAGACCUGCAUCAGAUAAAAUGGAUAUAGACUUGGCUAUAAUAGCAGGCAUUUCAAUCCCCCACCUGCAGAAUUACAAUAUUUGUUAAUGAAAUAGCCAAAGAAACACAAAAGAAUGGUGGAAAAUGAGUGGGAGAAAUGACUUUUGCAUACUUGAAAGAGACCAAGGACCAGGUGAGGCCAAUGAGGCUAGAAUAAGUGUUGGGAUUCCUAAUGAGUUUUCUCCACACCAUUAUCAGGAUGAGUCUGGUCAUGACGCUAGCAGGCGGCAUGGAUGUUGGCUUUGACUGGGCAGCAGCCUUGGGGUUGAGCUCUGCGGUGGAGCUGGACCCCAGCUUAGACAUCAUGGCCCCUUCUCGGUCACCACCAUUCGCGACCGGUCUGUUUCCAAAACUGAACUCAUCUUGUCUGGACUCAUCAUAAUCUAUAAAUACCAGCAUGCAAAAAAAAAAAAAAAAUAUUGAUGAUCAAACCAUACAGAAGAGAAAAAAAUGAAACCACCUCAAUAAUGAUGCCAAAUGAGACCAAACUUGGGGAGGAAUGUUUUGUGAAAAAGCUAGAAGAAUAGGCCCCCUACCAUUAUGUCAUACUAGAGUGAAAGGCAGAGAAGAAAAGCAUAACAAACAUAACAAACAAAAUCCAAUAACCCCACUGGCACGCACAAAACAAAAUUCAACAAGACAAAACACAGUUACAUCCAAAACAAAAAGCAUAAAAUUCCAAGAAUUGGCGUGGAAUCAUGCACAAAAGUUAAAUAUAUAAUCGCAAGCACCAUAUGCUAGAAAACGACCAAAACCCAUGAAUACCUUUAGUUUGAGGUAGUACCCCACCAGCAACCUCAUUCCCAUAAUCUCCACCCCUGAAAACAUGAAUGCCUCCUUCCGACACUGGCGAUGCGCUGGAGCUCCAUACAAACAUGUGAAGAUCCUUCCCCCCAUCUGCCCCGUUCGCCUUCUUCUUUGCUCCAGGUCCCCCCACCGGAGAGAAGAUUCCGGCACUCGGCGGUGCAGGGUAACCACCACCCUGUGAAUAUACCCCGUUUGCUCUGGGAGGAUUUGGGAAUCCGCCAAUUCCGUUUUCCUCAUCAAAAGUCAAGUUCCCGAAAUUUGAUUGCCUCGGGCUCACAUUGCUCAUAUUUUUCCCAUUCACCAUUGAAUAGAAAUCAGUGUGAUUGAAACUGGAACCCCUGGGAGUUGGAUUCCUUGAUGAUUGCAGAGAGUAAAUCUCUGCAUUCGUUAAAUUGGAAGGCCGGGGAGUCAAGGACACGCCCGAAUUAGGGCCGUGUGAUCGCCUGGAAAAUAUUUCAGAGCGAGAACUAGUGGACUUUCUCACUGUAACAUGAAGUUUUCCAUCUUCACCAACUUCAGCCUCCGUCUGCAGAGGCUCUUUCCCAUCCAGAGAGAUGACGUCAGAAUCAACUCUGAAUGAAAUAAUAGAACCAGCAGUAUCUGGAAACUGCUCUACAAUCAAGAGCCUGGCUCCUCUGUACUCAAACAAGAACAGCAUCAAAGUAUACCAUAUUAUGCAUUGAAGAACAACUAUUUGCACCAUUAAGGUUCCCGAAUAUUCUCCAUACAUACCCUUCAACAAAGGAAUGCCCAUGACCAGAGUGUUGGGCAGAGUUGAGAGCGAGAACAGAGUGAUGGACCAUUCAAGACACCCUCUUGAGCUGACUCUGGACCAAAUAGCUAAAACCACCAACACUAUGAUUUUCUGAAGAGUGUCUGCAGCUAUGAAUCUGUAGUUCAUGGCAUAUGGGUCGUUGGUGGAGAUGAAGUGAAACGAAAGCAGGGGGACAGCAAACAGUGCUACGAAUCUGUUGAUACCGGAGCAUUGAUCAGGGCUGAAGAUCUUCCACCAUUUUACAGACCCAUAAGCCAAUAUCAUGGCCACAUAGAGAGGAACAACGGAUGUGAGGACGUGGUAGAGGUCUGUAAUAGCAAUCAUGCUUUCUUUCCUGCUCUUUUCCCUCCUUCAGAGAAAUCCUCUAGUUUAGGAAUGGAUUUCAAGAAAUGCCCAGGUGAGAAAAUGGAGUGAAUGAGAAGAACAAUAUGGAUAUGCGAGAAAAUUGAAGCAAAACUCAAUUCUAGUAAUUUACCCGGAGUUCCUGGGAGACCGGCGAAAACCUUACCACAAAAUCAGUUCGAUGGUAAAAGACUAGUAUGAGAUAAGUUAGUAUAGAAAGAGAAAAAGCACACAAAUCAACCAAUAUCAUAGAAUAUUAGGCAGAUCUCACAGUGAGCUUCAGAGAAAGAGAGAAGAUGGAAAGAAGAUGUGGGAGGAAAAUGAAGUGAAGUUAUAUUUAAGACAAUUUAAUGGCAGACAAGGAAGCAAAAGCACAAGACUUUAGAGCAACUUUUUUUUAUAUAGACUUUUAGGAUGGGAAAGAGAAACCUCUUAACACUUUCACAGAGACAGAGAAAGAGAAAAAAAUAAAAAAGCUACUCCUGGCCACCUGAUGGAAUGAGAUGGCGAAGACCAAACAGCUUCCAUGAGAAAAUUCUCUCUUGAAAGAAGAAAAAAAAGUUCAUCAAAAGAAACGACCGUAGAAAGGGAGUGCCAUACGAGAUUCUUUCUACCUUCUGCUAACUUAUACCGUCUUUAUGCCACUUGUUAUUAAUAUUUCUCCUUUUUAUCUAUGUCGGGACUUUAGUAUAUUUUUUUCAGCCAGUGUGGGCUCUGGAUCCCUUAUUGGUUUCUCAAUUCCCUUUUUUUUUCCCUCUCUUCUUUACAAAAAGUAAAAAUAAAAUAUAAAAUUUAAGAAAUAAAAAUAUUUUUGCCACUUAUAAGUUAUUUAAUUCUGUGUCUACACCAAGUAGUAGGAUUAUUGUUAAGGGGCGGGGGGUUCAAUGUUAUGUUGCACAAGACUUAUAGUGUGCUUUUAUAUUGCUUUGUCUUACAAAAAAAAAUUACAUAUUGCGUAAAUUUCUAUGGAUGUUUAAAAAAAAAGAAAAGAAAAGUAUACUAAUCGUGUUAAAUAAUAUUGAUGACAUGUCAUACUAAGAAGCCAAUAAUGUAAUUGUCAUUGAAUUCCACCAAAAUUAUCUUUUAUAAUAUUUCUAUUAUAGUAUUAUUCUCAUGCUACUCUACAACAUUAGAGAUGACCAAUUGGGACUACUUAGUUCACAAUAAAACCUAGUCAAAAGACGAUUGAUAGAGUUAUACGUGAUUCAAGUAAGAUCAGUCCGUAUAAAUGGUAUAUUUAUUAUAGUGUUACUAUCAUGCUACUCUACAACAUUAGAGAUGACUAAUUGGGGCUGCUUAGUUUACAAUAAAACCUAGCCAAAAGACAAUUGAUGGUGUUACACAUGAUUCAAACAAUAUCGGUCCUUAUCAAAAUAAUCUCAUUCAAGAGCUAGGUUUAACUUAAGAGUAUAUAUCUAACUGCUCAUCGACAUAGCCCCUUAAUAGACAACUUCAACAAGAGAUAAAUGGGUACGAUCGAAAAGCUAUUUAUCUUUCGUUAAUGUGUGAGCAACCAUUGCCACUCACUUUUAUCAAACUAUUCAAAUCAAUAAGGAACAAAUCACAUAAAAUAUUUACUCAAUCAUGUCCGUAGAAACUAAUGAAUGACAAAAUAGACAAUUUUCAUGAUAGUCUUUAUUGGUGCUCGUACUUCGAGAGCCAAGUCUAUUGUUGAUCCGAUCCAAUAAUGUUAACUUGUGACUGGAAGAUUUACCUACCAUUCUCAUAUGCGUGUCCUUAUUAUACCCCUUUGACAAUCAAGUUAGGAUUGAACAAAAUGAAGUUUGGCAAGAAUGGAUUGACCUUAGGCUUGGGAAUGGUAGAGAGAAUAGAAGGUUGAGAGGAGAUCAAGUGUGUGGGAGCAUGUUCUUAUACCUCAACAAUCAAAGCUUGCUCAUAUAGCAUUGGCUUACUAUGUUAUGAUUGGCUUGUGGGAUAGUCAGCCCUCUUCUCAAGAAAAGGUGACGUGCUAGGCAUGUGUAGGGUGUUAUGUCAAGUUUGUUAUUGGUUGGUUAGGUCCAUACCAGACGAAGCUCAGUGGAUUAUUGAAAGAAUGUUUGUAGCUAGUGAGAUGUGUUUCUAAUACAAGGUUGACGUUUCAUAUGAAUCACAUGCGUUAGUUGCUAGCAAUGGCUCUCAUUAGACAAGUAUGCCAGGGGAGUGAUUGAACAUGUCGAUAUGUGGUUCACGCUUGGUUGUGUGGAACAUGUUGAUUUGGGGCACUUUCCUCCAAGUGUUCAACCAACGAUUAUUAGGUUGAUGUGUGAAAUCCAACAAGGGCACGGUGGUAUUCUACAACGAUCUUAAGACAGGUUUGACACUUGUUUGUCAAGUUAAUAUGUAAAAUCUAAUAAAGGCGUUGAUGGUUCUUCUGUGGGUUAGGCAUUUAAUUUCCAAAUGACUACACCUAGUUUAGAAUCAACUUGUGUUUGAGGUUAAGUUGUCAAUGAGUAAUUAGUAUUGAGAUACUAUCAAUUAGAGGUACCUAAGCUCACCUAGUUCCUCAAGUCCUCACCCAUCCAAUCAUAGUUUAAUACUAAAAGUUAUAUGGCAUCAUUAUUUUUACAGAAAUAAAAAACAAAUAGGGGAACAAAAUUCAAAAAUUGGAAAGAAAAACCAAAUAAAAGUAAACAUAGUAAAAUAAUCCAAGUUUUCACAAUUUUAAUCCAUGUAACUCCGUUAACCCUCACUAGAACAAUAACUUAAAAGAAAAAAAACAAGUGAGAUUUGAUCAUUUUGUUUGAAUCACAAUCUCCAUAAUUCACUUUGAAUUAUGAAAACUAAUAAUAUAAUCUUUACUUUUCAUUUCAUUUAACAAAAUUAACAUUUUAGUUCAUUGUGAUUUAAUUAUAGAUGUUUUCCAAACCGCCUUUGAUAGAUACUUCUAAUAUUAUAUUUAUUUUUUUUGUGGAAAAUGACUUAAGAUGACACUUACUUGUUGGUGUUGCUCCCAACUAGAGUCAGGUUCGUCUAGCUUCACUGGAGUCAGACGGAUUUCUUCCCUGCACAAAAGGAUGUUUGGAUGAGUGGUUCGGACACGACCCUCCGAAGCUUAAGUUAGACAAGGAUAACUCUAACUAUUUGUGGGAGAGAAUGAGCGUAUGUGAAUGUGUAUCUUGUUCGUACUUUUUAAGGGGUUUAUAUAGAGUUGAUAGCAUCGUCCUUAUCUUGUAAUGAUGAUUAUGUGGAUUGUCAACACCGUUAUUAGAGCAUGGACUGGGCAAUCAUAACAAGUAAGGGCGACUGACUAGUAACAUUUGUUGACUGUCGUGCCAAAAUCUUGGACUGUGUAGCUUAGAAGUCAAGCGGCUAGUCUAGCGCUCAAACGUCAGGCAGCUAGUUCGACGCUUAGAUAUCAGUCGUCUAGGUUGACGCUCAGGCAUAAGACGUGAUUAACCAUGCAUACCAAAAAAUCCUGAGGACUUGACUGGAUGGAUUUGCCAGUUUGAAAUAUCUAGUCGGCUCGGUCUGUCCAUUCCGUCUAACAUUUGUAGGGCCAUCUGAAAUGUUAGCCGGCUUAGUCUGUUCAUCUGUCUAGCAUUGUGGAAGAAAGAGAACUUCUCACUUCUAGUGCCAGACGGAGCUUAUCUUGAUCCAAACAGAAUGAUCCAAGACGGGUUAUAUGUAUGUCCCUAGUCGACCAAAGGGUUUUGAGUCUGAGAAGGACACGUGGAGGGAAGUCCCCCACAUUGCUAACUUUAAUUCUAUCAUUUUUCAAAAAUUAGCUAAAGUCACUCUUAUUGAAGAUGGGUCCAAUUUUAUUUGUUUAUUUUUGAAAUUUUGAUUAAAGAGGCUUACAACCAUUUUUAUUAAGCAUGAUUUUCUCUUAUGAAGAAAAUGUUGGAAGAGUUUUUAACUUGAUGUAAAGCACCAAAUUACCACUAUUGUUUAAAUUGAAUAUAAAGCAAAGAUUCCCCCCACCCCCACGAUAACUAAGCUUCCACAAAACUCAAAUCAUAUAAUUAUCACCAUUGAAAGUUUAGUCCAUGUUAAUUGACUAUCGCUAAUAAAAAAUUUAUAUCAUUAUUAGUUAUGACAACUUGUAUAAUAAACAUGAAACAUUUACUAUCAACUUACAUAGGAUAUUCGAUUGAUCAUAUUUGUAUCCACAAAUAAAAAAGAAUCAUUUUAUCGUACAGAUGGUUGAAAAAAUAAAUACAGAACCUUUAAUGUCUUUAUUCUCUCAUCCAUGAUAUUUAUAUUCUAAAUUACAUAUAUCUUUCACAAAUUCGGCAUUAUCUUAUAAUUUAUUUGUCAUAACCCAAAGAUAUCAUAAUACUUUUCUUGUAGUACAAGAAAAUUAAUAUUAUAAUCACAUAAUAAUAUAAAAAAAUUAAAUAAUAAUUUAAAAUGUAAAACAAAUUCUAAAACCCAUAUAUUUAUAAUAAAUAAUUUAUUAUAUAGAGAAUCACCUUUAUAAUAAAUAUUUAUUUGAUUCUUUUCAACAAUUUUUUAAUAAAGUCAAGGAAAGUCUUAAACCCAUCUUUUAGAUUUAUUAUGUACCAAAUUGUACAAUAAAUCAAGUUGGGAUGCAAAGAUCAUUUUAAGUAAAGAAAGUUUCUUUAUUAUAAAAAAAGGAAAAAGGAGGAAAAUGAUAUGCCUAGAUGGGUGUUUGUUUGAUGGAAUCAUGUACAUGAAUAAGAUGGAGACAUGAUGGAGAAUAGGGAAUUUGGAAAAGAGCCAAAUGGAAUAGGACAAUUCCAUCUGCCACUCUGGUUACGCAUGAAAAGGAAAAUUGAGGAUUACAAAUUAGAGGGAAAAGCAAAACAAAAAAUUCCUCAAAUGCUCGAAUUAUUGCAGCAUCCAUGGGAGUCUCAAUCCCACAUUAUUUUUCGUGCCUCUCCAUUUUUACCACGUGUCACCUGCGGGUGUAAUCAUUGUCUUGGGUUGGUGCUUCUGUUUCCAAAGCCAUGCUCUUUUCUUUCUUUUUUUUUCACCCAAAUAAUUUUGUAACCUAAAAAAGUCUUACACUCUUACUUAGCCACCUAAAUUUUACAAAUUGUGGCUAAUUGUUAGCCACACACGAACGAAUGAGUUAUUGGAUAUGAUGUUGUUAAUAAAAAUUAACUGAAGUCAAAUUCCCUUGAACUCAUUUGAUGGCAAAAUUAGACAUGUCUCCUUUCAAACCCUUCUUAAUAAAUUGGACUUUACCCGUUCGAAGGGACUUUUGCUUCCACAAUGCAAUUAAUACAUUGCUAUUGUAUGAAGCUUACCCAACAAGUAGUCUAAUGAAUGAAUUCAAAUAUAGGUAGGAGAUUUUAUGGGUGUGAUAGGAAAUGAUAAGAUUUUAUACCUUUUAAAUCUAUUUUACUUUGAUUCUUCAUCUUUGAUUUUCACUCAAAUUUUACUUUGAUUGAAGGGCAAUGGAAGUUAUAGAUUUUUAUUUAUUUAUUUAUUUUGAUUGAUCAUCCAAUGUGUGAGCUUUUGAGGCAUACAAGACCCGGGUUGCUAAGAGAAAUGGAAGUGAUAGAAGAUGAAAAUCAAGAGCUUUAGGUGAUAUUAACGAGGCUAUCGGUGCUUAAUCAUAUUUAUUCUUGAUGUACUAGUGGUUUUGUUUGUUUAACAACCUUAGCUAAUAUUACACAUUUGUGAGAGUUUUUGUUUGUUUCAUAAUAGUGGAUGAGGAUUUUAUUUCGUUUAUGUAGUUUGGAAAUGGUUGAAUCAUGUUUAUUUUAUGCAAUUGGAUUGUAAUAGGUCAAAAUUUUGGCAUUUGGAUAACAACUUAAACAACUAUGUAAUUUGUAUUGAUGUGUAUCUAAUAAUAAAAAAGCUAUAGAAAUCUUACUAGUUUUUAUAUCAUUGAACACUUAAUAUUUUAUUUUUAGUAAUUAGACUGAGAGGAAAACUGGAAUGUAAUAGUAUUGUAUAUGAUGUUCAAAACAUCACAAUAAUUAAUAAGUAAAUAACAAGACAGAAAUAGUAAUAAGUACAAGAUUUCAAUGGUGUUGCAUAUGAUGUUCAAAAUUACAAUAACACUCCAAAGAAGAAUUUACAGAAAUACAAAAAUUUAGUCUCAAGCGAUAAAUACUUAAAUGUACCAUUUAUAAAGGUUCUUUAAAAGCCUUUUUAAAGGUUUGAACAUUUAUUACUAACCUUUAAUAAUACCUCAUGUUUGACACUUUUGAACCUUAACUUUGAUAUUUGAUGAGUUUUCUUGGUUUUUAAUUUGCUUUCAUUAAAAAAUAUAAGCAAAUAAUGCAAGAAUUAUAGGCCCAAAUGGUUGAGUGGAGAAGGUGACAAAAGCUGAGAAAUAUUAAAUGUGAGAGACAAUUAAGCUUAGAGAUCGAGGACCAAGAAUAAUCUACUAUUCUAUAUAGCAUGAUCGAUUAUUGUAAGCAUUAACAUGUAAUUGUCCUUACUUGAACUAAGACAACUAUUAUAAAAUAAAAAAAAAGGAAAGAGACUAGAUGUUGAAGGAAAAGACAAUCAUGACAAUGAUCAAGCGUCUUAAGACGCAUGGGAUCAUCCUAUCUUAAGGGGUGAACGAUCAAGUGCCUUACAUAAAGAUUCUAAAUUAAGUUGGCAUAAAAGAGUCAUGAUCAAUAUGAGUCAAUGACAAAGAUCAAUACUUCAAACCUAUACUUUUAUUGUCCCAUGAAAUUCAAUAAAUGAUCAAUCAAGUUACAAGUGAAACACAUUUAAUCGUGCAAACCAGUCUUAAUCAUCCUGAAUCACCACUAUUACAUAUGAUUGAAAAUCACUCAACAAUUGAUUUUAUUCUUAUUUCACGUAUCAUUAAAGAAGUAGAAAAAUGUUAUGAUAUUGUUAUCUUUUCAAAAACUUAGAUUGAUGAACACCUUGGAAAACGUAAUAACAUUUUAUACAAUAUUAUCAAAAUACAAGAACUAAAUUGACAUUAAUAAACAAUAUCAUCAUAGAAUUGCAUAUCAUGCUCUUUGAUAUCCCAAAAAAUAUUAAUAACCCAUAUCCCAAAAUAGUCAUUGAUAUUACAAAAGAUUCAACAAUCUUCUUUGCCUUUUGUUUUGAUGCAAAGAUAACCCAUGGACAUUGACCUUUGCAAAUUGCUUUCAUUUUAUUCACAAAUUUUAUGGGUCUUCUAAACUUUAUUGAACCUUACCUUGUACUUAAAUUCUUCACCAUAUUUAAAUAGCAUGUCCAACUUGAAUUCGAGGUUUAACAAAUCAAUGUCAAUCCUAUAAUGAGGAAAUUUAAGAGGUUUCACUUGCUUUUUUCAUUAAGUUUUUACUCUUAAAGGCUUCUUCUCCUUAAUUCAUUAGUUACAUUUAUUUCCUCAACAUUUUUGGAUUAUGCAUUAUUUCCAAAUUUAACAACUGGACAUACAUUGACCUCAAAAACAAAUCAUCAUCUAAUUCCUCAUAUGCAGCAUCUUCAAAGUCCUUUAUCUUUACUACACUCACCAUUUCUACUACCUUUAUUAUUCUUACUCCCUUUAUCCCCAAUAACUUCUUUGUUCAUGUGUUCCUUAUCCUUAUCCUUUUAAUCCUCCUUCACAUCUUUCAAUCAUUCACAUACCCUCCUUCCUAAUAUCUCCCCCCUCCCUCCUCCUUCUUUAUAUGUCACCCAAUACUAGGGGCUUAAUUCUUCGUAAGUUUAAAUUUAUCUGGAUGUUUAAAAUGUACCCUAAUUAUUAUCAUUUUAAGUCAAUAACUAGCCAUGAUAAUUACAUUAGAAUCAAUGAGUAUAGGUUUAACCCCACAUUCAUAAUCAAUGUCGAUAGCUCUAUAAAUACACCCAACAAGUUCGUUAAAAUCUAGACUUUUUUCUUAUGUUAACCAAUUUUAUUAAUGACAUGCAAUCUACGUGACAAUACUUGCCAUAAUCUAAUAGACCCUCAACAUAUGAAUUUCUAUCAUAAUUAAAAAAAAAAAAAAUGGGUUCAUUUAGAUUUUCAUUCUAAAAAACUCAUAUAAAGUCUUUGUAAUAAGUAAACAUUUGGAACAAAAAUCAAAUAACUCAUAUCUAAUAAAUGAAAUGUUGACCAAAAAAAUGAAAAUUCUAUACCAUUUUUUAGAAAAUAAUAAUAAUAAUAAUGAUUUGUGGUAAGCUUAUGUAAUGAACAUUUGAAAUGAAAAUCAAAACCAACUCUUUAGGGGUGGACCAAGUAUGAUACAUAAUAAACUUUCAAUUAGUAGGACAUCUAGUGUUCUUUGUUCAAAAGAUGCCUAGUAAGCAAAAAUCUAAUAAGAAAUUCAUGGACCAUAUUUAACCCUUAGAAAAUAGAUAAUUAUUUAUAAUCAUAUAAAAUGUGAAUGAAUAUUUAGGAGACUUUGAACUUGUUUGGAAAUUGUUGGUGAAAACAAUUUUGAUUCUUUGGAACAAAAAAAAUUGUGUUACGGAAAAACAAGAAUAGACAAUAAAAAAAUAAAAACACACGGAUUUACGUGGAAAACCCUAAACGAGAAAAAUCAUGGGUAUAGGAUAAGCAAAUCCACUAUCUCAAAAAUUUGUAUAAAAUGGAAAAAAAUCAAGCAGAUGCUUUAUAGGAAUAAACAUCAUAACUCUAAAUCUUAUACACAAUUGCAUAUGUAUAUGUCUGAUCCCUUUGCUACCAUCACAAACCCUAAAAAAAAUCUUAUAAUCUUUCUUCACUACAUAUGUCACACCGCGAGCUUUUCAAGUUAAACCAAAUAAAAUUCAGGUCACACUACCAAAAAAUUAAGUAUUAUCAACCCACUUAUAUUUACUUUUGGGAUGGAUUUAACUAUCACAAAUUUCUAACAUACCUAUUCCAUUGCAAAUUGAAUUGUUUGUUACUUAUAUGUAACUAUUUACUGACGAUAAUUGCAACAAAAAAUAAUUGUUGGCAAAAAUAUUAUUGUGAUGGAUUUAAACCAUUAUAAAUGUUCAACUAAUAUACUUUGUCAAUAAAGCAAUUUACUUGUAAAAAAUAAAAAAAUUGGCGACGAAAAAUUCUCAUCAAUAGAUUUUUGUCAACAUACCUUUCCCCGACUACCAUGUGCCAAGAUUAUCAGUUGGUAAAUGUUUAUUCCAAUAAUAUAUAUCAAUCGUUAGAAGUCAAAUUUCUUGUAGUGUCAUUAAACUUGAACAAAAGGUUUUUCUAUUUUAGAAAAUAUGUCUGACGGGAAAACAAUAUUUCAAUGAUUUGUUUUAAAAAGAUGUUUUUAUAAUGGAUUUGAAGUAUUUUUAGUUCUUUUUGUUAAAUAUUUUGAAUAAUAAUUCAAAUAUAAAAAAUAUUUUAAUAACUUUUGUAUUGUACGUGAAUAUGCCAACAAGUCAAAGAAAACUAUUUUUCUUAUUUGAAAUUUUAAACAAAAUUUUAUUUAAUAAAAACAAUUCAAAAUUUCUUUAAUAACUGUUUUUGGGAACUUCUCACUUCUUCCUUCAAAAGAUAAUUGUUAACUAAAAGCAUCUAUUGUUAGUAUCUUUCUUCCCUUUUUGACCUUUUGCCCACAUGGGCCCAGAGCCCAACAAUGACUGAACAGAACUGUUCUCGCAACUCCUAACAUGUUAGCCCAAGGAUUUGGGCCCAUGACAGAAUCGUGCCACUGGGCUUACAAGUCCACCACAGCAACGCCCUUUUACCACUGUAAAAGGUAAACAAAAAAAUUGAUCAAAAAGAAAAUUAACAUGACAAUACAGGAACUUACAUAAAAUAAAUAAUUAAAGGGUUAAUUUUACUUACACCCUAAGUUUUACUGUAAAUAGAUUCAUUAUUGAUUCUAAAUUUUAAAACAAUUUUAUAAAUGAAAUACAUUUAUACACACUCAAAAAUAAAAUCUAACACUGAUAAUAGUUACGUAUAUUUUUAUUAAAUAUAAAAAAGUAUAGAUGAAAAUAAAUUUAAAUUUAAUAUUUAUGGUAAAUUAAUAUAAUGUAAAUACGUUGUUAUUCUUUGUAUUUAAAUACAUGAAUUUUCAUUUGAAUUCUUGUAAAACAUUCCUUGCCUUUUAUCUUUCAUGGUCUAUGUGUUGUCUUUUAAUUACUCAAGAUCAUAAUUAUUUGUGAUAGAAAAGUAUUCUUUGAAAUCAUGCUAUCGUAGUAUUAUCGAGAAUACGAUCAUAUAAUCGUGUUUUUAUAAAUACGAGCAGACGAAUAUGGUAUCAAGAAUACGGCCACGUGUUGGCACCCCAAGAUGGCUACCAUCUGGUUCAUCAUGUGCCCACUUCAAUAAUAAAAAUCAUUUCAAACAUAUUAUGAAACUUAUUAUUAUUUAUUUUUAAGAAUAUAUUAUAAUUUUGUAGAAAGUUUAGGCAUUGGCCACCCACUAGUAACAAGAGCAACAUGGAAAAGGACAGUUGCGUAAAUAUGAGGAAUUUGCAGCCGUGGUUGGCAGUAAUGAACUAGGGAUGGGGAACACUACCAUCUUUUUCCCCUUCCCUUUUUAGCAUCUUAUUAAAUGCGCCAAAUCCGAAUAAUAAUAAUAACAUCACUUUUUUUUUUUUUUUUUUUUACCGCCAAUGCGUGCUGAUUUGUUUCCUGAUUCACAACUCCAAAGCGGUUUUGCGCCUCGCAGCGAUUAUAUUAGAAAAGGUACUCUCCCGCAGACGCCGAGAUGUGCGGCAGAGAUAUUCCUGUCACAUCAAUCCUUGGGUUGAUGACAGCGAGUACUGAUUUUUUAUGUAGGCGAGGCGGUGGGAUUGGGAUGAUUGAGUGUGGGUCUCCGCCACUUAGAUUUUUUCUGACUUUAGAGAGUGGCGCCGCCUGCGGGAAGGCAAAAAAAUCAAAGAAUUUAAUGAUCGCCGUUUUUCAUCUGUUACAUUAAUAAAAGUUAAAAACAUUUACGAGGACAAUCAUACCCUCAAUAAAUAAAAUAUACAACUACAAAAAAAUAAAAAAAUAGUAUAUUAAAAAUUAAUUAAUAUAUGUUACAUUUAAAUUUUAAGGGUAGGUGGGGGACGAAGCAUGACAUUGGAAACAGAAGCCCGGGCGAGACAAUGAUUACACCUGCGUGAGACACGUGGCAAAAAGGGGCUCACGCAUGACAAUGAGGGGGGUGGGAAUUUCAGAUUCCCAUGGAUGCUGCAAUGAUUCCAGCAUUUCAGGGAUUUGUGUUUUUGCUUUUCCUCUGAUUUGCUGUUCUCUAUUUUCUUGUUUUUUCAUGGCUCAUGAGAUGGCACGACUGCAGAUGGAAUCGUCUCUUUCCCGUUUGACUCUUUCACAUUCAACAAAAAUGUCCACAUCCCAUUCAUUUAUUUCUAUGAUUCCCAUCCAAAUUAAUACGCAUCUUAGACCUAUUAUUUACUUCCCUAUGUCAAUUCCAUGGAAGGAUUUUUCAAAGCUUUUUUGACUUUUUUUUAAGUUAAUGAACAAAUAUAUAAAAAAUAAAAUGAAUUUUAUGUUAAUAAAAUUUCCUUCCUUUCUCCACUUCACACAAUAGGAAAGAGCAAGCUACUAGUAACUCAAGCUAGCCUACAAAUAUCUAUCAUGUAAGUGAUUUGAGGAGUCAUCUUUUUGUCUUUUAUGGUAGUUAGAAAUUAUUUAGAAGCUUAUUUUUUAUUAGUAAAAUCGAUAUGUCAAAUUAAGAUCGAAUUUAGAAUUUUAUUAAUUAAUUUAUUUGUGAUUAAAAACAAUUGAUAAAUAGUGGGUCGAGGAAAUCUACUUUCUUUUACUAAUGUGAUUAUAUAAUUUUGCAUUUAUGUGUUAAAAGAUUACACGGAUUUUUUUUUUUUUUUUAACAUGCUUGUAUGUGUGUUUUGUAAUUAUUUUAUAAAUGGGUAUGUUAAGUUCAAACACAUGCAUGGGAAAGCUUAUGUGUCAGGGUGAUGUAUGAGUGAUGAUAAAAACUUUUUCGAUAUGAAAAAGAUAUCAAUUCAAAAUCAUAAAUAUGCAAAAAUUAAUGUAAAGUUUGGACUAGAUAGAUAUGAUUAUGAUUGUAACUUGAAUGGAUUGGUCUUAUUGAUGACUAACUCAAACCUAAUCCAAAUUAAAAAAACAUUAAACUCAAACUCUAACUCGAGGCACUUACCCUAACUCCAUUUUUCUAAACUCAGGUUAAUUGAGUUAGAUUCGAGUUUAUUGGGUUGAGUUUAGGUUGAUUAGAUUGCAUAAUUCAAAAUCCACGUACAAUAUUUUUUAAAUUUUUUAAUAUAUUUAUAUAAAAAUUUAAAUAGUAAAUAAGAUAAAUUUUCAAAACACCAAUAAAUGAAUAAACAUGAAUUUAUAUAUUUAAAAAAAAUGAAAUAUAUACGAUAUAAUAAAAUUCUAUACUUAAAAGAAAUAAAAAAUAAAUAUUAUUAUAUAAAAAUAAUAUAUAUUAUAAAUAUAUUAAAUCGUGUUUAGAUUGAAUUUAACUUAUAUGAACCUUAAUUUGAGUCUAACCCAACCUGAAUUUAUAUUAAAAAAAACAUAACAAAAGUAUCGAAAAUGAUUAUCUAAACUUGUCGGAUUUGGACUAGAUUCGAUCUACCUGUCAAUAUGACAUGAAUUGAUUUUCUUCGAUCCACUAACUAAUAAUAGCGACUCUUCUAGAAUGACUAUACUUUAGAAUCUAAACAUAGAAAUAGCACACCAAAAUUAUUUCAAAAGUCUAUUUUGUUUUACUUAUCCUCUACACCUUAUAUUUUAUAUUCACAACUCAUUAAAGUUAUUUAUGUCGUAUUCGAUCCCACCAAUAUAUUUAUGUAAAUACCCAAAGAGGUUAGGAAUCCUUUUUCAAUUGGAUGUCUUAUUCCAUCUAAUGGAUGGCUGGAUUCCAAAUUUGACUCCCACACGAAUGUUGAAGAACCAUUGUUGGGAAGAAGCCACAACACUUAUGAAAGGUGAUUACAGCUUAUGCCUCGAAUACAAAAUUUUGUCACGAAACGUGAUUCUAAAAAAGUUUGAAGAAGUAAAUGAAUUAGCGCAAAAGUAUAAAAACACUUUUGGCGAAAGCUACUAAACACCGAUUUUCAUGGCAUGAUUUUCAAAAACGGUGUCUCAUUGAUGGGGGUGAGGCCAUCGUUUUAUUCAUGGAUGCCUGUGAUUUGUGAUUGCCAGCAAAGAAACAAAAUUUUCGGUGGUCUCUCUCUCAAGUCUCAUCUAAUAUAUGCUUUGGUCUUUGGCAUUCUUCUCUUCAGAGGGGUAGGGGGGAGCCCUGAGCGUUUUGAAAAUGACAUGACUAGUUGGAAAUUGGAAUUGUGUCGAUUUUUUGGAGAGAUAAAGUCAUCCUUUGCGAGCUCAAGGAGCAAAAUAGAAGACGCUAAUAUCUCAUUUAACAUGAAAGAUACCUACCCUUAACAUGAAAGAUUCUCCACCAAUUUUCCUUUGGUGUGUAAAAGUUAAGGGCACGUUUGAAAAAGUUUCUAAAAAUAGUUUAAAAAUAAAUUAUGAAAUAAAAAGUUAUCUAUGUAUUUAGAAUAAUAAAAUAAUAUUUAAAAACUUGAAAUAUUAUAAACUUAGUUUUUUUUAUUAAAAAAAUUAUUUUUAAUUAUUUUUUAUAUUUAGAUAAGUAUUUUUUUAAAUAGUCUUUAAUUGUUUUCAAAAACACUUUCCUAUUCUAUUCUAUUUAAUGUCUAAGCAUGCUUUUAGAUAGCAUAUUUUAUUUAUUUUUAAUUGUUUUUAUUUAUUUUUUAAGGCUAUUUUAUAAAUAAUUAUGAAAAUAUGAAUAAUGAUUAAAAAUAAAACAUAACAUAUUAAAAUUAUUUUUAAAAUAUAUAAACAUAGGUAACAAAUUUUUAUUUUAGGAAGCAUUACAAAAUAAAUUUUAAAAACUAUUUUUUAGAAAUAGAGUAUAAAUUAUAUUUUUUUUAAAUAUUUUGCAAGUUUUCAAAAAAUUGUGUUUUGAAAUAUGAAAAAUAAUCUUAUAUUAAAAUAUACAUAUAAAUUGUUUUUAAAAAUAAUUUCAAAUAGGCUCUAAAUAGAUGUGUGAAUAUAUAUAGUACUCAUGGGUCGAAGUCUAGUGACCCUAAGGACAUAUGGGGUUGCCAGUGGAGUCGCUCUCUUUUUUAGGAAAGGAAAACUAUUUCCAAAUCUCCUAAAGCAUGAAUUAUUGAAUUAAAGAUGAAGAUGUAUGAAUUCCUAAUGAAGAAAAGUAACAAAAGAGAGAGAGUAAAUACAAAGAGUAUAACAUUUUACAUAGACUUGAAAAUGAAAGAAGAAAGAAUGAAAUUCAAUUUCAAACCCGCCUGAACUUUCAUUGAACACACAGUAUCUAGAGUCAAACGAAACCUAACACAAACCCCACCCUUUACCAACUAUACCUAAAAAGACACUGGGAGAAGACCCAGAGGUCUGUAGCUUAUAUGUGACAAUUAUAUUUGAUUAUUUCCUAAAGUGGUACCUUAUGAGAAUAAUUUCAAGAAAAUAGGGAGAAGGAGCAAAAGGGGGUCCACAGCCCACUCCAUGAGAAAAUAUAUGGGUUUGGACAGAGGAAAAAAAGGAAA
rnacentral:lncRNA from 1 species